AUAUUUAAGGUUUUGUUUUUUAGAGCGUGUGGUUGUAAUUAAAAGGUUUUUUUCCAACAGCGUGUAAUGUAUUUUGUGGAUGUAAGAAUCCCAUUAAUCAUCGAAUCAUGUUAAAAAUUUUAUUUUUUUCUUUAUUUUCUACUCAUGUGUAUACGUGGUUUGAUUAAUAUUUUCACUAGUAUUACUAAAUAUUAUAUAAAUUAAUUGUGUAAAAGUUGAAAAAUAAAACCGACUUUUGGAUAAAGAAAGUAUUAAAAUAAUUAAAAAUAAAACAAAAAUAAAUUCAACUUGAGUUCUUUGUUUUGGCACAAAUAAAAAUAAUUUUUUAAUUCAAAUUAUUUAAAAAUUCAUAUAUUUUCAAAAUUUUCAAUUUUUGUCAGAGAUAAGAUGAAAGAGAAAUAAAUGUUAAGAAGCAUGUGAAAAGAAACUACUAAUUAAAAACUUAUUUAUUGUUAUCAACUUUUUAUUUAUUUAUUUAUUUAUUUAUGUUUCUUCUCUCCUGUACUUUGAAAAUUUCCAAAAUCCUAAUCAAAAUCCUUAUAAUUUUUUUUUAUCUGAUUUGAUUGUCUAUAAAAAAAAAAAAAAAAAAAGUUGAAUAUGUAAAGCUUGUUUGGCUUGUUUUUAAAAAAAUUUAACAUCAUUUGGCUGUUGUUAUCUGAAAACAAUUUUUAAAAACAAAGUGAAAUAAAGAAUAAUUUUUAAAGAACAAGUAUAAGUUGUUUUCACUAAUUUAUAAAAAUAAAAAGAAAAUAUAGACUUGUUUGACCAUAUUUAAAUAAAAAAAAAACAAGUUUUUAAAAACUGUACAUAUAAAGAUAUGAACAUUUUACAAUUUUUUCUUUCUUUUUCUCUUAUAGUCCAUGGUAUGAAUGAAAGUUUUCCAAGUCGUCCAUAAUUUCCAAGUCUUCUAUCAUUUUCUAUCGAUCAUUGCUUUUUGACCUCCUUAUAUUUUUAAGAUCUUGUCCUCCAUUCACGCCAUCAUACUGAUGGACUAGAGAUAUCAUUAUUAUAUUCUUUUAUUCCCAUUAUUGUAAAAUAGAUAUUUUAAAUUUUAUUUUUCAUUUUUUGAAUUUAAUAAUAUCUAGUAGCAAAAUAAAGUAAUUUAAAUCCUAAAAAUGUGUGUUUAUAGGAUAUUUGCUAUUAUUACUAAUCAUAGAUAACAAAACUGUUGAUUGUAUUAAUUGUAUACAAGUUAAAAAAAUAAAAUUGACCUUUGGAUCAAAGAAAAUAUUAAAAUGAUUAAAACUAAAAUAAAAAUAAAUUCAAUGAUUUAAACACAAAUAAAAAUGUAAUUCAAAUUAUUUGAAGUUCAUAUAUUUUCAAAAAUAAAAAUAAAAAUUGUGAAAGAUGUGUUGGGCUUUGUGGAGCCUAGUUUUCUUUGAUCUAGUUUGAUGACCCGACUCGAAUAAUAUUGCAUGACUUUUUAAUGGGAGAUUUAUUGAGGCUUGUUGGGCCCGUUUAGCCCAUUGUGGAACCACCUUUUGUAAUUAGGGUUUUUUAGUAUGGUGGGGUUGCCGUGUUAUAUAUAUAGAGAGAAUAUUGUAGCCGCUAGGUUGUACUCUAUAUUCUUCUCUAAUAAUAGUGAUAUCCCUGCAAUUCCGUGGACGUAGGCAAAUUGCCGAACCACGUAAAUACUGUCUUGUGCGUGUGAUUGUUUUUUUUUUCUUUGGCGUGUGUUUUCUCUAAUUUUUGUUUCUCAUGGGUUGGGAAUUCGGUUUAAUUCCCUACAACUAGUAUCAGAGCCUAGGGUUAGGUUUGAGUGGGAGCAAUGGCAGAGGAAGCAGGAAAGGCAUCUGGAAUAGAAAAUUUUGAUAGCACAAACUUUGCGUAUUGGAGGAUGUAGAUUGAAGACUAUCUCUAUGGGAGGAAAUUGCAUCUGCCUCUUUUGGGGACAAAACCUGAGAGUAUGAAGGCUGAGGAAUGGACGCUUCUUGACAGACAAGUUCUAGGAGUUAUUAGGUUAACUCUGUCUAGGUCUGUUGCACAUAAUGUUGUAAAGGAGAAGAUCACAACAGAUUUAAUGAAGGCUUUGUCCGAUAUGUAUGAAAAGCUGUCCGCAAACAAUAAGGUGCAUCUGAUGAAGAAAUUGUUCAAUUUGAAGAUGGCAGAGAAUGCAUCAGUAACACAACAUUUGAAUGAAUUUAAUAUAAUCACAAAUCAAUUGUCGUCUAUAGAAAUUGAUUUUGAAGAUGAGAUUCGUGUUCUGAUCGUCUUGGCUUCUUUGCCAAACAGUUGGGAGGCAAUGAGGAUGGCAGUAAGCAAUUCUAUGGGAAAGGAAAAACUCAAGUACAAUGAUAUACGAGAUUUAAUUCUAGCUGAGGAGAUUCGCCGAAGAGAUGCAGGUGAAACCUCAGGAUCUGGUUCUACCUUAAACCUUGAGACAAAAGGCAAAUGUAAUGACAGAAAUUCAAAUCGGGGUAGAUCAAAUUCCAGAAAUUCUAAUCGAAACAGAAGCAAAUCUACAUCAGGCCAACAAGUACAAUGCUGGAAUUGUGGGAAAACAGGCCACUUUAAAAGACAAUGCAAAAGCCCUAAGAAGAAGAAUGAAGAUGAUUCUGCUAAUGCUGUAACAGAAAAGGUACAUGAUGCAUUACUUCUUGCAGUAGACAGUCCACUUGAUGAUUGGGUUUUGGAUUCAGGAGCUUCGUUUCAUACCACUUAACACCGAGAAAUCAUACAGAAUUAUGUUACAGGUUAUUUUGGUAAGGUGUAUUUAGCUGAUGGUUGGAUGUUGUGGGUCUAGGAGACGUCCGGAUAUCAUUGCCCAAUGGGUCUGUUUGGUUACUGGAGAAGGUUUGACAUAUUCCUGACCUGAGGAGGAAUCUGAUUUCUGUUAGACAACUUGAUGAUGAAGGACAUGCAAUACUAUUUGUUGGUGGUACUUGGAAGGUUACAAAGGGAUCUAGGGUAUUGGUUCGUGGAAAGAAGACUAGUACUUUGUAUAUGACCUCAUGUCCAAGAGACACAAUUGCAGUUGCUUAUGCAAGUACUGAUACAAGCCUAUGGCACCGCAGACUUGGUCACAUGAGUGAGAAAGGGAUGAAGAUGUUGCUGUCAAAAGAAAAACUACCAAAAUUGAAGUCCAUUGAUUUUGACAUGUGUGAAAGUUGCAUAUUAGGAAAGCAAAAAAAGGUGAGCUUCUUGAAAAUUGGCAGGACACCGAAGGCUAAAAAAUUAGAACUAGUACACACUGAUUUGUGGGGGCCUUCUCCGGUUGCAUAGCUAGGAGGUUCAAGGUACUACAUCACUUUUAUUGAUGACUCAAGUAGAAAGGUAUGAGUUUAUUUUCUGAAAAAUAAAUCUGAUGUAUUUGAAACUUUUAAGAAGUGGAAGGCCAUGGUUGAGACAGAAACAGGUUUGAAAAUAAAAUGUUUGAGGUCAGAUAAUGGAGGAGAGUACAUAGAUGGAGGGUUCAGUGAGUAUUGUGCUACACAGGGAAUUAGGAUGGAGAAAACCAUUCUUGGGACACCAUAGCAGAAUGGUGUGGUUGAGCGCAUGAACAGAACUCUCAAUGAGCGUGCUAGAAGUAUGAGGUUGCAUGUUGGACUAUCAAAAACUUUUUGGGUUGAUGCUGUUAGCACUGCAGCUUACCUGAUAAACCGAGGACCAUCAGUUCCCAUGGAGUUCAGACUUCCUAAGGAGGUUUGGAGCGGUAAAGAGGUGAAGUUUUCACAUUUAAAAGUUUUUGGUUGUGUAUCUUAUGUUCAUAUUGAUUUUGAUGCUCGUAGUAAACUUGAUGCAAAGUCAAAAAUAUGUUUUUUCAUUGGCUAUGGUGAUGAGAAAUUUGGCUAUAGGUUUUGGGAUGAACAAAAUAGGAAAAUCAUCAGAAGUAGAAAUGUGAUAUUUAAUGAACAGGUUAUGUACGAGGACAGGUCAAUUGUAGUGUCAGAUGUUAUAGAGAUAGAUCAAAAGAAAUCUGAGUUUGUCAACUUAGAUGAAUUGACUGAAAGUACUGUCCAAAAAGGGGGUAAAGAAGAUAAGGAGAAUGAAAAUUCACAGGUAGAUUUGAGUACACCUGUAGCUGAAGUUCGCAAAUCUUCCAGGAACAUUAGACCUUCGCAGCGUUAUUCACCUGUUUUAAAUUAUCUCCUGUUGAUUUAUGGUGGUGAGCCAAAGUGUUAUGAUGAAGCCUUGCAAGAUGAGAAUUCAAGCAAGUGGGAGUUAGCCAUGAAGGAUGAGAUGGAUUCCCUGUUGGGGAAUCAGACAUGGGAACUGACUGAAUUGUCAGUAGGAAAGAAGGCUUUGCACAACAAGUGGGUAUACAAAAUAAAGAAUGAGCAUGAUGGUAACAAACGUUACAAGGCCAGAUUAGUUGUUAAAGGGUUCCAGUAGAAGGAGGGCAUUGACUACACAGAGAUAUUUUCUCCAGUUGUGAAGAUGUCAACAAUUAGACUUAUACUUGGAAUGGUAGCUACAGAAAACUUACAUCUUGAGCGGUUAGAUGUGAAGACAGCAUUCCUUCAUGGUGACUUGGAGGAAGACCUUUACAUGAUUCAGCCAGAAGGAUUCAUUGUUCAGGGACAAGAGAAUCUAGUCUGCAAACUAAGAAAGAGCUUGUAUGGCCUUAAACAAGCUCCUAGACAGUGGUACAAGAAGUUUGACAAUUUUAUGCAUAGAAUUGGGUUCAAGAGAUGUGAAGCUGAUCACUGUUGCUAUGUUAAGUCCUUUGACAAUUCUUACAUCAUAUUACUGUUGUAUGUGGAUGAUAUGCUUAUUGCAGGGUCUGACAUUGAGAAGAUUAAUAAUCUGAAGAAGCAAUUGUCCAAACAGUUUGCAAUGAAGGAUUUGGGAGCUGCAAAGCAAAUCCUUGGUAUGAGAAUCAUUAGAGACAAGGCUAAUGGUACAUUAAAGCUUUCACAGUCAGAGUAUGUGAAGAAAGUUCUCAACAGGUUCAACAUAAAUGAAGCUAAACCAGUGAGCACACCCUUGGGUAGUCAUUUCAAACUAAGCAAAGAAUAGUCACCGAAGACAGAAGAAGAAAUGGACCAUAUGAGCAAGGUGCCAUAUGCCUCAACUAUUGACAGCUUGAUGUAUGCUAUGGUGUGUACAAGGCCAGACAUUGCACAUGUAGUGGGAAUUGUGAGCAUAUUCAUGAGUAGGCUUGGAAAGCAGCAUUGGGAGGCAGUCAAGUGGAUUUUAAGAUAUCUGAAGGGUUCAUUAGAUACAUGUCUUUGCUUUACAGGUGCAAGUUUAAAACUGCAGGGUUAUGUAGAUGCUGAUUUUGCUGGUGAUAUUGAUAGUAGAAAGAGUACUACUGGGUUUGUUUUUACUCUAGGUGGUACAAUUAUAUCAUGGAGUUCAAAUCUACAGAAGAUUGUUACUUUGUCUACUAUAGAAGUUGAGUAUGUUGCAACAAUUGAAGUUGGAAAGGAGAUGAUUUGGCUACAUGGUUUCUUAGAUGAAUUGGGUAAGAAGCAGGAGAUGGGCAUUCUACAUAGUGAUAGUCAGAGUGCAAUUUUUCUUGCCAAAAAUUCAGCUUUUCAUUCAAAGUCGAAAAAUAUACAAACAAAAUACCACUUUAUCCGUUAUCUUGUUGAGGAUAAACUGGUAAUAAUUGAGAAGAUUUGUGGAUCUAAGAACCCUACAGACAUGUUGACUAAGGGUGUCACCAUUGAGAAGCUGAAUUUGUGCGCAGUUUCAAUUGGUCUUCUAGCUUGAGGACAGGAGGAUGAGUUGUAGGGAUGAGGGAUUGUUUCUUGGAGGAUAGCGGUUUGAUGUUGGUGAUUGGACUAGUCUCCAAGUGGGAGAUUUGUUGAGCUUUGUGGAGCUUAGUUUUCUUUGAUCUAGUUUGACGACCCAACCUGAAUAAUAUUGCAUGGCUUUUUAAUGGGAGAUUUAUUGAGGUCUGUUGGGCCCGUUUAGCCCAUUGUGGAACCACCUUUUGUAAUUAGGGUUUUUUAGUAUGGUGGGGUUGCCGUGUUAUAUAUAUAGAGAGAAUAUUGUAGCCGCUAGGUUGUACUAUGUAUUCUUCCCUGAUAAUAGUGAUAUCCCUGCAACUCCGUGGACGUAGGCAAAUUGCCGAACUACGUAAAUACUGUCUUGUGCGUGUGAUUGUUUUUUUUUCUUUGGCGUGUGUUUUCUCUAAUUUUUGUUUCUCACGGGUUGGGAAUUCGGUUUAAUUCCCUACAAGAUGGAGAGGAAAAUAAACAAAAUUUAAAAAGUAUGUGGAAAAAACAAACUACUGAUCAUAAACUUAUUCCUUUUUUAUCAGUUUUCUUUAACAAAAAAAAAAAAAAAAAAUUCUCUCAUCUACUACCCACCAUGGUAGCCUAAUGGGGCAGUUAACACCCCCCGAAGGUUCAAGUCCCAUAGAGAGUCCCUAACAGAGCUGGUUGUCGAUUGUUAUGAUUUUUGAGCUGGUUUUUCCGACACUGGUAUGAGCAUUCUACUCGAUGGUGACUUAUGACAUGGGUGGCUCAAUCCUAUCCACUAUUAGAGGAGUUGAGAUUCGCUUAGACCUGAAGAGCAUUUGUUAUACAUAUCUUUGAUAUUGCUCCUGUUGAACUUAGAAUAUACAAGUCCAAGAUCUGGCCCACUCUGUUGGGAUUUGAGCAUAAAGAGACUAUUAAGAGGAUUUGUAAACUGUCAGAUGACGGGAUGGGCAAGCCAUCAGCACAAAACUUGACAAUCAUCAAUCGAGUGUUACAUCAUAUAUUGCGCUUCAUUUUCCUACCACAGGGUAGACACCGAGAUGAAGUCUCCUAUUACGAGACAUUUCUUAUAGAUUCCAUUUUGAUUGGGAGACGGAUCCAUUUAGGAUAUCUAAUGAUAAUGCAGAUGAUUGCAUGUUGUGAGAGCAUCACUCAAGCACUCCCCUAUGACUGCUUCUUUUCCCGAGUAUUCAAGGAUGUUAGCAUUAACCUUAGCAGAGAGAUAGACUUUGAGGCUCCCAGUACAUAUGAUACAUAUGAUGAUCAAUCCAUGGGGUGGAUGAAAUUUGAGAAGACUCCAAAUUGUUCUUGGAUCAGAAAAGCAGAGAGAGCACAACCAUAGGGACAGGGACAGGGACAGGGAUAGGCACACCUUAGAGUUGAGGAGGAGGUAGAGAUUAGGGAGAUGCAGGGUGGAGUAAACCUUGAGGGUGGACUAGACCCUCAGAGUGGCCACUAGUAAAGAGGGCCCGAGCUUGAUAUUCUCCCAAUUCAAAUAGAGAUUCCUUCAUAAAUCGGGGGUGUUCCGUUUGAGUCACCUUCUUUGAGUCAAUGAUGACUAAAUCAACUUUUACAAAGGAACCAUCUACUCAAACAUCAUACACUGAGACCACCUAUACUGAGAUACCACAGUCUCAGGCACCUCCUACUCCUAACCAUGCUCCUUAGAUGGAUUUAUCCGCUCAAAUUAAAUCCCUUGGUGACACAUGAUUUUAUUAUAUAGGAGGAUAGGAUGGACCAAUAUCAGACUAGGUUCACUUAUCAAUUUGAGUAUCUUUAACAGAGGAUUGAUCACAUUGAGGAUUACAUAGUGUGUCAGCAUGAUGAGAUGAUGGCAUACUUGCAUUCCAUAUUUCCACCUCCACCUUCUUAGCCUUGAUUCGUUGGAUACCCCACCCCCCCUCCCCCCCUCCCCCCUCCCCCUUCUUUUUUUUUUAUGUUGCCAAAGGAGAAGAUAUUUUAGGAUCUAAGAGGCUAGAUAUAGGAGACAUGCAUAUCAUUUUUUUUUUGUUUGGAUCAUAUAUUGCUUAUCUCUAGUUACUUUAGCUUAUUGGACAUAUGAUGUACUGACUGAUACAUUUGACAUUAUAUAUGAUAUGUGUAUAUAUUUGAUGAGUUACAUUGUUUCUUGUUGCAAUACUAUCCAACAUGUCUUGAUCAUCUUAUUUUUAAUUCUUAAAAUAUUGAUUGUUGAUCCAUGAUUAGUUUUGAGGGAGAGAUUCUUUUCCUCUUAGAUAACCAAGGUUUGUCAUCAUAAAAAAGAGGAAGAUUGUUAGCCCAAGGAUUCUCCUAAUCGUUUUUUUUUAUGAUAACAAACUAUGGUUAAGUGGCUAAUUGGUUUGAAUUAUAAAAAAUUUCAAGUGUUAAUUUGGAAAUUCAUCAAAGGACCCAAUGGAUGCAAGAUCAAAACAUUUGGAAGACCUUUAAUCAUAGGAAACAUAUGUAAGAUAAAUGCAUGAGUUCACUUAAGAUUUUUAUAUCUUUUCAUGCAUCUUUAAAAACUUGGUUUAUGCAUUAAAGUUACAUUUCUAUCAAAACCCGAGUUUUAUCAAAUGAACCUUAGGAAAAUCUGUGGACAAGCAUUUUUUACAUGCGUCCCCACUCAAUGGCAAAACUCAUUUUUGUUGGUGAAAAAUUAGUUUUGGAAAAGAUAGAGUCACCACUUAUUUUAUUUUAUUUUUAAAAGGAAAAUAAAACAAAAAAGAAAAACCCUAAAGAAGUAACUCCAUGAUUUUGGAAAAGCAUGUCUUUGAACAAACUCGAGUUUAGGUCCAAGGAUCAGGUUAUUUAUUGGGAAGGUACCUCAAAGAGGUAGCACCCCUCUAAGCCUUAAAAAGGUCUCUAAUGGCUAAGUCGAGGGAAAUGUGGCAAUUAAUCAAUUGAUUGAAGGUACCUAGGUAGACUAAGGUGAUUUCAAGAUUCUAUUAAUACUAGCAUGUCAAAUAGGAAAUCAAAUUACAAUCAUAAAGGAGAGUUAGGGUGUGUACUUGAACUGCUUUUUAAGCGCAAUCAUAAGACAAUCAAAGUUAAUUUGAAUAGUAUAUCACUCCACAUGCAUUUUAUUAGUAUCAAAUAAGUGUCAAGGUAAUCAAGGACAUCAUUCAAACAUGGAUUUAGCUCAUGAUAACAUGCAUUUUCAUAAAAUUUUGGAAUUGGGAGAUAGAGAGCAUACUUAGAUAGCAAGUUGAGCGCUUUAAUGGGAAACAAGGUUAGCUCAACAAUAAAUACAAAAUAAAUUCAUGUAUAUCAUCAAGGAGAAUUAAAUAUCAAGCGAAUAUCCAGCAAUCAUCUCAUUUGAAUCAUAAUCAGAGGAGAAAUCAAGGAUGUUGGGCUCCUACCAAGGCCCAUUUUACUUUUGCAUGAAUUGAUGUUGGUCUCCGAUUCAUCGAAGAACCCCAAUCCCCCAUUUAUCACAAACGUCCAGAAUCCAUAUUCCUAUCGGCCAUGUGAGAAACCAACAGCUUGGUUUCGCCUUUCAUGGUGUAUCAAUCAAUCUCAUUUACCCACUGAAACGCAACAACCCACAUGAUAAAUUACAAGGGCACUUAAAAAAUGGCCAUGCAAGAGUGAGACCCGAGGUGCAAUCUGGAGUGCGCCAUCUUCAAGUGGUAGGGGGUCCCGCCUACCUUCUGAUUCCAAGGGCUCCAGAAUAUGGACUCCAUUGUCGGUCAAUCCCAUUGCAAACCGAUUAAGUUCAAAUGGAUGGGGUUUCCGUCUUCAAAGCUUAGGAAGGUUGAUUGGCUGUCACUAUGAAUAUGUGGCAUUUGGGGUUGAACUACUCGACCCACAGGGAGCUCAGUGCUUAAUGUUUUCUAGUCUUGAUGCUUCAUGUCAAGGGUUCAUCUCAAGUCAUGGAAAGGCAUUCCUUCUUCAUACUUGAUGAGGAUUGAUGGCUUGAAGCAUGUUGAUGCAUCUUAUCAUAUAGAUAUAGGGUUAUGGUAUAUGACACACCAUUCUGAAGCAAGCGUUGUGAUCUAGAAAACUGCAUCUGUCAAUUGGACCACUUCCUGCGGUAUUCACAAGUGCUUGAGAACUCCCAGAAACGAUGGCGGCCUCUGAAUCUAUCUAACCCCAAACAACCCAUUAUAUACAAUCUUUAUAAAGUUUCCACCUUUCUAGAAAUACUCAUGCUAUUAUGGUCUCCGUGUACCAAAGGGAGACGAGAAAUAUAGAUGUUGAAGCAUAGAAAAAUAAUCCAAGAAAAACAGAGGAAGGAAGACAAAGGAUGGGCAAACAGACAAGCCGCAUUCCAUUAUUUUGUCAAAAGGCUUGAAAACAGGUGGAGGAUAUUAGAGAGCAAGAGCUAGCACAACUCUUAGAUACCAGUAUUAGCGAUAAUUAUAUGCAUCACCCAUUAACAGUAGAGAUUUUUUUUUAAAAAAAAAACUACACUUCAAGCCAGGACAGAGCAUGCACAUAUUUAAAAUCAUUCCACAGAAGAAACAAUCAACCUUAAAUAUUCACAACAAUCAACAAGAUAACACCAGAAUUUGUAAAAAUGGAUGAUGUUGAAUCAUAUAGAGAUAAGAAGAUACUAAUUUCAUCUGACCAUACCUGGAGAAAUUCCUCUCAAGAAAUAUUGUUUGGCUUCAAGCGAGCUUUGUCCUCCUCUAAAGAUCCCCCUAACAAUCCCAACGAGCUCUCUCAUUUUCUUUGACCAGACCUGAUGACCCAGGUGAACUCCUCUUUCUGCUUCCUUCUUUCCUCCUCUUUUCGAUGCGUGCUGAAAGUCCCUGCUUUGAAAACUUCUCCCCCCUUCCAAAACCACCAGCCUGUGUUUUUAUGGCAAUUGGCAGCCGUCCUUCCUGAGGAGUCCUCUUCUCUCCGAAUUCUAUGUCUCCUCCACCAGAAAAAUUCUUUCUGAAUUUCAAAAAGAGCCUUUCACCCCAUGAGUCCCACAUUUUUCAAAAGCUUCUUCAUCCAUCCUUUAACUCUCCAAAGGAUCUUCAAUAACACCUAAAAGAAUUUCUUUCCUUCUCAAAGUCUUACAAAUUUCAAAAAUUCUUCCUCAUCUGCUUGGUAGAUUUCCCUGUAAAGACAUCAAAUUAUUGAAUUAGAUAAAUGAAUAAAGAUUUUAGAGAAUGAUCAGAUGAUAAUAAUAAAUAAAUGAGUAAAUAGCAAGAUAAUAAACAAACAAAUAAAUAAUAGUAAAUAAAUAAGUAGAUAAAAAAAUAGGUGAUUGAUAAUAAUAAAUAUCAAAAAUAAAAAUAGAUAAACAAAUGAAUAAAAAAUGAGUCACACAAGUCAUGCAACCAUACAAGUUAUACAAGUCAUGUCUAAAAUGUCUAAUAAGUCAAGUGUGUCUAAGUGAGCCUAAGUGACCUAGGUGGUGCCUAAUAGGUCAAGUGUACCUAAAUGGGCCUAAGGUGGACCUAAUGAGUCUUAAUGGGCUUAGGUGGUGCCUAAUGGGCCGAGUGGACCUAAAUGGGCCUAAGAUGAGUCCAUGUAGGCUUAAGUGACCUAGCAAGAGUCUAACCUAAAGUGCACUUAAGUGAAGCCAAAUCUAAACUCGAAUGGCAGCCAAGGUCACAAUGAGGAGUUGAAUAAACCCCUUAAUCAAAGUGACUCAGAAAAGAUAAGCUAUUGAGUAGCAAUAGGGCACCUGGAAUUGCUGUAAAAUGUCAAAUGAACACCUAAUAUGACAUGUGCUAAAAGAACAAAAUGGAGGGUCUACAAAAUCGUUUCAAAAUUUGAAUAUUAAUUUACCUAAAGACCUUACCUAAGUGUUAGAAGAGAAAAUACAAGACAAAUAUAAGUUGUCGGGCCAAAAAAUAUGAAUUGGUCGAGGUAGUGGCCAAUCGACUCAACUGACUAAGGUAUUGGUCAAUCGGUUACGCUUUCCUGAUUGAAGUUCAGUCGAGAAAAGCAAAAAAUCUUCUCUUUUCCAGUAGCCUUUCUUUCCCAGUUGAGGGAUAUGUUUUCCCGAUCGAGGAAUAGUCGAGGCCUAAUAAUCACCUGCCGUGCAUUUAUUGCCCAACGUCUAGUGAAUCAGAUGACCCCUAACUCGAUCAGUUAAGGCUAUUUUUGGCAUUUUGGCUCUCAAGGCUAGAAACCUAUAAAUUUUGAGCUCCACUUCAUUUAUGAGAAAGAGAACACUUGCAUUUAUUUGUUUACCUACUUAUUAUUGCCUUAAAAACUCUCAUUCUUUUAUUGGUGCAUUAAAUCUCCAUUUUUUUUUAUUCUUUAGUGCACAUUUGUGAUUCAUCCUACUUUUGAGUUGUAUUUGAGUCAUUGUUGAGUUAGGUUGAGAUAUUCAAACUUGUUAUUUGAGUGUUAGAAGCUUCAAGUAAGUAGAGACUUGAAAGGAUUGUGUAAGAGUCCAUUGGAGUUGGAAUCCAAUUGUAAAGGUAUUGAAAGCUUGGUUGAAGCUUUAGUGAAACUCUUACUCGGUUAAGAGCUUAAGGAGAGUGGACGUAGACAAAGGGUCCCAAACCACUAUAAAUUACGAGUUUACUUCCUCUAAUUCUAUUUUUUUAUAUUUGUGCUUUUUUUUACUUGAAUUUGUGGUGCUUGAAUUUUUUUUUUUUUAAAAAAACCAAUUCACACCCCCUCUUAGGUGUUUUCUCUAUUAAAAUUAACCUUUAUUUUCUCAGUUGUUUUGAAAAUGUUAUUUAUUAUUUUUGUAUUAGAACUAUUAUUAUAUUUAACUAAUUGAUGGCAUAUUAUAUAAUUCCCAAUAAAUGUAGUUAAGAGAAAAGUAUAAAAGAAAAUGAGGUUUACCUUUACCUUUAAAGCUCUUAAAAUUGGUAAUUCACUCCAUCGAUGAAAAAUGAAAGAAAAAAAAUAUUAUGUUGGGAUUCUAGCUAUACCAACUUAAAGUAAUAGCCCUCGAAUGGAGGAGAAGAGAGGGCAAAAAUGAUAAAUAGGGUGAUAGUUAUUUUUUUUAAAAUUUGAAAAUUAUAAGAUAGAAGUAAUAAUAUAAAUAAUACUAUGAUAAAAUUAAUAUAAGAGUAAUUGUAAAUAAAUAAAGAGAGUAGGGAAGAGAAAUGUAAAUUCAAGAUUUAUAGUAAUUAGAACUUAAGCUUUCACUAUACCGAGAGUUAUAGACUAAUCUUUCAAGCUUUAUUAUUGGAUUAAUCAACGUGUACUUACAAUUUUCUUCAAAAGAUGUCUUACUUUUGAACUCUCAAAUAAUACACUACACUUAGUAAAUUCUAAGUGAUACUCCGUACUUAGAGACUUUUUCCGUUCAUCUCACAAGAUAUACAAGAACAACUUUCAUAAGAAUAAAAUUCUUAGUUUAUGAUUUGAGACAAUGGAAUAUGAGGAAACUAGAGUUGAAUUGUAAAUUAAGAUAAAAUACAAUUUUGAAAUCAAGCACACUCUACAGUACCCUUCUUCUAACUUUCUUUAAUUCUCCUCCAAUAUCCCAACUAUUAUUUCUAUUCUCCCGUUUUUAACUCUAUCAACUCAAUUUCUGACUCUUCAAUGCCCCAAUUCUUCGUCAUGACUUCAUGAAUUUAAUCUUGUAACAGUGCAACAUUGAUAAAUCAGUUGGUCUCAAAUAUAUUAUAUUAUAAAUUAAAUAAAAAUCAAUAAAAAAUAAUUAAAGAUGAUACCCCUAUUAUCAGUCAAACUUUUGGGCAACUUGUUAAAGAAAUGGUGAAGGAUCACGGAAAAUGGAUGAAUUGUGAUUUUUUUUUGUGAUGUAUAUUCAUGUUCAUGCAUUUUUUACUCUCACACAAUUGAAUGACAAUUGAAUGUGUUUAUGGCCUUGGUGCUCUAAUUCCAUCUUCUACUCAUGUAAAUUUGGCUUGUAGCCUUCAACGUUACACUAAAAAGAAAUUGGGUCAAAUACUUCAUCGACAGGUACCUGAGAAUUAAAAUUUUAAUCUUAAAAAAUGUUUUUAAAAACUAGAAAAAAAUAAUUAUAAAAAAUAGAUUAGAAAAUAGAUAAUUGUAAAAAAAAAAAAAAAAAAUUAGUAGACAACAAAAAUAAUUAUAAAAAACUAGAAUAAAUAAAUAAAAUAGAAAAACAUAAAAAUGGAAUAAAAAUAAAUUAUUUGCAUAAAAAAUUAUACAUAAAAAAAAAAAAAAAGAACUUAAGUCAUGUCUUGAACACUUAAAUUUAUAAUAAAAAACUGAAAUAGUAUCUUAAAAUGAUUUUAAGAUAAGUUAUGAUGUUCACAAAAUAUCAUAAUUUUAUUGAUGGUUUUGAAACUACCAAAUUUUAUAAAUAUAUAUAUAUUUUUUAAUUUACCAUAAAUUUAUCAAAAAUCCGGUGGAAAGCAAUUGCUUGGACCGCAGCCACUUCAAGCUCAACCGAGAUUUUAUAAUUUGAGGCCAUCGCUUGCCUUGGCUUUGGCAGUCACAAAAUAUCAUGGGCAUAUAAUCUUCUACAUUGGCCUUACCAUAACUCCCAUACUUCUCAUCCAUCAUUUUUCGAUUUUAUAUAAUUUUAACCAAUUCUAAUAUAAAAUUAUUAAUUUCCUCCUUAAACAAACAAGUUAAUAAAUGUAAUUUUUUAAAUAUAUAAACUCUUAAAUAAUUGAAAGAAAGCCUUAAAAUUACCCCAUUAAAAAAAAGAAAAAAAAGUGAGUUUUUAUAUGUAAAAAUAAUUAUAAAAUAAAAUAUUUUAAAAUUAAUUUAAAUUUCAUAUAUUUACCUAUUAAAAUUAGUAUUUAAUACGGUCAAAGUUAGUAUUUAUAUUAUUAAAAAUAUUUUUCUUUGACAACGAGAUAGAUGUGGGAAAAUGAUAAAGAAAAAUAACUUUCUUAUAUUUGAUUUUAUUAUAAAAAAAAAUAUGAAAAAUAAAUAAAUGUCUAUAUUUUUAAAUUAUUUGACUUUUAUAAAAAAAUUAAAAUAAAUAAAAUAAAUUUAAAAUAAUAUACAAAAAUAAGUUAUUCAAUUAUAAAUGGAUUUUCCCUCUAUUUUCUUUUUCCUCAAUUUUUGGAAGCCUACGUGGAAAAUAAACAGGAUAAAUUUAGUCCCUACAUGAGAUUUUGUGGGAGAGAAAGAAAGAAAAUCCGAAGGCCAGUUGUAUGCAUAUGGUUAGGCAAUUGGUGGCAGCGAGUGUGAGACUGAAUAGACUUGUGGGCUUCUGGGUGAAGUGAAGGGAGGGAGAGAGAGAUAUGGGGUUGGCCAUGACAACAAACACACUACCUCCUGCUUUGCUUUCAGCCUCCUCAAUCAGCAGUAGCUUCAGAAGGCCACUCUACUGCCACUACUCCUCAAUCUCUGCUUCUCCUCGGAUUCUCUCUUCUGUACGUCUAUUAUUUAUUUUUAUUUCUGUUUUGUUUAUUCAAUUCUUGUUUUUAUUGUUCAAUUUCUCUCCGUUUCAUUACAAUUUCUUUUCAUGUUUUUCUUUUUGAUGUGAAAGAUGUUAUAAAGAAAUAUCAAACUAUGCACGUUUUUCUCUGUUUUUCUUGAUGAGUGGUGGGGAAACUGUGCUGCAGAUUAUGUAUAUGCCCUUUUGCCUGUUUGGUUGUUGAGAAAAUGUGAUAAAGCAAUUUGAGAUUUGAAAUUGAGCGGGUUUUUUUUUUUUAAAAAAAAAAUUAAUUAGUUUUUUUUUAUUUUUUGAGAUCCCAAGAAAGUAAACCUCCCUUGGAAGAGAUUCAACCAAUCGUUUGGGUUAGUUGAGUUGAUUCUUUGUUUUCAGUGUUUCCUUUCUUUUCUGUCAUUUUCUGGGCUACCAAGCAGAGGGGUUUGGGGUUUUUUAUCCCCUUUUAAAAGUUGCAAUUUUGAAGUAAGACACAAUGGUAUGUAAUUAGAGUACAUUUAACAUUUUCUCUCUCUCUCUCUCUCUCUCUCUCUCUCUUUUGUUACUCUUUUUGAUUGAGGAUUGUGUUGAUACUGAUAGAAAGAAACUUCAUACUGAACUUGUUUCAUGAAUUCCCUUCUGUAAUUUUCUUUUAAUUUAAUUUGGAAUAUACCCUUGUUAAAAUAGAACAAAUUGAACUGGAUUUGAUUACAUAUGGGCAAUGUUACCAAAAAAAAAAUUUCAAGGAAAAAAAGAAGCAUUUCCAGUUGAUCCAAAUCAGCCACACAACUCAUUCCAUCAUCUCAAAAACCUAAAUAGUUAAAAACAUUACUGAAAAUGAUACCCGGGAGAUAACCCAAACCCAAUCAAUCAAUUUUUGAUCUGGUUGUAUUCAGGGUUAUGAAAAACCCUUUUGUUUGGCUCAAUGCCAGGCUCAACCUAAGAAUUCUUGUAAGUGUAAUAGAGGGAUUAAUGAGACUACAGUUUUGAUACAAUUAGGUUGCCCCAGUUGGAUGGAAGAGGGAAAGGAUAAGUAAAGUCCAGUUCUCGGUAGGUCAGCUACUAGGAAACCUUUAGUCUAUUAUAAUUGGACCUUUUUCAAACUUUACUAGUAGGGAGUUUUUAAUAGGUCCCAUGUUUUAAGUUCUGUUGUCCUCUUAGGAUAGACUAAAAUUUGGCUAUUCCCCUGUAUUUCUAACUUGUUUUUGAGUAAAACUUGCUCAGUCAUCUUCUUGGAUCUUAACUAUCAGCAAUGGCAACACUCUUUAGGAUUGUAAAGAUGAGUAAAUUUUGGAAAGUAAUUAGUUGAUAGGGAUCUUGGUGGCUUUUGAAGAACCAGUGGGUUUAUCAAUGAAUCUAGUUUUCGGUAUUUUCUCUUGGGUGUGUUUGGAUGUAGCAGAAAAGGCAUGCCAUCUGCUGAAUUCUGUAGAAGGGGAAAGGGUUCUGUAUCGUUUCACUUUUUGAUCAAGGGAAGAAAAAUCCAUGCUUUAAAUCCCUCUUCAAUAUCCUUAAUCAGUGAUGUUCUAAAUAUUAAUUUCACAGUUUGGAGGUUUUAGCAUAGCACUUUGACCACAACCAUUACAUCCAUCGCAACUAUCACAACUUUCCCCUCUCAGUAUAACCAUGUGUUCACACUUGCUGCUGCCACUCUCAGUUCUACUUCCACUCUCAGUUCUUCUUCCACUUCCACUUCCACUGCACUGCCUAAGCUGCUGUUACUAUGGCACCAUCACUGCUGCCAUACGAGCAGCCCUGCCACCUGUAGCCCACAUCCAUCACUGGUGCUGCUGCUGCUUUCAUAUCUCCACAACACUGCUUACUGAUGCCAAUACCACCUCCACCUAUUCUGAUUCCCUCAACAGCCUUGCUCCAGCCAUGAACUGCACCACCACAUCCUUCAGCAGCAACUCCUGCACUGAGCCAUGGAAUUCAAUCUUCUCAUAGAAGACAUGGAUUUUUUUUUUUUUUUUUCUUUUUUGAACUCCAUAUAAGUCAAUGCAGUGGAUUUAAGUUGUUGGCUGAAAGGAAGUCCUGAGGCCACCACCAUUUCUGCUCAUCCAAACAGAAUAUUUUGGGUAGUGAUAUUGGUAUAUUUUUUGGUGACCUCGUAUAUUUGUGCUUUAAGACAAGAAAAUCUGAAACCUAAAAUUAGCAUCAAAUUAUAAUCAAUCUCAUAUUCAGUGAGAUUUUGCAGAAGUUUUUCAUACUGGAACAGUUUCUUUACUUGGUUUUUUAGAAAUUCUGCAGCUUUUGACACUAAACCUUCAGUUUAUGUUCAGAGAAUAUGCAAAUCUUUGCCAUCACUUACAAAGAACACAGCAUGCAGAGUAUCCAGCGGCCAAGUGAAAGUGGAAGAUAGCGUAGAUGAUGAGGCCUGUGAAUUAGUCAAUGGAGUGGAGCUUUCCAUAGGGGAGGGUGAUGAUAGCAUCAAUGCUUAUCUCCUCAAGGCUGUUAAGAACAAUAAUGGUACAGGGAUACUGCUCUUGUCUGAUGUCUUUGGCUUUGAAGAUUCAUCCACAAGGGACUUUGCAUAUCGCGUUGCCUGCAAUGGUUACAAGUAUGUUAUUGACCUUCAUUAACAAUCUUAUAAUCCCUUUUGAAGAACUGAUUCUUUAGUAGAGUUGAAAUUUGAAUCUUUAAUUCCGUAACACUUCUUUCCUAUGCUUUUAAAACAACUGCAGUGUUCUGGUACCAGAUUUAUUUCGCGGGAAUCCAUGGGUGAAGGACCAGCCGAAGAUCAUGUUUCAACAAUGGCUAGCUACACAAGACCGCCAAAGGGUUGCUCGAGACAUUGACAUGUCAGUAAAAUGGCUGGUUGAUGAAUUCAUAGCUGCAGGAGUCACAGAGAAGCUCGGUGUCAUCGGGUUUUGCUUUGGAGGCGGCCGCGUGAUAGACGUUCUAGCCCAAGACCAGGGUGCUCAUUUUGGUACCGGUGUCUCCUUCUAUGGGACAAGAAUCAACCCAUCUGCAGCAGCCAAUGUAAAGGUACCCGUAUUGUUCAUUUCAGGGGACGAGGACCCACUUUGUCCAGUCAAUUUGCUGAAAGAUAUUGAGAAGAGCAUCGGCAGGGGGUCAAGAUUGGUAAUAUUUGAGGGAAGAGGCCAUGGGUUUGCUCACCGGCCAGAAUCUCCCGAAGAUGAUGAAGACGCAGAGCAGGCGUUUGCGGUCCUGAGAAGUUGGUUGCAGGAAGGUUUGGCUGUAAAUAACUGAAUGCCAGUUAGUUUUGGUUAGUUCCCUGUGUGUAUUCAUCUUGAAGAAGAAACCAACGAUAACCCUGCUGCUUGUUAUUAUGAUAAUAGGCCAUUUUCAGUUCUUUUAUCGGGAAUUUUGAUAGUGAUGAAAGUGAUUUGUCAGUAUCAUAUUUUCAUUAUAUUCCAUGUUGCUUUCAUUCAAGGAACCAUUGAUGAAGAACCCUUUGAUGUACCAGACCUGUGAUAUAGCUCAAAGGUACAUUGGUUUUCCGGUUUUUGGUCGAUGGUGAAACUGAAACACUGCUUUGAUAUGCUCCUGUUCAGGUAACUUCUGAGACACUGCUGCACCCGAGAUCUGAGGCACAUUCCAUUGAGGAGUUCUUGUUUUGGUAGCUCAACACAAGUAUCACAACGAGCGCAGGUGUUACAGGUUUUGGUUUGAGGUCUAGAAAAAGACCUAUGAAGUUACAAUUAAUGGCCUGUGUAAUUUUGUUGUUGGAAAAUUGAAUUUAUGUAUGAGAAUUAUAUUUUAAAAUUAUUUUUAUUAAAACUAAGGAUAAUUUUGAUAUUUUUAAAAAUUGUAAACAAAAUACAAGUGGAUUUUAGAAAUAGCGGGUUUUUAUGCUUUAAACAUGUAUCUAAGAGUUUUAUCUAAAAAUGUCAUAUUUGAUUGAUAGGAUAUAAUAUAGGACAAAUAAAUGGUGAGAUAUAUUAUCUAUUUUUUUUUCUAUAUGUUAAUUUUAUGGUAAGAUAUGGAAUAUGUAUAUCCCAUAUAUUAAAAAUUUAUUUUUUAUAUGCUCAUUUUACAAAAUAAAUUAUAUAUAUAUAAAUUUAUAGUUAAAAAAGAAAAACUAAAAAAAUAUAAACUAAUAUUAAUAAAUAAUAUAUAAAUUAUUUUAAUAUAUUAAAUAAUGUAAUAUAAAUUUUUAUUUAUUUAUAAAAUUUAAAUAUUUUAAUUAUAAAUAUUGUUAAAUAUAAGAGAAUUUUUAAAUUUUUAAAUAGUAAUUAUUAGUGAUAUAAUUUUUAUUUUAAACAUUAAAAAAUGAAUAUUCUUUUAUAUUAUUUUUUUAUUCAUUUUAUAAAUUAAAUAUAAACAUAAUAUAAUAAAACAUAUUCACGUAUAAGUAUAUUUAAAGAUAUCAUAUUUCAUUGAAAAUCAUAUCUAUAUAUUUCUUAUCUAAUGGGAUAUGAUAACCUAAAAAAUGCAUAUUUUAUUCUAUCCUAUUUCGUCAAUAAAAAAUAGCCUUUAAAUAAAUCUAAUAUUUAAACACUACUUCAAUAUUUAUAGAAAGGGGAAAAAUGUUCUGUCUUACACUUGGGAAAUAAAAAAUAAAAAAAAAUAAUUAAACUUAGAUUUCUCAUAUCAAAACUAGUAUCUAUUCCAGCUAUGUAUUGUAAGCUUAGUUAUUUUUUGUUGAAUAUAUUAAAUUUAAAUUUUACAAAUUCAUUUUUCCGUUUUUCCAUUUUCUUUUUCCAAAACUCUAUACCGAAAUACCUCUAAAAAAACUCUACCAGACAGUCCUGCUUGGGAAUUGGUUAAAUAGGAUGGUGCCUCGGAAAGGGAAUGGAUAGAGCAUUUGUUUUAGCAUAGAAUGGAGAAUUUGGACCAUUAGAGAGAGAUAUUUGGCAAUUGGUGGUCCUUAGUUGUUGUGGCUUGUAGUGUAAGGCAACUGGCUUUGUGAUAUAACUGAUAAGAGGGGGUAGCCUGGGUCUUAGCAAACACCCAAAAAGACAAUUUUAUCACUUUCAGUUGUCAAAAAAUCCUUUGGUUCUCCAUCUACCUAGUCAUGGUGAGGUAACAGUGAGUUAAAUUCUAGUUUACUUUUUGAGACAUGAUGGUGAAGGAAAGAACAGUAGAAUAUGAAUGUCCAUAACUACAAAAACCACUGCAGAACAUCCAUGAAUUAUGGUUGCUACCUCAUUACCCUUCAAGAUUCAUCAGCAAAGUUAUCAAUAGGAACCAUUCACCAUAGCCAUUAACCAGUAAUGGUCUUCUCAUAAAAUGAAAAAGAAAUAAAACAUAUAUAUAUUGAAAUUAAGAAACUCUUCCUGCCAAACAUCUUCCCUGUGAAGCAAUGUACAUCACAACUGAUAAUCAAACAAAAGUCGAGUUAACCCAUGCUAUAGAGGGAUUUCACAAGCCGGUAACCAACUUAAAAUCAAAAUUUUUGCACAAAGUUUCAAGGAAGAUUUCCUUUUCUCAGGAACCAUAACAAAAGUGAAAUGAAACAAUGAGGAAAUAUGCAGAAGAUUCAGUAGCAAAAGAAAAUCAAUUAUUUCUUCCUUUUUUUUUUUCUUCCUACUACACUCCAUUUGGUCAUAGGAUUACAGAGCAAAAGGCAGUAGGGAGAUCAUAACUAAUAAUGUACUCAUAACAAUGUUGUACUACAUGGCUGAAAGCCAUUGCAGGGGGAUUAGGAAAAAACUGGCAACAAUAAUCUCAACUUCUGAAAAUUCUGAUUUGAAACCCAACCAACUCCAGGGUUUUGAUAUCUUCUAAUCAGUCCUGUCCCUCCUGGCAACAACAACAGAAUUACUAACCUUGAAUAAAUUGCUUACAAUUCAUAUAAAGUUCACAACAACAAGAAGGAAAUAUAAAACAAAAAGAUCAAAAUAUUUUGAACAACCUAAAGAACUGGUAAUACAGUUGAAAUAUUAGUGUGGCUAGGGAUCCUUGGUUUGUGGUCCCCAGAAGUGAAAACAAAGGGAUUACAUAAAACACAAUAUAAGGGAACAGCUGGUGACAACUGAAAGCUCUAUGAGGAACCUAAGAGAAUGUGUCAUAAUAGAUAAACAAGUUACAACAAAGAAACUACACAUGGGAUUUUACCUAAAUGAUAUGAAAAAACGGGAACUUGAAUGAUUCAUUGCCCAUUUCACCGUCAUGGAUUGACAGGGUUUAGGGGUUGUCCUUCCAAGUAGUCUUUGCAUCUCAUUCAAGUGGAUUCUUUUUUCCAUCUGAAAGUGGUGACUUGGAAAAUCUUUUGCACAAGGUUUCAGAAAAGACUUCCAGAAGUAAACACUUCCAUGCAUCUUGAAUCCAGGUAGGUUUCAGAAACAGAUUUCAGAGACGUAUUUGUCAAUGAGUUUUCAGAAGUUUUCCAAGGUCUAUUAUAAGUUUUGGAGAUGCUCUAAGCCUUGCAGACCAAAGGUAUUGAGAGGCUUCCCAAGGGACUCAGUUGUGACCUUUAGAGCAAAAGCCUAUCCGCUAGAGUAUGCUAUGUUCUAUUUAUAGUUUUUGAAGACAUCACAGUUCAAACCCUUUAUCAAGACAUGACUUCCACUAAAUAUCAAGAAGUAGAUUCCACUAAAGGGUGAUAGGUUGUAUUGUAAUUCAAUCUAUUAGAUGUCAUUUCUGGCGAAUCACCACCACCAACUUCUGAGCCCUCCAUUAGCAUAUAUAACAACUAAUAAUCACAUUCAUAGACCCACAACAGUACAUGUCACAGUAGUUAUUACUCUUGAUUUUGCAAUGUUUCUUAGUUAAACCAACAAGGAAAUGGAAACCUAAUUUCUUAUUCUGUUUGGUCUCAAUUUGCAUUGGCCUUUUUGGAAGCUAAAAGCACUUUUCUAAAAAAAAAAGAAACGGAUUUUAUUUGUAUGUAAGAUAAUUUAAUAACAAUACUUUUGACUUUAAAAAGAGCUUAACCUGGAAGUAAAGACAAGAUUGCUUCUCGUUAAAGUCCUUUCUCAGCUUAUGUAGGAAAUUGUUUCAUGUUUAACAAAAUUUUGUAGCACCAAAAUUGUCCCUUUGAAAUCAUGGUUUAUGGUUUGGCUUUAACCUAAAAGCAAAAGCAAAAAGCUAUCUAAAACAAGGCCUUAGUUUCAACUCAUAACUUGCUUCUUUUCUAACCCAGAUAUAUAUUCUUUUUUUUGAUAGGUAAGUGCAAAUUGUAUUAAAACACCAAAGUUUUCUAACCCACAUUAUAAUAUGUAACUAGAUUAAAAUUUAUCAGUGUCUGCUAAACUGAAUUUCCUACAAUUAUAAUAAAGAGCUAAAAUUAAUUUUAAAUCAAGUUGUAUCAAAUAAUGAUAUUUCUCUUCAGAGAAGCAGCUAUAAAACUAUUCAUUGUCUCUUAAUUUGCUUGCCAGUCUUGCUUUUUGGAAGUGCAUAUCUAGGAACUGAUUUCUAGGAUUAUCCUAUUCUAGUCCACUUGUUCCACCAGGCCACCACCCUAACCUUCCAGGUUCAAUUAUACUUCAUAUCCCUUCUGUAUUCACUGUUUCACCUUCUACCAAACUCACCUAUCUUUUACAUAUCUAACUUCAAUAAACUCUGUUCCUUCACAAUAUGAAUUCCUCAACAUACACUAGAUCAAGCUCAAAGGAUUUCCUGCAGAUUAGGUCUUUAGAAAAUAACAUUUUGGUGCUGUUUUCUCAGGCAUAUGUACCCAAGACUAGCCCUAGAGUCAAAUAUAGAAGAGAAUAAGAGAAUACAACUAAAAGAUUCCACAAAUUAAAACCAAUGUAGAACAAACCCACCUGAGAAGCAGGAGCAUCUGAAAUCUUAGGAGGCAGAAACAUUGCAGGGUAGCCACCAAACUUUUGAGAACACUCUGUAUAUGCAGAUCCAAGUCCCAGUCCAGCACCAAAAGCUACAGAUGCCCAGCGUGUCACAGGACUCCCUGACAUGACAAAUCAGAAUAAAAAUUCAAUUUUUUUUUUUUCAUUUUUAUUAUCCUGGUAUGGGAGAAGGGACUGCUUAGAGAUUCAAAUGUUAAUGUGAAGCGAAGGCUGCUGAUCUUAUGAUUUUAAAAUAUGCUUAUACUUAGGGCCUCAACUGACAUUAGAGUGAACAAUGCCUAGGAAAACUAGUUCAUGCACAAUAUUUGCUUAGAAAAUUAAAUGUCAAAAAAUUAUCAGAUUUAGUUCCAUCAUAAAGUAUUUAGAUGACUAACUCUUAAUUAAAACAUAAUUUAUUGGGUGUGAAAGUGGUAAAAAAACAUGUUAGUAUACCAAUUAACAAGUCAAAACAUGAUAUUACUUAACAUGACUGUCUAAAUUGUACACUACUGUACCAUCAGAAAAUUGCACUGACAACAGUAACUUUGUUUCUCCUUCACUAACCAGAUUCAGCUGAAUGAUUGUCAUUCUUGGUAAUAAUUUUGGUAAUCCCAUUGAGUGUGGAGGAACCGUAGUGUUCAAGUAUAUUGAGGACAUUGGAACAUUUGCUUUAUGGGACCAAAUUAGAGAUUCGAUUCCCUUUGGAUUCUAAGGAGGACCCACAAAACCUUUGUGAACAUUUUGCAAUGAGGCUAAGGCUUUGCAAGAUCCACCCAGGAAAUUGGGUCUUCAAUAGAAGAAAUCCAAGUAGACCCUUCUAAAUAGCAGAGGGCUAAGAGUGUUAACAAAGUCACUCGGGAUUCCUCUGCAGGGGGCAAAAGGAAGCCAGAGAGUUAAAAGAACCUUCAAACAGUAUGCUAUGCUGCUUCAGGCUCUAAAAGGUGUAUAGGAAGCAAUAAAGUUUGGGGUAAUCCACAAUUACAUUGCAAUGAAGUUUGAAUUUAGAUGGUAAAGAUGUUAAAAGCAUUUGAGAAGCUAGGCAAAAGGUGUGUAUCCUUACCUUGUUUAGGUGCUUGGGGAGAACAUCACUAUCAUCUAAACAACAGUUUUGUUGAAGAUGUCAGGGGCCUAGAAGAUUCCCUCACUUUAUCAAUAAAUUACACUUUGGGAAUGUUUGAAGGGUUGGUAAUUGAGUGCUACAUAUGGCUCCAGCAAACCUAGAUUGAGGUCAGAUUUGUGAGAAACCCUCUGGUUUCCAUGAUCUGAUGCUUUCACAUAAAUUGGAUUGCUAAACAAAUAACUUUUAGGAUACAAGAGGAAUUUUUCCCUUUUAUGCUUUGAUAAAUUAUAGUCAUCCUUUUAAGAAAAGAACUCUAAUUAUUCAUGCACAGUCACAAGAAUUUAUACCAUUAAGUUUCCCAUUUAAGUUAAAAUGAAUAAUUUAAGAAAAAUUUAUGCUUUGUUUAUUUUAUUUUAUUUUUUUUAAUGAAAUCAAAACCUUCUUUUGGUAUAAAGAAAGAGCCAAAGUUCAUGUAUGUGAGAGGUCUACACCAAGGAAAAGAGUAAACAGAAAGGAAGAAUGUAUUAAAAAACUAUAAGAAAAACAAAGAGGUUAAUUUAACUCCAUGCCAAUGAAGAUACACAUACACUUGGCAAAAAGGAACUUCAACUUUGCCAAAGGAAAUUCUUUAUCUUCAAAGAUUCAUUUCUACCUCACCUUCCAAAUCUUCCAAAACAUAGCAUGUGGAACACCAUUCCAACCUCUCCUUAGCCUUUUAUCACAAGCAAUACUCCACCCAAAAGAAAAUAAACCAACAUUCACAAGAUUGCCUGCUAAAUACCAAAAAAAUGAAGAAAUUGAAAAGCCCCAAGACCUGAAGGCAACCAAGGAAAAAUGAUCAACAAAUGCCUCAUGUUCUUCACACAUAAUGCACCAAUUAGAAAUGGCCCACUUCAUAUUUAUCAAGCAACUCAUUGUUAGAUGAUCACUGAAGGCAACCAUCCACAAACUGAAACUCACAGAAUAAAUUAACAAAAGAUACUCCUAUAAAAUCUUUAGCCUUGGACACUCCAAGAAAGAAAGGAAUAACCAAAAGCCUACUUAAGAUUAGAGAGAGGAACUCUGCUCCUUCAAAAGAAAAAUCUUCAUGUUUUGCACUUUCCAAAUGUUCCAUUAGAGAAAAACAGGGUUGUUGGCAAAAUAAUGCUACCCUCCCUCAUUGGAACCUCAAAGAAGCAUCCUAUGAUGGCCAACCUGGAUGAAACCUUUAGGCUUAUCAAACCCUAUGCCACAAGGUGGAGAACAUCUUAUGAUUGAUAACCAUUUGAUUUAGGCCUAAAUUAAGGGUCAUAGACAAGAAGGCCUAGAAUCUCAUGGUUCAAAGUCGUAGUAUCAAUCAUUGGUAUGAGACAUUCUGAGGCACACUGAUCUCAACCUAUGUUGUAUAGGUUUGGAUAUGAUUGUUGGAUGCAAGCACGUGUCUAAGUGUCUAAUCCUUCACAACUCAAAUUUUAGGAUAUGGGGACUUGACUAAAAAGGAUCCAAUACACAUGCACAGGUGCUAAGAUACAAUAUAAUAAAAGAAAAAUCAAUUAAAUGUAGAUUGGAAGUUGAAAGAAUAAAAGAAUAUCAAUGAAAGAAUCAAACACUCACAUCCAAAGUAAAACAGGAGUGUCCGACAAAGAUCCCAUAUCCAUCCCCAUAUCAUGUUAUGUUGACAUGGGUAUGUUGGGUGAAAUUGAAAGAUCUGGGAAUCAUAGAUCUCAACAUCUCAUUAGUAUCAGGUGAUACAUAAAAGAUGAAAAGAAUAAAAUGGAAUUUAUUUUUUUAUCUUUUCAAAAAAAAUGUUUAAAAUAAACAUUUUUUAAAUUUAAAAAUGCAUUUUUAACUAUUAAAAAAUACAACCAUUUUAAAACAAUAAAUCAUUUUAAAAAAAAUUAACAUUAUUUUUCCUAUCAAAUAUGCCCAAAAUAAAACAAUUAUAAAAUAUAAGAAUUUUUAUUAAUUUUAUUUUUAUUUGAAUAAGCAUAUCAUAAAAAAUAAAUAUGUUUUGUUAUACCUCAAUCCGUUAGUUUCCUAUUUUUAUAUCAAUUUCAUACAAACCCAAAUACCCAAAUACCUAUGCAAUCCAAUUUUCAACAUAUCGCUACACCCAACAAUAUAAAUCUGAUUACUACAUUUAAUCUCAUUCAAUCUCCAAGGUUAGGUCCUUUAGGAAACCUUUGACUGAAAGCCAACACCACCAAAGUUUCACCACAGCUCCACUCAACUUCUGAUCCACCUCCCCUAUUCCUAAACAGACCGAAAAGACCACAAAAUUACAUUUACAACUAAUUUCUCAUGCUUAAACCUUAUCCUCUUUCUUUCCUUUCAGGUCUCUUUUCCUCAGUACUGUUCACAUAAUUGACAAUUAAUUUAAACAAAAUAUUAAUCAACUUUAAUUGUAAUCCACAUUCCUAUCAUUUUCUGCCCAUGGAUCGGGACAAAAAUACUCAUUCAGUAACAGGACAAUGCUUGGCAGACCUCCUUGCCCAUGGAAACGACCUUGGGAGUACCAAAUAACUACUUGAAGGUUGGUUUCAAAGGUGACCAAGCUAUCUCAAGUAAGCAGAAAUCAAUAUUUGUUUAAGUGAAUGCUAAGGCGCCUGAGCUAACACAGGGCCUCAAGUAUAAGACUUAGUGAUCGAGGCAUAAUACCUCCAGCACAUUGAGUGUAACACCAUGGCCUUUGAGCCUGAGCCAAAGCUACUAAUGAUUUGACACCCUAGUACACUAGUUCUACAUGGUCCUAUUAUUAGGGUACAUCACCAUUCACCACCACAUGCACUUGGAGCCAACUAAGUUCCUAGCUAAGGUGCCAUACUCCUGAACAAAAAACGUGGAGGAUUCCCCACAAUUCUGAGAAUGCCAAAAAUGGGGAGGAUGAAAGUAGGAGCCCAAUGAAAUGAAAAUCACCAGCACUGGUCACUCUUGUCCAAUCAAAGUGAAUCAUCAAACCAGCUAAAAGGCGUCAUUUCAAUCCAAUAUAAAUUUUUUGCAAAGCAUGCAAACAUAAGGAGAAAAGAAAAGGGAUUCCUAGUGCAUAAUCUUAGUUCCAAAUGUUUCCAAUCUAAUAAACACCAUAUCUAUUAGAAAAUGCGGAAAAACUCCAUAAUAGGUUAAUUGAGCAUUACGUCCUGCUUGGUUGCCAAGAAAAUGUAGGAAAAAACAAACAAACGAAAUUCCCUCACUAAAAAUAAUAACUUUUUUUUUCCUCCAUAUUGAUUGAAAAUUACCCGGUUGGACCACCAAGAAAAUGCAGGAAAAAAAAAAAAAACAAACAAACAAAAACAGCCACAACUCAAAACUCUAAACAGUUCAUCUUCUUCAGGUUAGUUGAACUUUUACCCCGCCAAAAAAAUGCAGAAAAAUUAAUUAAAAAAAAAUAGAAUUUCAUGAAUUCCUUUUCCUUCCCUUUCCUUCAGCUUGAAUGAACAUGAAACCCCGGGUUGUGGGCCAGAAUAAAUUCGUAAUCCCGCACCGUUUGGUUGGUAAGACAAAGGAGUAAAAUAAAAAUUUAAAAUCAAACAAAUGAAAAUCCAUAGCUAAAAAGCCUAAUCCCCCCUUCCCUUCACGCAGAUUGAAGGAUAAGUCCCGUUUGUUUGCCAAGAAAAUGUGCGAAAACAAAAAUCCAAAAUUUUACAGGAAACCAAAAUGAUGAAUGAAUAGGAAGAUGAAUAAAAAAAAUAAAAGAGGAAGAAGACUGACUGAAGAGGAGGAGGCCGCCAAAAGCGCCCGCGAAGGAAGAGUAGACGAAGCGGCGGACGGUGAGAUCAAGACAGGCGUCCCAUUUGGCAUCCAGAUCGUAGGGUGGAGGGAUCUGCUUGUUCUCCGCCAUUGAUAUGAUCAAAUACAACCACUUUCUUCUUCCUCUUUUCUCUUUUUCUUCUGAUAGAAAGGAAUUGUUUGUUUAUUCUUUGGAGAAAUUGGGAAGAAGGGUUUGUUUCCCGUACGACUAGGGCUCAGCAUUGGGCUUGAGAGUAUUUGGCCCGGCCCAGUAAACACUUGGGCACGGUUUUCAUUCACAGGCCCAUAACUAUGUUCCUUUCACAGUAAUCAGGGAAAAUUACAUGGAUACCCUCGAGAUUAAUGACAAUUAAUCAGUGAGAACCUGAAUUUUCUGAAAUUACGGACCAAACCCUUGGCUAAUAGUGUGACCGUUGGAUUGCUGACGUGCUAAAAGUUAAGAAAAUGUCUAAAUGGCUUUAGUUUAGUUUAACCUGCAUAGAUAUUUAAAGGGUUAUUUUAUUAAAAGACUCAAUGAAAACCCAAUUUUAAAAAUUUAACGCUUCAUCGUUUUUUUUGUUUCAUUUGGAUGGAAAUGUUCUUGUUCUUUUCUUAUAAAAAUAACAAUUUUUUUUAAAACCUAUGUGUAAAUGUUUGAAAUAAUAAAAGACAUUUAUGUUAAAAAUAGGUUGAUCUUCAUGUCAAAAUGUGGUAAGGGUUAAAUUCAUAAGUUUGGAGAUUAUUUCAUCCAUUUUUAACCGAUUAAUUCAUAUCUAGAAUGUCUUUACAAUUUUAUCUUCUAUUAUCCUAUUUCCCUCUACUUAAUCAUGUCAUUAAUUAUAAUCAAAUUUCUUCAAAUUUUUAUAUACAUAACCUAAUUAACAAAAACCUAAUUAAUUUUAAUUAGAAUUAUUAAUUAAAUAGGAUUCCUAAAUAAACUUUAAUAACUAAUAAAAGUAACCCAAGAAUAUUCAUAUUGUAUAAUAAAAAAUAGAAUUAUGAAAUAAAAAUAUUUUCCUAUUUAAUUUUUUAAUAGGAAAUUAUUAAUAAAUAAUAGUAAUAUUAUACCAUAGAAAUCAAUGUAUAAACUAAAACCAAUUUCAUUUUUAAAAUUAAAUAUAACUUCAAAUAAUUAUUAAAUAACAUUGUCAAAUAAUUUGACGCUCCCAUCCCAUUCAACUCCUAAUGGAUAGAGUUUGAGAUAAAGAUAAACAAGAUUAGAAUGCAUUUGUGAGGUUAUUUAUGGCAUGCUCUAAGGCUAUUUUUCAUCAAGGGAUAUUGACAUAAAUUAUCUUAUUAUGAGAGAAAAAUAUAAAAUCAUAUAAUUUCAUUUGAACCCAUCAACAUGAGCAUAAUGAUUGUUUACAAAAUCUCUUUAUUGUUCAUAAGGACUAUGAUGCUCUAUCAUGUCUUCAUUAUGUGUAUAUCGUAAUGGAAUAAUAUUCAAAUAAGACAUGUUAUAUGUUUGACACUAAAGUUAGACCAUGAAAACUCAUGGGGAUAAUGAGAUUCUUUUAGUUAAGAUUCUCCAUUUAAACAUGUUUAAGAAAAAUGUUAAUAUACUAUGAGGCAUGUUUGGAAUUACAUUAUAUAUAUAUAUAUAUAUGAUUACUAUAAUCGCUAUUUAUAGUUUGCUUAUUUAAAUAAGUUAAACUUUUGAACUUAGAAUGAUUAUGGAUACACUUGACUACUUAUCGAGUCAUCAUUGUACAUCAAGUAAGAGAAUGUUUAGACCUUAAGUGGUCUUAAUGACCAUACUAAAUUUCCGUUUGGUAAAAUAAAAUAUUUCAUGGUAUCUUUUUGUUUCUAUGUGCAUGUAAAUACAAUUGAUAUCCUACAUUCACUUAUCCUUUUUCUAGUUCCCAUUCAUAUAUUCUUAUAAUGUUAACUAGAUUCAUUAUAAAUGAACUCAAAAUUCAUUAAAUUCAUGUUCCACAAUUUAUCACAAGGAAGAAAAUAUAAAGAACCUAAUUUUUGGUUCACUAAUAGAAGAAUCAUAAUGGAAUAUAUAUAAAAAGCUCUUGGUCCUCUCCUCCGUUAUCAUUCCUUCCAUUUGAAAGUUUUAUCCUUAUAGGCCCAUUAUUAAUGUUAAUCCUAAAUGAAUGUUUGAUAAAUCAACUUAAUACCUUAAAAUGAUUUAAUAACUUAAUUUAAGUUAUUAAGUAAAUUAAGUAGGUUUAAUAAAAUAAUUUAAUGAUAUGAUUUAAAGUAAAAAACAACUUUAAGUAAUACUAAAAAUAAUUAACUUAUUUUUAAAUUCAUAUAUUCAUUUUAUAUUUUUACCCUCAUUUGUUGUAGUUACCUCCAUGAUCUUUUUUGUUAUUCCAUAACUUUUACUGUUAUUUGAGUUUUUUUGCCUUAAUAAUAAUUUAUGAGGCUAAAUAUAUAAAUUUGAUGAUUUAAAAUAAAUUUUAAAUUAAUUUUAUCAAACAACCUUAAUACUUAAAAUAAUAAUUAAGAAAUAAGUUUUAAGUUAAUAACUUAAGUAUAAUUUAACUUGAAGUUAACUUAAAUCAUUAAGUAAUAAAUAUUAAGUUUCACCAAACGUAUGUUAAGAGAGAUCAAGAGAGUGAAGAUUGUCUGCAACCAUCAAAGCUUAGCAUUGUAUAUCAAGACUCAUUUUUUUAUAUUCAAAUCUUAAAAAGUUUUAUUGUUAUUAAUUAAAUAUCAUGAAAUUUACACGUUAAGAUAUUUUAACAUAUGAUUUUGGAAAUUUUGUACCAUUUUCUUAUAAAUUUGGAUAAAAAUAUGUUGCAGUAUAUGGUUUUAAACAGUAGUGACUAUAAUGAAUAUCAAAUUUAGAAAAACAUUGUUAUAGUAAUAUUAUUUCCACUAUUAUAUUCAUCAUGACUUUCUAUGAAUAGUAGAAAGAUGUCAGUUUGCUCUUGCAAAUUAAGGUGAUUUAAAGCUCAUAAUCACUCAAAGUCAUUGGCUGCUUCUCACAGAAUUCCAAAGCUACAUAUGAUCGAUCGACAGAGUGAAAUUUAUGUAUUUAAGUAGUUGUUCUAAGACUUGAUAUAUUCAAGCUGUUCUUAUUACAUUACAGCAACCAUUCCUCGCCAGUCUCCUUCCACCCUAGGAGUUUAUUUUGGUACAAUAUAUAGGAGGACUUUAUUUAUUUAUGGUAAACGAGGAUCUUUAGUUCCAUGGUCGCUCACACCUUAAAGCUCCUGAAAGGACAUCAGCUCAUUACACUGAUUAUGCUUCUUCCACACAAUUGCCUCGUAGUCGCCGGAGGUGCCGGCGAGAUCGGCUUUGAUAUGGAGUUUGUAAAUGUUUCCUGCCAGGUGCUGAAACCACCCCAUAGAAACUUUCUCGAAUGCCAGGUUCCAGUUUUCCUUCUUGUUCUGCUCCUCCACGGCGUAUUCUCCCAACUCCUGGAUGUGCUUCUCUUCCACGUCUUCGACCUUGGUCCAUCUGAUAGCUUGCGUGUGAGCCAUGAGACUUGUAGAACUUGUGGGUUUUGGAUGGGUUUUUGUGGGGUGGUGGUGGGUUGGAUUUAUAGACUGGAAAGAGACAGGGAUGCGAACUGCCUUUCCACUUUCUCGGAAGAAUACGAAUCUAGUUUUGUAUGGAAACUGACCUUCAUAUUAUCAGGUUUAUUUGCAUGGGAUAUAAUAAAAAGGAAAAAAAAAAAAAGAGAGAGAAAAAAGACCUAAAUAAAGAAAGAAAAAGCAAGUACAAUUUUUUAGGGGCUUUCUUUUUUUCUUUUCCUUUUCAAAUUAACAUUAACUUCUCUAAUUUAAAACUUGAUAAAAUUUUAGAAUAACAAAACCAUUAGAAAAAAGUUAUUCUCAAAGUCAUGUUUAAUAAUAGUUUUUUAAAACAAUCUUAUGUUAUUUAGAAAAAGGAAAACACGUUAGACAAUUAGAGAAUAUAAAAACAGUUUUCUAUUAUUAAAAAUCGAGAGCAAAUGUUUUUAGAAAAUAAUUUUAAAUUAUUUUUACUUAUUUUCUAAGGACAAUUCUAAAAAUAAUUAUAUAAAUAUGGAGACCAAUUAAAAAUAAACUAGUAUAAAUAAAAGUUAUUUUUAAAACUAAUUAAAAAAUAUAUUAAAAAUAUUUGAGAUUCUCAAACAAAUUUUUGUUUUAUAAAACUCUAAAAAACAAUUUUUAAAAACUAUGCUUUAAAUUCAUUUUAAAAAAACACUUUUCAAAGAUCAGCAAAGUUUUUCUUUUCUAAAAGGUAAAAUUAUAAUUAUUUUUUAAUAUAUAUAUAAUAAUUCUCCAUUGACACAAUAGCCACGUAGUGCGCCUUUACUAUGGAGAAUGAGCAUAUGGUCCGGGAUAGGAGUAGUGGGUUUCAAAAUAUUCUAUCACAUGAAGAAAUAGAUAGAAAAAUCGUCUGUUUCUAAUUUUUUAUUGAACUUCAUAUUCUUGUUUGGUGAUUGAUGUAGGACCAUGGAAUCCUUUAUACGUUUUUAUCUUCUCUUUUUCUAGUUGCUGCAGGAUAAGAGAAUGAAUGAACAAUUCUAAGGCCUAUCACAAAAGAAAUAGAUCAAAAGAAUUAUCUUUUUCCAAUCUUAUUACAUCUUUUUAUUUUUUAGUUAAUAAUGUACGAAAUAGAAUUAACGGUCUAUUUAUAUGCUCCUUCCCCACAAGUGAUGAAAGAAAAUGGAAUUAAUUCUUGAAGGAUAAUUGUUGUAGUAGUUGGAGUUAAUUUUGAGGAAGAAAGAAUAUGGGAAAAAAAAAAAUUAGGGAAGCAAAGAAGAUUGUUACAAGGGGAAUGAUAAAUAAUUUAUAAUUUGAUAAGUUGUAAAGAAAAAAAGACAAAGUAAUUGAAAGAAGGAGAUCGAGAAUCGUAUCCUUUUAAAUAUUUUGAGAUAUAUUAUUCAUAUGUGGACAAUGUCUAUACUAUCUCCUCAUCUCCACUUCUGAACUUAUUACCCAUCUCUAGCUUAUUUCUUAUCUUAGAUUGAACCGGAUUGAGAAUCUUUAUUAGGAAAACAAAUUCCUCAUCAAGACCAGGAAUCUUAUUUAGUUGGUUUUUAAAAUUUUAUAAUUUUAGUUUUAAAAAAGUUAAAAAUAAAAUUAUAUAUAAACUAGUAUAUCUAAAAUAAAAUCUUUUAUUAUAUUAAUAAUAAACUAGUAAUAAAAAAUAUUAUUGUAGACCCCCAUUUUGGGGAGCUAUCAUUCUUCUCACGUUUCCUUUCUUGCAGUUAGCUGUGGCCAAGUGUCACCAUCUUGCAUGGCCACGUGUCAUUCCCGGAUUAGUCAAUAUGAGAUCAAAAUAGUGGAAUUGAUGGACCAAUCAGAAGAAUAUUUGGCUGUUGAGAGGAGCGUAGGAGAGGGGUGCUUUUUCUGCCGGCUAAAAGAUAUUUUGAAGGGAUCUUUUUCUGUUAAGGGUGAGGCUUUUUGAGUGGAGUAAGGGAGGCUGGCAGCUGGGUGAGGUGCCGGGGAUGCAGUUAGGAUAUUUUUGGGCGGGAGGAGGUUUGGCAGAGGAUGGAGAGGCUGGUGACAGAGCAGAGAGCUUUAGAGAGAAAAGUGAGAGAGACAUUAGAGCUUUAAGGGAGGAUAGUUUAGCUUAAGGAAGGUGAGAGAAGGGAGAUUCUGGAGAAGCAAGCUGAGAGAACCAGAGUGCCUUUAGGAUGAGAGAGAGGUAACUGGGGGGAGGAUGUUUGCUGGAGAGUUGUGGACAACUUGAGGAAAAGAUGAGCCGAGAGUGAAGGAGAAAGGAUCUGAGAAAGAUAGAGUUGAAGAGGCGAGAGGAGGAACAACUCAAGAACUUUGAAAGACCAUCUCCAGGUACAUUGGUGGUAAUCUCUUGGACUAUUCUCACUCACUCUGUUUUCUUUCUAUCUCACAUUUUCUCUUGCUGUCUCUGUUUUCUUUUAUGAUCCUUGGUUAGUUGUUCGGGUAUAAGUGUGAUGCUGUAUUACUUUCCUCUGUACUUUUUGCUUAUUUGGAUAUGGCUCAUUCCCCUUUUGGUAUUUAUUUUAAACUCUCCUGAUGCACCACUGGCCAAAACCCCUGGAUCUCAAUAUGAAAGGGGAUCCCACUUAAUGCUUUGCUCACUCUGUUUACUCUGCCAUGGGUACACUAUAUCUUGUUUUAUUUCUUCCUCCAUUUCCGGUAUCUCAAUCCAUAUUUUGGUUUCUAGCUCAUGUUCCUGGAUUUGUUUUGGACUAUUGGUUUUGUGUUCUGGUUUGUGCUUGAGGGGAGAGGGUGGUGCUUUGGCUACUGCCACAGAUUCAGGGUUCCCAGUGGACGAGAUGCAGAUGAGUGAUACUGGUCCUUGAGGGUCUUGCACCGAGAUACAUUUUGGUAGAAUUGCUAAUAGUGAUGCUGUAUCAUUGGCCGACAAUGACGUUCCUCGUGUUAAGAUAUGGAACUUUUGUGUUUAUACAGUUCGACAGGGAAAGAGAUGGUUCUCUUAAAUCUCUGCCUGCUAAACAUGUCAACGCCGGAACGGGUUUUGAAAGAUUGACUUCCAUUCUUCAAGGCAAGACGAGUAAUUGUGAUAAUGAUGCACUCUUACUCGUCUUUGACGCUAUUCAACAGGCGACUAAUGCCUGAUCAUAUUCAGGGAAAGCUGGAUCAAAUUAUACAGAUAAAGUUGGCUUGGCAUACAGAGUUGUCGUUGAUCACUUAAGAACCUUUUCUUUUGUUAUUGUUGAUGGAUCUUGCCCAACUUAGAGCACUUUUGACUAGUGGUUUGGGUAUGGAUGGGAAACCACUAUGAAGGACGAUGCUGUUAUGAUGCUUGCCCGUUUUAAUGAUCAGGGAAUUUGGAUAUGGCAUUUUGUGUUUAUCAAGAAACCCAUGGGAUAUGGCAUAAAUGUUCCCUACAACAGCUUCAUGUCAAUCAAGAAACCCAUGCUCUGCUACAGAUGUUACUUAUCCUUACAAAAUUGCGUAUCUUACCAAUGGUUCUGGUGCACAUAUUAUAUUUGGUUGUAGUGAGGACCAGAUUGGCUCCUUUUUGGAUGGGGUUACUCUCAAUGGCAUAUUUGGAUUUGGUACGAGCGGUGUUCGUUCCUAUCAUUUUAGCAAAGGAAAGGCCAUUACUGUUGGGGUAUAUUGAGAAGGCGGGAACCCUUGACAAUGGAGUCUUCCCCUGCACGCAUUGUAUUGAGUGGAAGCCGAUAACCCCAACCCAGAUCAAUGGAGCCGACACCCAGACACUCAUGCCUGAAGCUUCAAAUUCCUAACCAAUCGGAACCCAUCUUCAUCAAGGCCACCUGGUUUCCUUCCCAUUUCCACCUCUCUAUCACCGACAGCCUCCACACCUGGCUCUGUAACGCAUCGGAAGACGAGGUCCGAGAGCGAGCCGCCCAGUGGGAUCAACCUGUUUCUGAUUACAUCGCCUUGGCUGAGCGGUUCCUAGGGUUUCAGCAGCCCGGUUCGGUUUACGGGUUCUCCGACGCGGGUGACGGCCAUAGAAGAUUGCCAUGGACAUUUGAGAAGGAAGGGACUAAGCUAGAAUGGCGGUGGAAAUGUGGACCCUUCAUUGGAGCUACUCUAGCUACCCUGCAGCCACGUGUUUCAUGCAGAAUGCUUGGAGCAGUUGACUCCAAAUCAAGCCUCCACCCUUGCAUGAACUAUGCAUGGCCACCUUUGACCACGUGUCACCUCCUUUUAUUCCUCUCAUUUCACCAUCCUUAGUUUUUGAAAAUAAUCUUCCUAAACUCUAGUUUGCGAAUAAUUUUUCAAAUUCCUUUUUUUCAAAUAAUUUCAUCUGUUUAAUUUUUCAUCCUUAGUUUUUUCGUUUAGGUUCCAAAAAUCAUCUUUUCAAUAAAAUUUGGCCAUCAUUCUCAUUCUGGUAGGUCACUUUCAAAUUUUCUUUGUUUUUUUAAAUGUUUUAAAAUAAGCAUGAAUUAAAUUCCGUAAUUCCGAAUAAUGGAAUUUAUGGAAUUAAUUCAUGCAAAAAUAAACGGGCUUUGGUGGGGACCCUACAUAAGUGAUUUCCUUAUGAUUAAUUUAUCGAUUGAUUUAAUUGCCAUGAAUGAUAGAUUUUAUUAUGCUCUGUGACAUGUCUCGUGAUUGUUAUUAUGCUUUCCUCUCUGGAUAGCGCAUGGUGGCUCGUUGAUCAGGUACACAUCUAUUCUCACUUUGGUCACUCUAUAUACAUGUAUUGAUUCCCAUAUGUGCAUGAUCAAUUCGGGUAUCCAUUGAUUUCUUUAUUAGAUGCCACGAUUGCUUCAUUUUAUUAGUAGAGACCCGACUUUAGGGACUUAAAGGGGUGCUACGGUCUUUACCGUACCUUCCUGAUAAGUAACCUGACCCCCGAACCCGAUCCGGUUUUUCAUGGACCGCAUUUUCCAAAACAAGGAGUCACACUUAGGGGUUUUCUUUCUUAUUUUGUUUACCCUUUAAAUAAUAAAACAAAAAUAAGUGGCGACUCCAAGUCAUUUCUUUUUAAUAAAUAAAAAUCAUUUUCAAAUAAAAAUCGAGCUCGCCAUCGAGUGGGAAACGCAAUGAGUUGAAAUGCGGGGUCCACAAAAUGGUGUGUCAAACUCGUACCGAUGCGGGGUCCACAAAAGGUGAUCCAACCGAUACCCAAACUCGUACCGAUCUCAGAGCACUCUCAACUGGAGACUAAAAAAAAGAGGGAGUGUCAAAUCCGAACUAUGACUACAGAGGCUACUAAAAGCCCUCAGAUGCACCCACGUGUAAAGAGGAAGUCCUAAUCGAAGGAUCUACGGCUCAACCUACGAGGUCAAUGGUGGCUCUAAAUGGAUAUGGGUGGACUUUAAAAGAUCCAUAGCAGAAGCGAUCAUACCUUCCAACGGUACGCAACCCUCUACACACCUCCUAAGAGACGGGACGCUUCCAUGCAAGGUGGUCAUCACCUCCACACAUGCACUACCUCGACAUCCCAAGGGAUUUCCUAUGGUGAGACCUCUCAAAACUCUCAACGCUUAAUGGUCGACUAGAGUGCACAGUGAACGGUGUGGGUGCAUCCGAAAACCUUAUGAAACUAAAAGAGAACACACUGGCCACACAAAUAUCCUGAAAUCUAACUCUGGGCUAUAUAAGUCUUCGAAGUUCGGACUCCAAUCAGCAUCAAUAUGUCGACCACCUCCAGAAUGCUCCCAAACAUAGAUAUAGCCCAUCGCUAGACCCUACUCCUAAUCACUAGCUCGGUCGAAGAGAAAACAAAGCAACAAGUCUCGUAUCAAAUAUGAGACCAAGGAAAACAAUGUCGACCGAGACUAGGGACUUGAAAAUAAGGAGAUAAGUGUGUGUCCCACAUAGACACGCAACUCAUGCAGUCACAUCAGAAGAAAGGCAGUCACGCGACAGGCAGUCAGGCAGAGUACAAGAUAUAUCACUCAUGCACACAUACAAGCUAUGACAAUCAGAUGAAAAAGUGAUACAAAUAUCAUGCUCAAAGACAAUCAAGAGAAUAUAUAAUCCAGACAAUCGACAUGUCAAAUCAAACGAUGUAUAACAAUGAAUCCAUAUAUGCAAGGUGGUCAAAACAAUCAUGGCAAAUAUCAGGAUGACUAUGCUAAGCAAGGCAAGAUGAUCAAUCAAUAUAAUCAGUAUGUCAGUGUACUCAACAAUCAUGGAAAUGAAGCAUAGAAAAAAAACAAAAUCCUCAAUCAAGAUAAUCAAUCUCAUAAUCAGCAUGUCAAAUAUCUCAUACAAAUAUAUCAAUGAAGCAUGAAGAAACUGGCUAUAUUAGAAUCCUCAAUCAAAAUAAUCAACCAACANNNNNNNNNNNNNNNNNNNNNNNNNNNNNNNNNNNNNNNNNNNNNNNNNNNNNNNNNNNNNNNNNNNNNNNNNNNNNNNNNNNNNNNNNNNNNNNNNNNNCCAUUUUGUGGACCCCGCAUUUCGGCUCAUUGCGUUUCCCACUCGAUGACGAGCUCGAUUUUUAUUUGAAAAUGAUUUUUAUUUAUUAAAAAUAAAUGACUUGGAGUCGCCACUUAUUUUUGUUUUAUUAUUUAAAGGGUAAACAAAAUAAGAAAGAAAAACCCUAAGUGUGACUCCUUAUUUUGGAAGAGGCGGUCUGUGAAAAAUCAGAUCGGGUUCAGGGGUUAGGUUACUUAUCAGGAAGGUACGGUAAAGAUCGUAGCACCCCCUAAGUCCCUAAAGUCGGGUCUCUACUAAUAAAAUGAAGCAAUCGUGGCAUCUAAUAAAGAAAUCAAUGGAUACCCGAAUUGAUCAUGCACAUAUGGGAAUCAAUACAUGUAUAUAGAGUGACCAAAGUGAGAAUAGAUGUGUACCUGAUCAACGAGCCACCAUGCGCUAUCCAGAGAGGAGGUUAGUGCAUAAUAACAAUCACGAGACAUGUCACAGAGCAUAAUAAAAUCUAUCAUUCAUGGCAAUUAAAUCAAUCGAUAAAUUAAUCAUAAGGAAAUCACUUAUGUAGGGCCCCCACCAAGGCCCGUUUAUUUUUGCAUGAAUUAAUUCCAUAAAUUCCAUUAUUCGGAAUUACGGAAUUUAAUUCAUGCUUAUUUUAAAACAUUUAAAAAAACAAAGAAAAUUUGAAAGUGACCUGCCAGAAUGAGAAUGACGGCCAAAUUUUAUUGAAAAGAUGAUUUUUGGAACCUAAACGAAAAAACUAAGGAUGAAAAAUUAAACAGAUGAAAUUAUUUGAAAAAAAGGAAUUUGAAAAAUUAUUCGCAAACUAGAGUUUAGGAAGAUUAUUUUCAAAAACUAAGGAUGGUGAAAUGAGAGGAAUAAAAGGAGGUGACACGUGGUCAAAGGUGGCCAUGCAUAGUUCAUGCAAGGGUGGAGGCUUGAUUUGGAGUCAACUGCUCCAAGCAUUCUGCAUGAAACACGUGGCUGCAGGGUAGCUAGAGUAGCUCCAAUGAAGGGUCCACAUUUUCACCGCCAUUCUAGCUUAGUCCCUUCCUUCUCAAAUGUCCAUGGCAAUCUUCUGUGGCCGUCACCCGCGUCGGAGAACCCGUAAACCGAACCGGGCUGCUGAAACCCUAGGAACCGCUCAGCCAAGGCGAUGUAUAUAGAGAAAUAUACUGCUGGAUUAAAUAAACUAUUUCCUCCUCUGUUAUUCAAUUGAUCUGUACGUAAAUACAUACAAUAUCACAGAGAACUAUUUUAGGAAAUAUUUACAGCAAUUACUAUGACAAAAUAACUAUAUACCAAUCUCGGCUAAUAAUCACAUAAAUAGAAACAGAUCAAAGACUUUAUUCAAAUGGCUUGAUUGUAGGCUGAAAUCAUGAAGGUUUGACUUGAUCUUGAUUUUGGCAAUCUUCCUUAAUACGCCCCCGCAAGAUUGAGCUUCCAUCGGCAAGACCAAUCUUGGUACAUAACAAUUCAGUCCGUUGCCGUGACAAGGGUUUUGUCAAGAGAUCAGCAAGUUGAUCUUGCGUGUGAACAUGACGAACAUGAAGGGUCCCAUUUUGAACAAGCUCUCGGACAAAGUGUAAAUCAAUCUGAAUAUACUUCAUGCGAGAAUGAUUAACUGGAUUAAAACUCAGAUGUGUGGCGCCAAGAUUGUCACAUAGCAACAAGGGAGGCACCUUGAGUGGAAAACCGAGUUCAUGAUGUAAGGAGUUCAGCCACACAGUUUCAGACGUAGCAUUGGCAAGAGCACGAUAUUCAGCUUCCGUCGAUGAGCGAGCAAUAGCUCGUUGUUUCUUGGAGCUCCAAGAAAUGGGAUUUGUGCCAAGAAAACUAAUAUAAGCCGAAGUAGAGGUUCUGUCAUCCACAUUCCCUACCCAGUCAGCAUCAGAGAACGUGGUUAAAACUGAAGUUGUGUUUCUAGUAAGCUGAAUACCAUGAAAAAUGGUUUGUUUCAAGUAACGAAGCAGUCUCUUCGUGGCUGUCCAGUGGGCUGUAGUUGGCUUAUGCAUGAAUUGAGAUAGCUUAUUCACAGCAAACGAAAUGUCCGGUCGGGUCAGUGAAAGAUACUGAAGACUACCAAUGACACGCCGAAAGUCAGUGCUGUCAACAGGUGCUGUGCCAUCAAACAAUUUCAGAGAAGCAGUUGUGGAUAAAGGAGUGGACACAUCCUUAGCACCAAGCAUAUUCGUUGUGGACAAUAAGUCACGAAUGUAUUGAUGCUGUGACAAGAAUAGACCAGCACGAGUAGGAAUAACCUCUACUCCCAGAAAGAAGCUAUGGUUUCCCAUAUCUUUUAGGGAAAAAUUUUCACCCAAUUUCUGAAUUAUGUGAUCCACAAACUGAAUAUCAUUGCCAGUAAUUACAAGAUCAUCAACGUAAACCAAAAAAUAGCAAAUGAUAGGACCAUGUGUAUAAAUAAAUAGAGAAGAAUCAGCUUUGGAAUUUUUGAACCCAAGCUGAAAAAGAGCAGUUCUUAGAGUUGUGUACCAAGCUCGAGGAGCCUGUCGAAGCCCAUAAAUGGCUUUUCUCAAUCGACACACAUGAUCAGGCUUACUGGUAUCUUUAAACCCUGGAGGUUGCAUCAUAUAAACAGUUUCUGUGAGGGUUCCAUGUAAAAAAGCAUUGUUGAUGUCCAUUUGGCGUAAAGGCCACCCAUUCAUCACGGCUAUAGUCAAAACACAUCGAAUAGUGGCUGGCCUAACAACAGGACUGAAGGUUUCCUUGUAAUCUAGGCCCGGUCUUUGAGUAUAGUCUUUGGCCACAAGCCUGGUCUUAAAUUUGUCCACCGAGCCAUCAGCUUUGCGUUUUACUCUAAACACCCAUUUACAGCCCACGGGUGUACAGUUUGGGAGGGGUGGAACCAAAUCCCAGGUUCCAUGUUUCAUCAAGGCAGUGAGCUCAGUGGACAUAGCAUCACGCCACUGAGGAUGGUUCACGGCUUGAGUUGCACAAGUUGGCUCAAUUGCUAGAGGAAUGGGAUGUUUGGAAACCAAAUGAAGUUGCUUGGGUUUAAAGAUGUUGUUCAUGGAACGGGUUGUCAUUUUGUGGAGACGAGGGUUCCCAGUUUGAACACACGAAGGGGGAAUGGAAUGGGACUGAGAUAAAGUAAGAUCAGCAACCGUGUGUGUGUGAGUCGGAUGAAGGGAGGAAAGAAGAACAGGGUCAUGCGAGAUGAGAACAUUUGAAUGAGAACCGGAAUUUCUAAGAACAUCAGUCAAAGGAAAAUUAGGAGAAGAGAGAGGGGGCUUACCUGGAGGUGAUGGAGAUGCAGCAGAAACAUCGGUCGGAAGCACAUGUGAUGGUGCCGAAUCAGAGGAGUGCACGGACGGAAUCACUUGAGGAGGAACUCGCAUGGGCUGAGAAGAAAAUGGAAUAAAGGAAGUAGGGCACAGAUGAGAAGAAGACUCGGGAUGGGCUGGGCUCUGGGCUUGCUCGGAUUGAAAAGGCAGUUGGGUCUCAUCAAAUAACACAUGCCGAGACACAUAAGUUUUGUGGGUCUUAAGAUCCAAACAAAUAUAGGCAUUUUGAGUUUGAGAAUAGCCCAAAAAAAGACAUGGAAUGGACUUAGGUUGCAUCUUGUUAUUAUUAUAUGGACGUGUAAGGGGAUAGCAAAGCGAACCAAAUUUUUUUAAUUUAAGAUAAUUUGGUUUCUGUCCAAAAAGAGCCUCAAAGGGGGACUUGUUGGUGAGAAGAGGAGUCGGUUGCCUAUUUAUGAGAUAGGUGGCAGUUCGAAAAGCAUGAGGCCAAUAUGAAAGAGGCAAGGAAGCAUCCGAAAGUAAGGUGAGGCCAGUUUCAACAAGAUGUCGAUGACGGCGUUCAGAGACUCCAUUUUGUUGCGGGGUGUAAGGAGCAGUAGUAUAGUGACUAAUGCCGUGAAGAUUUAAAAAAGGUUUGAGAGAAAUAAAUUCACCACCAUUAUCGGAGUAAAGGGUUUUAAUUUUGGCUUGAAACCGAGUUUCAACAAAAAUUUUAAAUUGUGGAAAAAUAGUUGACACACUCGAUUUGGUAGCCAUGGGAUAAAACCACAUGUAUAUCGUGUAGUGGUCCACAAAAAGAAGAUAAUAACGAGAACCAUCAAGACCCGUUGAGUGUGCGGGACCCCAAACAUCCGUAUAAAUAAUUUUAAGUGGACCAGUACUCGAAAGACUAGUUGUGCGAAAAGGUUGUUGAUGAGAUUUAUUAAUAGAACAAGAACGACAUAACAUGGUUAUUUUAUUUGUAGUGGUAGGAAGAGAAAAAAUAGAAACAAGAUUUUUAACAAUGGGAUAGGAAGGAUGACCAAGACGCUUGUGCCACCCAUCAAGCAACAUCCGUUCAUGCACAUUAGCAACCUUUUGUGAAAAAUUUCCCACAAGUGAUUCCGAAAAAAUGUAAAUGCCGUUCUCACAUGAACCUCUUAGUAGGAUCGCCCCUGUGAUCGGUUCCUUCACAAGAAAAUAAGAUGGGUGAAACUCAACAUAUACAUUAUUUUGUGAGGUAAAAUGAUGAACAUAAAUCAAUUUUUUUUAAAGAUUUGGAACACAGAGAGUAUCACGCAAGAUAAAGGUUCGAUUGGGUGAGUGUAUAGCUAAAGAACCAACAUGUGAAACAGCCAAACCUGAACCAUCACCCAGAACCACUUCAUCGGUGCCGUCAUAUUCAGAGUGAAUAGAUAAAUUCUGAAGAUCACCAGUGAUGUUGUGGGAGGCAGCGGAAUCAAGGAGCCAUUUUUGCUCUUUCAUGGUAGAAGUUGUUGCACUGUUUGCAGUAAUUUCACUGGGCUUCAGUUGAGGACAAUUUUUGGCUGUAUGGCCCAACUCAUCACAGAAUUGGCAUUUGGGCCUAUAAGGCCGCUGGUUGUUGCUGGGCCGAUUGGAACCAUUGGGACGUCGACCAUCACGAUUUCCACUUCGGGCUGGAGCUUGCCCAGACUGACGCUGAGGCCCAUUCGGCUUGCUAUAGCUGCGUUGUUGACCUCCCGAAGAACCAGACUUCCUGGUUGUAUAGUUUGCAGCGGCCACCAGUUGCUGAGUAGCAGUUUCAAGGCGGCGCAAAUAAUGUUUGUGGCCGACCAGAAGAUCGUGGAGCUCCUCAAAGGCAAGAGACUUUUCGCGAGCUCGGAUUGGUGCUACAAUUUCCCUGAAAUCAGAACCUAAGCCAUUAAGCACAUAGAGGGUUAGGUCAUCAUCAGAAAUGGGGUGGUCAAUAAUGGCAAUUUCAUCUGCCAGAGACUUCACAGCAUGUAGAUAAUCAGAGAUAAGCCGAUUUCCACGCUGUAUUAAGGUGAGUUCCUCUUUUAAUUGCAUAGCCCGAGUUCGUGAUUUGCUAGCAUAGAGGGUGUUCAAUUUUUGCCAAGCCUCAUGGGACGUUUUUGCUGUUGCAAUGAGUGGGGUGAUGGUAGGGGAAGUGGAAGCAAGAAGGGCACUGAGUAUAAGUUUGUCUUGCCGAACCCAAUGAGUUUUGUGUAGGGCAGAAAUAGAGAGAUCACUCGGAGAGGGACAUUGAGAGAUGCCGGUGACAUAAUCAAGCAAAUCAUAUCCUAUGAGUAAGGCUUCAAAUUGAGCACGCCAUUGAGGAAAAGUAGAAGGAGUCAAUUUUUCAUUAAUCUGGGCAGUGAUUUGAGAGCAACAAGAGUGGUUUCAGUGGAGGAAAUGAGGUGGGUGUUGAGAUGAAUUUGAGGUUGUUCGGGUGAGGAAGACAUUGGGGAAAUGGGAGGGAUCGACUCGUUGGAGAAGGGCUGCUCUGAUACCAUAUAGAGAAAUAUACUGCUGGAUUAAAUAAACUAUUUCCUCCUCUGUUAUUCAAUUGAUCUGUACGUAAAUAUAUACAACAUCACAGAGAACUAUUUUAGGAAAUAUUUACAGCAAUUACUAUGACAAAAUAACUAUACACCAAUCUCGGCUAAUAAUCACAUAAAUAGAAACAGAUCAAAGACUUUAUUCAAAUGGCUUGAUUGUAGGCUGAUAUCAUGAAGGUUUGACUUGAUCUUGAUUUUGGCAAUCUUCCUUAAUAAUUAGAAAUGGGUUGAUCCCACUGGGUGGCUCGCUCUCGGACCUCGUCUUCCGAUGAGUUACAGAGCCAAGCGUGGAGGCUGUCGGUGAUAGAGAGGCGGAAAUGGGAAGGAAACCAGGUGGCCUUGAUGAAGAUGGGUUCCGAUUGGUUAGGAAUUUGAAGCUUCAGGCAUGAGUGUCUAGGUGUCGGCUCCAUUGAUCUGGGUUGGGGUUAUCGGCUUCCACUCAAUACAAUGCGUGCAGGGGAAGACUCCAUUGUCAAGGGUUCCCGCCUUCUCAAUAUACCCCAACAGUAAUGGCCUUUCCUUUGCUAAAAUGAUAGGAACGAACACCGCUCGUACCAAAUCCAAAUAUGCCAUUGAGAGUAACCCCAUCCAAAAAGGAGCCAAUCUGGUCCUCACUACAACCAAAUAUAAUCUGUGCACCAGAACCAUUGGUAAGAUACGCAAUUUUGUAAGGAUAAGUAACAUCUGUAGCAGAGCAUGGGUUUCUUGAUUGACAUGAAGCUGUUGUAGGGAACAUUUAUGCCAUAUCCCAUGGGUUUCUUGAUAAACACAAAAUGCCAUAUCCAAAUUCCCUAAUCAUUAAAACGGGCAAGCAUCAUAACAGCAUCGUCCUUCAUAGUGGUUUCCCAUCCAUACCCAAACCACUAGUCAAAAGUGCUCUAAGUUGGGCAAGAUCCAUCAAUAAUAACAAAAGAAAAGGUUCUUAAGUGAUCAGCGACAACUCUGUAUGCCAAGCCAACUUUAUCUGUAUAAUUUGAUCCAGCUUUCCCUGAAUAUGAUCAGGCAUUAGUCGCCUGUUGAAUAGCGUCAAAGACGAGUAAGAGUGCAUCAUUAUCACAAUUACUUAUCUUGCCCUGAAGAAUGGAAGUCAAUCUUUCAAAACCCGUUCCGGCGUUGACAUGUUUAGCAGGCAGAGAUUUAAGAGAACCAUCUCUUUCCCUGUCAAACUGUAUAAACACAAAAGUUCCAUAUCUUAACACGAGGAACGUCAUUGUCGGCCAAUGAUACAACAUCACUAUUAGCAACUCUACCAAAAUGUAUCUCGGUGCAAGACCCUCAAGGACCAGUAUCACUCAUCUUCAUCUCAUCCACUAGGAACCCUGAAUCUGUGGCAGUAGCCAAAGCACCACCCUCUCCCCUCAAACACAAACCAGAACACAAAACCAAUAGUCCAAAACAAAUCCAGGAACAUGAGCCAGAAACAAAAUAUGGAUUGAGAUACCGGAAAUGGAGGAAGAAAUAAAACAAUAUAUAGUGUACCCAUGGCAGAGUAAACAGAGUGAGCAAAGCAUUAAGUGAGAUCCUCUUUCAUAUUGAGAUCCAGGGGUUUUGGCCAGUGGUGCAUCAGGAGAGUUUAAAAUAAAUACCAAAAGGGGAAUGAACCAUAUCCAAAUAAGCAAAAAGUACAGAGGAAAGUAAUACAACAUCACACUUAUACCCGAACAACUAACCAAGGAUCAGAAAAGAAAACAGAGACAACAAGAGAAAAUGUGAGAUAGAAAGAAAACAGAGUGAGUGAGAAUAGUCCAAGAGAUUACCACCAAUGUACUUGGAGAUGGUCUUUCAAAGUUCUUGAGUUGUUCCUCAUCUCGCCUCUUCAACUCUAUCUUUCUCAGAUCCUUUCUCCUUCACUCUCGGCUCAUCUUUUCCUCAAGUUGUCCACAACUCUCCAGCAAACAUCCUUCCCCCAAUUACCUCUCUCUCAUCCUAAAGGCACUCUGGUUCUCUCAGCUUGCUUCUCCAGAAUCUCCCUUCUCUCACAUUCCCUAAGCUAAACUAUCUUCCCUUAAAGCUCUAAUGUCUCUCUCACUUUUCUCUCUAAAGCUCUCUGCUCUGUCACCCAGCUGCCAGCCUCCCUUACUCCACUCAAAAAGGCUCACCCUUAACAGAAAAAGAUCCCUUCAAAAUAUCUCUCAGCCGGCAGAAAAAGCACCCCUCUCCUACGCUCCUCUCAAUAGCCAAAUAUUCUUCUGAUUGGUCCAUCAAUUCCACUAUUUUGAUCCCAUAUUGACUAAUCCGGGAAUGACACGUGGCCAUGCAAGAUGGUGGCACUUGGCCACAGCUAGCUGCAAGAAAGGAAACGUGAGAAGAAUGAUAGCUCCCCAAAAUGGGGGUCUACAAUUAUAUAUAUAUAUACUUGGGGUGAGGAGUAGGGUCUUUGUCUCUCAUUGAGGUUUUUAAAAUUUUCCUUGUCAAUGAUCUUGAUUAUUACUCCUAAUCCCCGUCUCAAUGUUUAUUUAUUUAUUAAUUUGUCAUUUCUCAAUUUCUACUUUAAUUUAGUACUAGAUGUCAUGACAAUACUAGAUGGAGUUGAUAUAGAGUUUGCAAAGAGGUGCAAGAGUGUGCAUCUAGUUCUUGCAUACUUGUGGAAGCUCUAAAAUUUUUGUGAGCCUGGUGCAUUGCCACAACAAGAGGACCCUAAUCCUAGAAAGUUGAGUGAUGCCUGCUAGGAUGAAACUAAAAUGGUUUCUACUCAUGUUUAAGUUUUUAAGGAAGAUAAGUUCCUAAGUCAACAAGAAUUGCAAAUCUAAUUCCCUUUAUAAGGAGCAUAAAGCUAGAAAGAGAGCCUAAAAUAAAUAAUAAUCAUAAUAGAAAAUACUAGCUCAUAAGGAGUUUUGAAAUUAAUAAAUGUUGGCCAACCUACCAUCCUAAUUAAUUGAUCAAUCUAUAAAGACCCUUCGUAAGCUCUUUUACAACCAUAUUUUGUGCCAAAAUGACCUUAUACUAGCUUAUGAAUAAAGAACACAUAUAUCCCUUAAAAACUAUAUCACCAAAAAAUAUGAACUCUAAUGGAGACUUUUAGACCAUAAGAAAAUACUGGUUCCCUUAGAAUUUAAUUUAUUUAAAGUUGACUUAAUAUCCUACUAUAAAGAGGUAAUUACAUUAUAAUAUCCUAUGAUAUUAUAACGAGAUAUAAAGCUUAGGUUUGUAACCUAUUAUCCAGUAUAUGCAAACUCCUUAUGAAUUGGUAUACAUAAUCUAAUGAUGUAGAUGCUAUUAGACUCUAAAUGUUACCUCUACCACCCUUUAGUGUUAAAUCCUCCUAUUAUGUGAUUAAUUAACAUAUUCUGAUUCUUUUAAGAGCAUAUGUCAAAUUCCAGAUAGAGAAUUGCUAUGAUUAUAUAUUUCAUGAUCAUAUGCCUUUAAGAUUACCUAAUGGGAUGCGUUGUCUCAAUCCCAUGAAAUAUCAUAGUGUCUAUCUUGAGGAUAUUUAUUUUCGCUUGCCUUGAUCAACAAUGACCCAAUUCCUAAGUAACAUACAACCACCUUAGGGUCUCACCAUAGGUUAAAAUCAUUGACUUCAACACAAGUUUAAUAUUUUCUGAAGGUUGAGAUUUCAGUAUAGUAGCUUGGUGAAUUCAUGAUUACCUGAUAACAAAUGUCAUGAUUCAUUGUAGGUAAAAAAAUUGAGAGCCUAUUUGACAUUUGUUUUGAAGAAUAGCUUUCUAUUUUUCAAAAAAAAAAAAAAAAAACAUGUUUGAUAACGAGAAAGUUGUUUUCUAUUUUUUGUUCUUAUUAACAAAAAAUAAGGUAUUUAUAAGAGAAUAUUGUUUAGUUGUUUUUAAUUAUUUUUUAAGGGUUGUUUACAAAAAUAAUUAUACAAACAUGUAAAAAGAUUAAAAAUAAGGUACUAGACAUAAAAAUUAUUUUCUAAACAUAUUUAAAAAUAUUAAAAAUAGGUUAAAAAAAUUUUGAGUUCCCAAAUAGAUGUUUGUUCUAUAAAACAUUAAAGAAAAGUUUUCAAAAACUAUUGUUUAGAACUAUUUUAGAAAAUAAUUACCAAAUAGGGUUUGAGUUUUUGUUCUUUUAGGUCUCUCACCAUAAGCUCGUUUGCUUUAUGUAGGGGUCACUUUUUCUUUCAAUUAAGGAAGCUUAUAUAUAUUUAAAAAUAUUUUUUUGAUUUAAUUCUAAAUAAAUCUUAAAACUAAAUAGUCUUUAAUAGUGUUAAGUAUUAUGUUAUUUGUUUUUUUAAUAUUUUAUUUUAUUAAGUAUUAAAAAUUAAAGAAAACAAACAAAAUAUUUAGUUUUUUUAUUUAAUAAAAAAAUUUAAGAAAUAAAUAAUAAAUUAACAACACUAACAAAUAAAUGAAUGAUUUGAAAUUUGAAAGCAAAUUACUUUUAACAAAAAAUUAGAAAAAAAAAACACCACCUCAAUCUACUACUUUAAAGCCAAUGGUGCUAGUUCUAGGCCUAAUCCCUAUUGUUAGAAGGAUAUUAAAUAAUAGAAAAACCAAAAGUUUUUUGAUAUCUAAUCAUAAUUAAAUUUUUAUUAAAGAACUAAUCAUAAGGAAAUGAUAUAAUAUAAAAAAAAAUCUAACAUAAAGUAAAAAUUAGUUCCUAGUCCUUACCCCAACUCUUCUUCCCAUCUAAUGCUAAAUUUCCUCCUACACAAUCCUUACUCAUUUUUACUCAUUUUUAUGGAUAUAAGAUUAUUCAAUAUGAUUAUGGUUUUGACUGUGCAGUGAUAACCAAACGAUGAUAAUUGUUUUACCAACAAUAUAAUCGACUAUCAAUUCAAAGUUUGGUCAACAAUAUUUUAUGAUAAUUUCUCAGAACCAGGCCAAAGACUAGAGAGUGUGAAAUUUAUGUAUUUAAGCAGUUGUUCUAAGACUGGAUAUAUUCAAGCUGUUCUUAUUACAUUACAGCAACCAUUCCUCGCCAAUCUCCUUCCACCCUAGGAGUUUAUUUUAGUACAAUAUAUAUGGGAGGACUUUGUUUAUUUUUGGUAAACGAGGGUCUUUAAUUCCAUGGUCGCUUACACCUUAAAGCUCCUGAAAGGACAUCAGCUCAUUGCACUGAUUAUGCUUCUUCCACACAAUUGCCUCGUAGUCGCCGGACGUGCCGGCGAGAUCGGCUUUGAUAUGGAGUUUGUAAAUGUUUCCUGCCAGGUGCUGAAACCACCCCAUAGACACUUUCUCGAAUUCCAGGUUCCAGUUUUCCUUCUUGUUCUGCUCCUCCACGGCGUAUUCUCCCAACUCCUGGAUGUGCUUCUCUUCCACGUCUUGGACCUUGGUCCAUCUGAUAGCUUGCGUGUGAGCCAUGAGACUUGUAGAACUUGUGGGUUUUGGAUGGGUUUUUGUGUGGUGGUGGUGGUGAUGGUGGGUUGGAUUUAUAGACUGGAAAGAGACAGGGAUGCGAACUGCCUUUCAACUUUCUCGGAAGAAUACGAAUCUAGUUUUGUAUGGAAACUGACCUUCAUAUUAUCAGGUUUAUUUGCAUGGGAUAUAAUAAAAAGGAAAAAAAAAAAAAGAGAGAGAAAAAAGACCUAAAUAAAAAAUAAAAAAAAGCAAGUACAAUUUUUUAGGGGCUUUCUUUUUUUGUUUUCCUUUUCAGAUUAACAUUAACUUCUCUAAUUUAAAACUUGAUAAAAUUUUAGAUAACAAAACUAUUAAAAAAAAAAAAAGGGUUAUUCUCAAGGUCAUAUUUGGUAAUGAUUUUUGAAAACAGUUGUAUAAUAAUUAGAAAAGGAAAACACGUAUGAUAAUUAGAAUACAAAAACAGUUUUUCAUUAUUAAAAAUUGAGAAUAGUAUGUUUUUAAAAAUUAUUUUUAAUUCUUUUUACUUAAUUUUUAAUGACUAAUUAUAUAAAUAGGGAGGAUGAUUAAAAAUAAAGUAUUGUAAAUAAAAAUUAUUUUUAAAAUAUAUUAAAAAACAUAGAAAAAAUGUUUAAAAUAUUUCUAAAUUUUAAGCAAAUUUUUGUUAUACAAAACUUCAAAAAGACAUUUUUCAAACAUAACCAAAGUUUUUAUUUUCUAAAAAAUAAAAUUACAAUUAUUUCUUAACAUAUAUAUAUAUAUAUAUAUUGACAUGUACAAUAGCCACGUAGUGCGUCUCAGAGGAGAACGAGCAUUUGGUCCAGGAUAGGAGUGGCGGGCUUCAAAAUAUUCUAUUACAUGAAGGAAUAGAUAGAAAAAUUGUACGUUUCUAAUUUUUGACUGAAUUUCAUAUUCUUGUUUGGUGAUUGAUGUUGGACCAUAGAAUCCAUCAUACAUUUUUGACUUUAUCUUUUUCUAGUUGCUGCAGAAUAAGAGAAUGAAUGAACAAUUCUAAGCCCUAUCACAAAAGAAUUAUUUUUUUCCAAUCUUAUUACAUCUUUAUGUUUUUUUAUUGUUAAUAAUGUACGAAAUAGAAUUAACUGUCUAUUUAUAUGCUCCUUCCCCACAAGCGAUGAAGGAAAAUGGAAUUAAUUCUUGAAGGAUGAUUGUUGUAGCAAUUGGAGUUAAUUUUGAGGAAGAGAGAAUAUAUAUGGGAAAGAAAAAUAAUUAGGGAAGCAAAGAAGAUUGUUACAAGGGAAUGAUAAAUAAUUUAUAAUUUGAUAAGUUGUAAAGAAAAAACGACAAAGGAAUUGAAAGGUGGAGAGAAUUGUAUUCUCUUAUAUAUUUUGAGAUAUAUUAUUCAUAUGUGGACAAUGUCUAUGCCAUCUCCACUUCUAAAUUUAUUCCCCAUCUCUACCUCAUUUCUUAUCUUAGAUUGGAUGGGAACUGAGAAUCUUUAUUAGGAAAACAAAUGCCUCAUCUAGAUUGAGAAUCUUGUUUAAUUGGUUUUUAAAAUUUCAUAAUUUUAGUUUUAAAAAAGUUUAAUAAAAAAUUAUAUAUAAACAAGUAUAUUUAAUAUAAAUUUUUUAUAAUACAAUUUUUUUUUUUGAGAAAAAAAGUGUAUAUUAUAUAUAUAUAUAUGUAAUGGUAUAUUAGGACUUGGGAUGGGAUGGUUUUGGGGUGAGGAAUAGGGUCUUUGUCCCUCAUUGAGGUUUUUAAAUUUUUCAUUGUCAUUGAUUUGAUUAUUACUCCUUAUCCUUGUACCAAUGUUUUUUUUUUUUUUUUUGGUAGUUUUUUUUCAUCCCUCAAUUUAUACUUUAAUUUAGUACUAGAUCUCAUAAAAAUACUAGAUGGAGUUGAUAUAGAGUUUUCAAAGAUUGGCAACAGUGUACAUCUAGUUCUUGCAUACUUGUGGAAGCUCUAAAAUUUUUGUGAGCCUGGUGUAAAGCCACAACAGAAGGAGCCUAAUCCUAGGAAGUUGAGUGAUGCUUGCUAGUAUGACACUAAAAUAGUUUCUACUUAUGUUUAAGUUUUUCAAGGAAGAUAAGCUCCUAAGUCAACAAGAAUUGUAAAUCUAAUUCCCUUUAAGGAGCAUAAAGCUAGAAAUAGACCCUUAAAUAAAUCAAAAAUGAAAAAAAAAACAUAGGGUCAUAAGGAGUGUUGAAACUAAUAAAUGUUGGCCAGCCUAUCGUCUACACUAGAACAAAUGGAGAUAUUUGAAAAAAAAAAUAUCUUUGGCGGAUUAAGAAUUCCUAAAAAUAAGAGACAUAUAUAGGACUAUAAAGAAAGCUAAUCUAUUAUUAAUGUCAUCGAUAUAUAUGUACCUAUUUUUGCCAAUACUCAUUGAACAUAUACAUGAUCCCAUGCAUAUAUAGUUUGUUGCAUCAACCCACUUCUUUAGGACCUUGUCGGUGAAUACUUUACCAUCCGAAUUGUUGUAUUAAAUCAUGCAUCCAUAUCCUUGGUAUGAGACAUUAAGAGAUAUUUAUUGUAAAGAACUCUUGUUCCAUUUUCAACAAAGAAACCAUAGGUGUCUAGAAUUUUUGUAUCAAAAUUUUUACAAUCCCCCUUGGUCAAACAAGCAACAUCAAGAAAUUUCAAUAUAUCCUUUUACCUAUAACUUAGCCCAUUGUAACUUAUUUUAAGUACACCUAAAAUUCUCUUGCUUGCUAAUGGACAUUUCCAUUGAAGAUAUGUGUUGCUAAAUAACAAGAACCCAAAACUUUAAUAGCUAAAGGAAGACCUUUACAAUCAUAUUAUCACACAAUUUAAAAGGGUUAAGAAAUUAUAAUCAUAACAUGCUUUUUCAACGGCAUAUCAGCUCAAGAGGACAUGAGCAUCAUCCUUACUCAAUGCCACUAGCUCAAAUAAUUCAACCAUGCAUAAUAAACAAAUGUUUAUGUCUCAUUGUUAUAAUGAUUUUACUUCUUUUACCAAACCAAUCAUGUCUUCCAACUAAAGGUUCUCAUUGUUUUAGAUCAUCCACAUAAUCCAAAACGGUAAAAACCCAUUUACAAUGAAGCAUGUGGUGACCCACCCUCGUAGGUGUCAUCCAAGCAAAAUAGUGUCUCCUCUUUACUCUAAAAACUUAGUGGAGAUACUAUCCUACAAAGAGAAAUUUAACUCAUAAUUGGAUAUAAUGUGUUAGAGAAGUAUAAUGAAGUAUUUUUAAGGAAACAACAUAUUCAUAACCAUUUUUAAGAUACAAAAUUUUGAGUGCAUAAGAGCCAACCUUAGCAUCCAAUUUUCAAAUCCUGAACAUAUGUAAGGAAAUGCCUACAUGGCAACAGUCUACACUAAAAAGAGGAAAAAAGAAAAGGGCAACAAUGGAUACAUGUCUUGCUGGCCACUUGUUGAACUUGCUCAAUAUGUGAUUCUACUAGAUCCUCGUCUGAAAAAAUUAGGGAAUUUCAUCAUCCAAGUAACACUCAACGUAAAUAAUAUAUAGUAUAACAAUUAGAUAAACAUACAACGUUAGACAACCCGAUGUAUAAUCAAUUAAACGCAUGUAUCAUAUAUGCAUCCAACUUUCAAUACAUUCAACUUUCAAUACAUUCCAAGGCUAUGGUGCCACUCAACUUUCAAUACAUUCCAAGGUUAUGCAAAUAUAACGACUAGCACCGUGGCCCUUCAUCCAUCGACAUAUAUCAUAUAUGCAUCCACAAAUGACAUAUAUCUUACAUAACAUGGCAUCAUAUGGACACAGUGCCCCUACAUCUCCCGACACAUUUCUCAUACAAAUUGCUUUCCCCUUCAUGUCUUAGCAUAAAAGAUCACAAGGUUAAUCAACUACGAUGUGCCCCUUUAUCUCUAUGACACAAUAAUGGUCCAAGGUACAUAACAAUCACAAAAAUAAUAAUAAUGUAAAGCACAAUAAUAAUACAAAUGAUAGUACAAAUGAUUUUUUAGUAAAUAGUAAAUACUAGCUAAGUUCCCAAGAAAGAUUGGAAGGAUCACAAUGGUCAUGCUUAAAAUCCAAGUUCCUUAGAACUUUCCUAAGUUGUACACAUCCAUUCAUGAUCACCAAACCAUCUUAACAAUUAACAAACAUAUAUAUCAAGGAUACAUGAAGCACAUAACCAUCAUUAAUAUAGCACAUAGACCAACACAUUUUUAAAUCAUAUGUCAUGAUAUUUGUGUUAAAACACUCCUCGAUCAUAGAUGCAUGCUCUCUCAACAUUUAAGGAUAGUAGAUCUUCAUAAUGAAAGUAAUAACAAGAAAAAAAACUGUAGAUAUAAGGUUUUAAAUAUUUUACCUUUGAUCUGGAUGUUCUCAUAUCAAUUACAGUUGAAGAAAAUGAUGAUGCAUAUCUUGAAAAGCUCACGAUCUUUCACUCAAUAGCCCUUUCUUAGAUCUUAGCGUUUGAGAAUGGUGGAAUCCUAACUUGGGGGUGGAAACUAGGGCUGGAAAACAAAAUGAUUAGAUUUCAAGCCUUAAUCCCUAAGGUGUUUUAUAUAGACUUCCUUAUAAGCUUAAGUGACUUUAGUUUAUCUUAGGUUUGGGUCAUUUAACCCUAACCCAUUGGAUCCUAAUUAAUUGAUCAAUCCAAAAAGACCUUUCGCAAGCUCUUGUACAAUCUUGUGUUUUUUCCAAAAUGCCAUUAAGCACACUUAAGAAUAAAGAAUACAUAUAUCCCUUAAAAACUAUACCACCAAGGAAUAUGAGCUCCAAUGGAGACCAUUAGGACCAUAAGAAAAUACUGACUCCCUUAGAAUCUAAUUCUAAAGUUGACUCAAUAUUCCACAAUGGAGAUGUAACUACACUACACUAUUUUAUGAUAUUAUAAUGAGAUAUAAAGCUCGAGUUUGUGACCUACUAUCCACUAUAUGCAAACUCCCUAUGAACUAAUGUAUAUAAUCUAAUAAUGUAGAUGCUACUAAACUCUAAAUGUUACCUCUACCAUCCUUUAGUCUUAAAUCUUCCUAUUAUGUAAUCAACUAACAUAUUCUAACUUUCUAAGAGAAUAUGUCAAAUUCCACUUAGGGAAUUAUUACUACAUAUUUCAUGAUUAUAUGUCUUUAGGAUUACCUAAGGGGAUGCAUUAUUUUAAUCCCAUGAAAUAUCAUGAUGUUUAUCUUGUUAAUAGCUAUUUCCACCUAUCUUAAUCAACAUUGACUCAAUCCCUAGGAAAUAUACAACCACCAUAGGGUCUCACCCAUAGGUCAAAGUCAUUGACAUCAACACAAGUUCAAUAUUCUCUCAAGGUUGAGAUCUCAUGCAAUAUAGUAGCUUGGUGAAUUCAUGACUACCUGAUAGAAUGUCAUGAUUCAUCGUAGGUAGAAAAUUGAGAAUGGAAGAAAAGUUAGAAAAUUGAGGGCUUGUUUGGAAACUAUUUUCAAGAAUAUUUAUAGACUUCGGAAAGAAAGAAGGAUGGGAUUGCCUUUCGACUUUCUUGGAACUUCCAAGAAUAAGAAUUUUUUUUUGUCUGAAAACUGACCUUCAUAUUAUGAGGUUUAUUUGUAGAGAUAAUAAAAAAGAAAAAAAAAAAAAGAAAAUGAAACUAAAAAUGGAAAUACAAUUUUUAGUAUUUUUAUUUUUAAAUUAAAAAUGAUUUUUCUAAUGUCAAACUUGAUAGUAAAAAUUACAAUAAUAAAAGUAUUAAAAAAAAUAUUCUCCAAUAAGUUUUAAAAUGAAAGGUCAAAGAGUCCAGGAAUACAUAAAUAAAUUUUUUAUUUUCUAAAAUAAAAUUACAAUUAUCAAAUCUAUUUUAAAAAGAGUUAAUAUAUUUUAGUUUUUAAAAAGAAUAUAUAUAUAUAUAUAUAUAUAUACACACACUUCACCUCAUCAUUGACACAAUAGCCAUGCAAUGCGCCUUUAAGAAGUAUGAGCAUAUGGUCCAGGAUGGGAGCGGGUCAGUUUCAAAAUAUUCUAGGAAUGGAUGGAAGAGUUGUCUUUUUUCCAAUUUUUGAUUGAUUUUUAUUUUGUUUUUUGGUGAUUGAUGUAGGAUAAUGGAAUCCAUUAUACAUUUUUAAGUUUUUUUUUUUUUUUUGUUAAUGUAGGAUAAGAGAAUCAAUGAACCAUUCUAAUUCUUAUCACUAAUGAAAUAGAAGAGAAGAAUUGUCUUUUUUCCAAUCUUACAGGAUUUUUAUUCUUUUUCUCUUGUAAAUAAUGUACUACAAUUGAAUCAAUUGCCUAUUUAUGUGCUUUUUUUUUAAUAAUUAAUGUGGAAAAAUGGAAUUAAUUCUCGGAAGAUAAUUGAUGUAAGAGGUAGAAUUAAUUAUGAGGAAGAAAGAAUAUGGGUAAAAACACGAUACAAUAAGGAAGAAAUAGGGUUGUAACUCUUGGGUGGAUUGGAAAGGUUAAAAGGCUACUAUGCCUAACUUGAUAUCAAAAUGCCUAACUUAUGCCAAACCUAACCUAAGGUUGGGUAAUUAAUUACCAGCCCAUGUCAAAUUUAUGCACAAUUCAAGUUCUUACACGUUAAAAUGGGUUCUUGUAGGUUAUUAAGUAGAAUAAUUAUUUUAAAAUGUAUAUCGAAUAAACCAUUAGAGGUUAUAGUACACUACCUCUUAAUUCAAGGGAUGACUAGUCUUGGCCAUUGGGAUGAGUUUCUCAUUAUGAAUGCACUACUGUGUAUGGUUACACAUUAGAAAGAACCUAUGGUGAAUUACGAUGUAAGGUUAUUGAGUAGUCAUAACUUCACCAAACUACUACGUUGUAUUAUCUCUUAACCUUGAUAAAAUAUUGAAUUUGUUUCAAAGUUAACAAUGACUUUGAUUUACGAGUGGGAUCCUAAAGUGAUCACAUAUUCCUUAUAGAUCAGGUAACAAUUAAUGAAAGUUGAUAGAAAUAGAUAUUCUCAAUAGAGAUACCAUGAUAUCUUAUAGAAUUGAGAUAGAGUGUCCUCUUGAGUAAUCCUAAGGAGAUGUGUUCAUGUAAACUAUGGUCAUAAUAGUUAUUUAACUAGAACUUAACAUAAACUCUUUGUAAGGUAAGAUAUGUCAAUUUAUCACAUAAUAUAAGGAUCUCCAACUUAAGGAUAGUAGAGUUAGUCUUAAAAGGUUGAUAAUUUUCUCUUUGUUAGACUAUAGACACUAGUUCAUAGGGAGAUUGAGUGCAAUGGAUAGCAAGUCACAGACUUAAGCACUUUUUGUCUCAUUAUCAUUUACAUAGGGUACUAGAGUGCAAUUGAUUCUCUAUAGUGGGAUGUUGAAUCAACUUCAAAAUAGGAUUAUGAAGGAGAAAGUGCUAUCUUAUAGGUCCUAGUGGUCCCCACUCAAGCUUUGAUAUCAAUUGUUGACAUUUUAGAUUUAAAUAACAGAAAUAAUGUCAAUUUUUUUUAAAAAAAUUGAUUUUUAGGGUUAAAAUACUGAUUUUUAGGUUUGAAUGUUCUCAAGCCUUAAAUUCAAGUGUUGAAGAAUUAAAUCAAUGUUCUCGAAAGUCUCGUAGACCCAUGAUUUUCAACCCAAUGAUUCAACUAUAUUCCUUAGCACACAAAUAAUAGGUAGUUCAAGAGGGUAGAGGGUAAGAUUCUUUUCUCUUUGGAUAGUGAAAGACAAAAGUGAUGGCUAACUUAUGCAUUUUCAAAUUAUUUUAUCUUUACAUGAAAAGUUAAAAUAAAUUAAAUGAGUUUGAAGAAGUAUUUUAUGAUUUUAAAUCUAUUUUUUAUUUUUCUUUUAUUUUUCUCUCUAUUUUUUUUUCUCAUAUAUUCUCUCUAAAUUUUUGGGAAACCAAACAUAAUCCAAGAAAAAGAAGGAAAAACAAAAGUAAUAGCACUUACUGAUUAUGAAGGUGCCAUCCAGAUAGAUUGAUUGCUUCUUUCAAGGCUGCUCUCCACUUCUCUAUCUUCUCUCUAUUCUCCUUGCUCACAUCUUUUUCAUACUCCAUAAAUGCUUUCCCAUAACUCCCCGUCUGGUUUCUCACUUCGGUUGGAUCCACAUGGUAGAAAACUUGGAGAGCCAUUCGCCUCAUUGUUGCCACACUCAAUAAUCUUUAUAACUUCAUCCGAACACCAUCUAGAAUCAGCAUAAUUUUCGAGAAAAUAACAAUGGAAAUCCUUGACUGCUCGAUAGCUUUCAAGAGUCCUGGUGCUCCUCUAUCAAGUUCUUCAUCAUCUCUAAAGGUGUGAAUUCCAUUUGCAACCAAAGCUGUGUAUAGAUGAUCCAUAAAAUUUUUGCGGGUGUCUUUCCCUCUGAAACUCAAGAAAACAUCAUGACUCCAGGGAGGGAUAGAAGAAGAGGGUGCUUGAGUGCUGCUUGAAGCCAUAAAUGAUAACUGCUGAAACUACCAUGGACUGGAGAUUUCUGCACUGAUUCUACAGGGUAUGAGACUUAGUAUUUAAGUUGUUUCAUUAGGGAGAAAAUAUGGGAGGGUGAAGUAAGCAAGAAAUGCAGCACCUCAAAGUCAACAAAUUAGCUUUAUCUUGGAGAUCAAUCCCAGGAAGGGGGUACCUACCAGUCAACAACCUUUAUUUGUUUGUUUGUUUUUGUCUUUUUUUUUUUUUAUAAAAAAAAUGGAUAUCAAUCCCAAAGAUUGUUGUCCUUUGGGAUAAGAAUGGGAGAAAAAAAUUCUUAUUCAUUGGGAUAAGAAUAGAAGACGAAAAUUCCUAUUCUUCUCUUCCUUUCCACAUCUUUUUCAGUAACUAAGAUAUGAGAUUAAUAAAUAAUUAAAUCUAGAGGUUAAAGAAGUUUAAUUAAUCAGUUUCUCUUUACAUAUUUAACAAAUUAUUAAAAUGACACUUUAAUAACAUUUUUAUGAAUUGUUAAUAUAUGAAGAAUAGUAGUUAAUUAUUUAUAUACAUUUUGGUUAUGUUUGGUUCUGAACAAUACUAGAAAAAGAAAAAAUAUUAAUUAAGGAAAAUAAUUUUUUUUCUAUUUGGUUAUCCCAUGUAAAAUACGAGAAAAAUAUUAAAUAUAGUUAAAAUUAAUUUUAAAACUUAUAUAUUUUCAAAUCUAGCUUUAUAUUCAAGAGUUAAAAUAAUAAAAAUAAUUUAUUAACUUUAAAUUUAUUUUUUAUUUUUCUUAAAUUUUUUCUCUCUACUUUCUUUCUUUUAUAUUUUUCUUAAAUUUUUUGAUAACCAAAUACAACUUGUAAGUAUUAGGGUUGCAACUUGGGCGGAUUGGUUGGGAUUGAUGACUAACCAAAUCCAACCUGAAUUAAGAAACAAUCAACCUAAACUCAUUUUUCUAAACUCGAGUUAAAUUCGGGUUAAUCGAAUUAGACUUCAACUGAUCAGGUUACAUUUGACUUUGUCGGGUUUAUUGGAUUGUAUAAUUCAAAAUUUUAAAUUUUUUAAAAUAUAAUUAUACUAAAAUUUAAAUAAUAAAUAACACAAAAGUUGAAGAUAAUAAUAAAAAAAAUGAAAAUAAACUUCUAUAUCUUAAAAAAAAAAAGUAUAAGAUAUAAAAGUAAAAUAAACUUAUUUGUCUUUUUUGAAAAAAUAAAAAAUAUAUAAUAUAAUUAUAAUUUGAUAUUUUUAAAAAUCUAAAAAGAAAAUGAAUAUUAUCACAUAAAAUAAUAAACAUUAUAAAUACUAUACAAAUAUUAAAUCGCAUUUUGUUUAGACUAAGGUUAUUCAAACAUUGACCCAAGUCUAAUCCAAAUUAAGUUCAGGUUUGAGAAAACUUCACCCAAAUACAACCCGAUUAAUAAAAUUGUUUACCCAAGCCCAUCCAAACAUUGGGUUGGGUUCGAUUAGAUUGGGCCAAUCUGUCCAAGUUACACCCUGGUAAGUACAAAAAAAUAAAAAUAAAUAAAAGAUAAAAUACAUGGUAUAAGGUAUGAUUACAAUUUCCCUUUUAAUAUAUCCCAUGUUUGUGAGAUUAGUAUUUUUUUUUUCUUAUUACUUAAUGGAUGGAGCCGGAGAGUGGACUUUUGGAUAAUGAUCAAGAUUGGAUUUGAUAGUAUUUAUGUGGGUGAUGGGGUGGUUAUGAGGUGAUUUUCAUCCCUUAAUAAAGUUGUGACAGAAAAUAUGGUAGGUGGUUAUAAUUCAUUUUAUAAUAAGUUCCGUAGAGCAGCGCUUCUAGUCCAAUAAUCUUCUCCGAAGGCGUGUCUUCCACCUAGUGAAGAUGACAGGAGAUGCCUUGCUCCACCACCUCUAAUCCAAGGACAGUGAAAAGUGAAGAGUGGCUUCAUUCUUUUAUCCUUCCAGUGGACACUCAAAUCAACUUUUUCUAAGCUAUAGAAAUCGGGUUAGAACUUGGAAUAGAAAUGCAUGAAAACUUCACAAAUAUAUAAAGAAUUUAAGCUUCAAAUACAGAUCAUUAACCUCAAUUUUCAAGGCCACCAAACAGCCCCAAAGUAGAGUUCAUGAGAUUGAAACUUUCAAUAACAAGUUGUAACGAAUUUUCCAUCAUUUUUUAUAUUAAAUGUCGAAAUUUAGAAAUCCAUACUUUCCCCUUUUCCCUUAUCUUUGCCUACACUUUCCUUUUUGUCAUUCAUUUUUGGGUUAUCAGUAGGUGGAAAUUUAAAAAUUUUUAAUAAUCAUUUAAUGACGACGUCUUUACCUCACUUUCCUCUAUUUGUUGGGCAACCAAACAAACCAAACUUGGAGUUGACAGUUGGGGUUAUACCUUUCAAAGGCCUUUGUUUUGGAAAAAUAUAAUAAAAAUAUUAAAAAGAUCAUCUCCUUCUUCCUUUAAAUUUUCAUAUUUUUCAAAGCAAUUAGAUGGAGGAUAGGUUCUUCUUAGUCUUCCUAUGAAAGCACCUAUAAAUGAGAUAUUAUUGUGAGUCAACAACUGGGAUUAUAUCUUGAAGCAAUUACUGUUUAUUGUUACAUAGUGAUCACGUGCUUCACCAAACUAGGUCAAUUCUUCUUAGUGAACUUGCCAAACACUUGAAUGUUCUCAAACCUUAAAUUCAAGUGUUGAAGAAUUAAAUCAAUGUUCUCGAAAGUCUCGUAGACCCAUGAUCUUCAACCCAAUGAUUCAACUUUAUUCCUUAGCCACAAACAAUAGGUAGUUCAAGAGGGUAGAGGGUAAGAUUCUUUUCUCUUUGGAUAGUGAAAGACAAAAGUGAUGGAUAACUUAUGCAUUUUCAAAUUAUUUUAUCUUUACAUGAAAAGUUAAAAUAAAUUAAAUGAGUUUGAAGAAGUAUUUUAUGAUUUUAAAUUUAUGUUUUAUUUUCCUUUUAUUUUUCUCUCUAUUUUUUUGUUCUCAUAUAUUCUCUCUAAAUUUUUGGGAAACCAAACAUAAUCCAAGAAAAAGAAGGAAAAACAAAAGUAAUAGCACUUACUGAUCAUGAAGGUGCCAUCCAGAUAGAUUGAUUGCUUCUUUCAAGGCUGCUCUCCACCUCUCUACCUUCUCUCUAUUCUCCUUGCUCACAUCUUUUUCGUACUCCAUAAAUGCUUUCCCAUAACUCCCUGUCUGGUUUCUCACUUCGGUUGGAUCCACAUGGUAGAAAACUUGGAGAGCCAUUCACCUAAUUGUUGCCACACACUCAAUAAUCUUUAUAACUUCAUCCGAACACCAUCUAGAAUCAGCAUAAUUUUCCGAGAAAAUAACAAUGGAAAUCCUUGACUGCUCGAUAGCUUUCAAGAGUCCUGGUGCUCCUCUAUCAAGUUCUUCAUCAUCUCUAAAGGUGUGAAUUCCAUUUGCAACCAAAGCUAUGUAUAGAUGAUCCAUAAAAUUUUUGCGGGUGUCUUUCCCUCUGAAACUCAAGAAAACAUCAUGACUCCAAGGAGGGACAGAAGAAGAGGGUGCUUGAGUGCUGCUUGAAGCCAUAAAUGAUAACUGCUGAAACUACCAUGGACUGGAGAUUUCUGCACUGAUUCUACAGGGUAUGAGACUUAGUAUUUAAGUUGUUUCAUUAGGGAGAAAAUAUGGGAGGGUGAAGUAAGCAAGAAAUGCAGCACCUCAAAGUCAACAAAUUAGCUUUAUCUUGGAGAUCAAUCCCAGGAAGGGGGUACCUACCAGUCAACAACCUUUAUUUGUUUGUUUGUUUUUGUCUUUUUUUUUUUUAUAAAAAAAAUGGAUAUCAAUCCCAAAGAUUGUUGUCCUUUGGGAUAAGAAUGGGAGAAAAAAAUUCUUAUUCAUUGGGAUAAGAAUAGAAGACGAAAAUUCCUAUUCUUCUCUUCCUUUCCACAUCUUUUUCAGUAACUAAGAUAUGAGAUUAAUAAAUAAUUAAAUCUAGAGGUUAAAGAAGUUUAAUUAAUCAGUUUCUCUUUACAUAUUUAACAAAUUAUUAAAAUGACACUUUAAUAACAUUUUUAUGAAUUGUUAAUAUAUGAAGAAUAGUAGUUAAUUAUUUAUAUAUAUUUUGGUUAUGUUUGGUUCUGAACAAUACUAGAAAAAGAAAAAAUAUUAAUUAAGGAAAAUAAUUUUUUUUCUAUUUGGUUAUCCCAUGUAAAAUACGAGAAAAAUAUUAAAUAUAGUUAAAAUUAAUUUUAAAACUUAUAUAUUUUCAAAUCUAGCUUUAUAUUCAAGAGUUAAAAUAAUAAAAAUAAUUUAUUAACUUUAAAUUUAUUUUUUAUUUUUCUUAAAUUUUUUCUCUCUACUUUCUUUCUUUUAUAUUUUUCUUAAAUUUUUUGAUAACCAAAUACAACUUGUAAGUAUUAGGGUUGCAACUUGGGCGGAUUGGUUGGGAUUGAUGACUAACCAAAUCCAACUUGAAUUAAGAAACAAUCAACCCAAACUCAUUUUUCUAAACUCGAGUUAAAUUCGGGUUAAUCGAAUUAGACUUCAACUGAUCAGGUUACAUUUGACUUUGUCGGGUUUAUUGGAUUGUAUAAUUCAAAAUUUUAAAUUUUUUAAAAUAUAAUUAUACUAAAAUUUAAAUAAUAAAUAACACAAAAGUUGAAGAUAAUAAUAAAAAAAAUGAAAAUAAACUUCUAUAUCUUAAAAAAAAAAAAGUAUAAGAUAUAAAAGUAAAAUAAAUUUAUUUGUCUUUUUUGAAAAAAUAAAAAAUAUAUAAUAUAAUUAUAAUUUGAUAUUUUUAAAAAUCUAAAAAGAAAAUAAAUAUUAUCAUAUAAAAUAAUAAACAUUAUAAAUACUAUACAAAUAUUAAAUCGCAUUUUGUUUAGACUAAGGUUAUUUAAACAUUGACCAACGUCUAAUCCAAAUUAAGUUCAGGUUUGAGAAAACUUCACCCAAAUACAACCCGAUUAAUAAAAUUGUUUACCCAAGCCCAUCCAAACAUUGGGUUGGGUUCGAUUAGAUUGGGCCAAUCUAUCCAAGUUACACCCUGGUAAGUACAAAAAAAUAAAAAUAAAUAAAAGAUAAAAUACAUGGUAUAAGGUAUGAUUACAAUUUCCCUUUUAAUAUAUCCCAUGUUUGUGAGAUUAGUAUUUUUUUUUUUUCUUAUUACUUAAUGGAGGGAGCCGGAGAGUGGACUUUUGGAUAAUGAUCAAGAUUGGAUUUGAUAGUAUUUAUGUGGGUGAUGGGGUGGUUAUGAGGUGAUUUUCAUCCCUUAAUAAAGUUGUGACAGAAAAUAUGGUAGGUGGUUAUAAUUCAUUUUAUAAUAAGUUCCGUAGAGCAGCGCUUCUAGUCCAAUAAUCUUCUCCGAAGGCGUGUCUUCCACCUAGUGAAGAUGACAGGAGAUGCCUUGCUCCACCACCUCUAAUCCAAGGACAGUGAAAAGUGAAGAGUGGCUUCAUUCUUUUAUCCUUCCAGUGGACACUCAAAUCAACUUUUUCUAAGCUAUAGAAAUCGGGUUAGAAAUUGGAAUAGAAAUGCAUGAAAACUUCACAAAUAUAUAAAGAAUUUAAGCUUCAAAUACAGAUCAUUAACCUCAAUUUUCAAGGCCACCAAACAGCCCCAAAGUAGAGUUCAUGAGAUUGAAACUUUCAAUAACAAGUUGUAACGAAUUUUCCAUCAUUUUUUAUAUUAAAUGUCGAAAUUUAGAAAUCCAUACUUUCCCCUUUUCCCAUAUCUUUGCCUACACUUUCCUUUUUGUCAUUCAUUUUUGGGUUAUCAGUAGGUGGAAAUUUAAAAUUUUUUAAUAAUCAUUUAAUGACGACGUCUUUACCUCACUUUCCUCUAUUUGUUGGGCAACCAAACAAACCAAACUUGGAGUUGACAGUUGGGGUUAUACCUUUCAAAGGCCUUUGGUUUGGAAAAAUAUAAUAAAAAUAUUAAAAAGAUCAUCUCCUUCUUCCUUUAAAUUUUCAUAUUUUUCAAAGCAAUUAGAUGGAGGAUAGGUUCUUCUUAGUCUUCCUAUGAAAGCACCUAUAAAUGAGAUAUUAUUGUGAGUCAACAACUGGGAUUAUAUCUUGAAGCAAUUACNNNNNNNNNNNNNNNNNNNNNNNNNNNNNNNNNNNNNNNNNNNNNNNNNNNNNNNNNNNNNNNNNNNNNNNNNNNNNNNNNNNNNNNNNNNNNNNNNNNNCAUGAAGGUGCCAUCCAGAUAGAUAGAUUGCAUCUUUCAAGGCUGCUCUCCACCUCUCUACCUUCUCUCUAUUCUCCUUGCUCACAUCUUUUUCGUACUCCAUAAAUGCUUUCCCAUAACUCCCUGUCUGGUUUCUCACUUCGGUUGGAUCCACAUGGUAGAAAACUUGGAGAGCCAUUCACCUAAUUGUUGCCACACACUCAAUAAUCUUUAUAACUUCAUCCGAACACCAUCUAGAAUCAGCAUAAUUUUCCGAGAAAAUAACAAUGGAAAUCCUUGACUGCUCGAUAGCUUUCAAGAGUCCUGGUGCUCCUCUAUCAAGUUCUUCAUCAUCUCUAAAGGUGUGAAUUCCAUUUGCAACCAAAGCUAUGUAUAGAUGAUCCAUAAAAUUUUUGCGGGUGUCUUUCCCUCUGAAACUCAAGAAAACAUCAUGACUCCAAGGAGGGAUAGAAGAAGAGGGUGCUUGAGUGCUGCUUGAAGCCAUAAAUGAUAACUGCUGAAACUACCAUGGACUGGAGAUUUCUGCACUGAUUCUACAAGGUAUGAGACUUAGGUGGUGUUUGUUUUUUGGCUGAAUAGAAAAAGUCAAAAUAUUUGGCUUUUUCUAUUCAAUUAAAAGUAACUCAUUGACAUCAACCAAUAUAAUUAAAUUAAACUUAUUGAUAACAAGUUCACUUUAAUUAUGUUGGUUAAUAUUAACAAGGUGCUUUUAACUGAAUAAAAAAAGUAAAAUAUUUUGGCUUUUUUUAUUCAGCCAAAAAACAAACACUAGCUUAGUAUUUAAGUUGUUUUAUUAGGGAGAAAAUAUGGGAGGGUGAAGUAAGCAAGAAAUGCAACACCUCAAAGUCAACAAAUUAGCUUUAUCUUGGAGAUCAAUCCUAGGAAGGGAGUACCUACCAGCCAACAACCUUUAUUUGUUUGUUUGUUUUUGUUUUGUUUCUUUUUUUUAAAAAAAAAUGGAUAUCAAUCCCAAAUAUUGUUAUCCUUUGGGAUAAAAAUGGGAGAAAAAAAUUCUUAUUCAUUGGGAUAAGAAUAGAAGAAGAAAAUUCCCAUUCUUCUCUUCCUUUCCACAUCUUUUUCAGUAACUAAGAUAUGAGAUUAAUAAAUAAUUAAAUCUAGAGGUUAAAGAAGUUUAAUUAAUCAGUUUCUCUUUACAUAUUUAACAAAUUAUUAAAAUGACACUUUAAUAACAUUUUUAUGAAUUGUUAAUAUAUGAAGAAUAGUAGUUAAUUAUUUAUAUACAUUUUAGUUAUGUUUGGUUAUGAAAAAUACUAGAAAAAGAAAAAAUAUUAAUUAAGGAAAAUGAUUUUUUUUCUAUUUGGUUAUCCCAUGUAAAAUACGGAAAAAAAUAAAAUAAAUAUAGUUAAAAAUAUUAAUUUAAAAACUUAUAUAUUUUCAAAUCUUUAUAUUCAAGAGUUAAAAUAAUAAAAAUAAUUUAUUAACUUUAAAUUUAUUUUUUAUUUUUCUUAAAUUUUUUCUCUCUACUUUUUUUCCUUUACAUUUUUCUUGAAUUUUUUGAUAACCAAAUACAACUUGUAAGUAUUAGGGUUGCAACUUGGGAGGGUUGGUUGGAUUGAUGACUAACCCAAACUCAAUCUGAAUUAAGAAACAAUCAACCCAACUCGACUUCUAACCCGGGGUACUGUCAAACUCAAUCUGAAUUAAGAAAGGGGUACUCAACCCAAUCUCAUUUUUCUAAAUUCGGGUUAAAUUCAGGUUGGUCAAAUUAGAUUUGGGUUGAUCAAGUUACACUUGACUUAGUCGGGUUGAUUGAGUUAUAUAAUUCAAAAAAUUUAAUUUUUUUUAUAUAUAUCUAUACUAAACUUUAAAUAAUAAAUAACACAAAAGUUCAAGAUAAUAAUAAAAAAAUGAAAAUAAACUUCUAUAUCUUUUUUUUUUUUAAAGUGUAAGAUAUAAAAGUAAAAUAAUAUAUAUAUAUAUAUAUAUAUAUAUAUAUAUAUAUAUAUAUAUAAUAUAAUUAUAAUUUGAUAUUUUUUAAAAUCUAAAAAUAAAUAAAUAUUAUCAUAUAAAAUAAUAAACUUUAUAAAUAUUAUACAAAUAUUAAAUCGCAUUUAGGUUAGGCUUAGGUUAUUCAAACAUUGACUCAAGCCUAAUCCAAAUUAAGCUCGUUGAGAAAACUUCACCCAAGCUCAAGCCGAGUAAUGAAAAUGUUUACCCAAGGUCGUCCAAACAUUGGGUUGAGUUCGGUUAGAUUGAGUCAACCUGUCCAAGUUACACCUUAGUAAGUAAAAAAAACUAAAAAAUAAAAGAUAAAAUACAUGGUAUGAGGUAUGAUUACAAUUUCCCUUUUAAUAUAUCCCAUGUUUGUGAGAUUAGUAAUUUUUUUUUCUUAUUACUUAAUGGAUGGAGCCGGAGAGUGGACUUAAUGAUCAAGACUGUAUUUGAUAGUAUUUAUGUGGGUGAUGGGGUGGUUAUGAGGUGAUUUUCAUCCCUUAAUAAAGUUGUGACAGAAAAUAUGGUAGGUGGUUAUAAUUCAUUUUAUAACAAGUUCUGUGGAGCAGCGCUUCUAAUCCAAUAAUCUUCUCCUAAGGCGUGUCUUCCACCUAGUGAAGAUGACAGGAGAUGCCUUGCUCCACCACCUCUAAUCCAAGGACAGUGAAAAGUGAAGAGUGGCUUCAUUCUUUUAUCCUUCCAGUGGACACUCAAAUCAACUUUUUCUAAGCUAUAGAAAUCGGGUUAGAACUUGGAAUAGAAAUGCAUGAAAACUUCACAAAUAUAUAAAGAAUUUAAGCUUCAAAUACAGAUCAUUAACACCUCAAUUUUCAAGGCCACCAAACAGCCCCAAAGUAGAGUUCAUGAGAUUGAAACUUUCAAUAACAAGUUGUAACGAAUUUUCCGUCAUUUUUUAUAUUAAAUGUCGAAAUUUAGAAAUCCAUACUUUCCCCUUUUCCUAUAUCUUUGCCUACACUUUCCUUUUUGUCAUUCAUUUUUGGGUUAUCAGUAGGUGGAAAUUUAAAAUUUUUUAAUAAUCAUUUAAUGACGACGUCUUUACCUCACUUUCCUCUAUUUGUUGGGCAACCAAACAAACCAAACUUGGAGUUGACAGUUGGGGUUAUACCUUUCUAAGGCCUUUGUUUUGGAAAAAUAUAAUAAAAAUAUUAAAAAGAUCAUCUCCUUCUUCCUUUAAAUUUUCAUAUUUUUCAAAGCAAUUAGAUGGAGGAUAGGUUCUUCUUAGUCUUCCUAUGAAAUCACCUAUAAAUGAGAUAUUAUUGUGAGUCAACAACUGGGAUUAUAUCUUGAAGCAAUUAUUGUUUAUUGUUACGUAGGAAGGUAAUAAUAGCUAAAAUACGGCAUGUGAUCACGUGCUUCACCAAACUAGGUCAAUUCUUCUUAACUUUAUUUCAAAUAUUCUUAUACUUUUAUAUUUUUCAAGUUUCAAUAAAAACUUCAAAGAAAAGAAUAAAGAGGGCAUAUAAGAACAUUUCUGGUUUGGAAAGCUAAAGAAAAUAAUAGAAUCUAAUACACAUGUGCAUAUUUAUAAUCAAAAUUUCAAAGAUUAAGGAAAAAAAUAAUUAGAAAAAUCAAUAAAGCUUUUAAAUGAUAUACCUCAAUCUUGCAUAAUUGGACAACUUCUUUCAUAAUAACUAUUAACCCCAUUAUUAUUAAUUCUCCCUUUCUUCUAUUUUACAUUCAAAACCUAAAAUUUUUCUUACCCUUUCUUUAUGCUUAAACACUCCAUAUUUAAGACAAACUACAAAAAAGUAUUGGCCUCUAUACCACAAAUUUAUACUUAUCUACUAUAGUGCAAUAGGCUACGUAGUUAAGUUAGUAAUUUUGUUCCAUUUGGAUUACAACUUUUCUAGUGUCACAUGUCUUACUCUUCAUUAAAAACUCGAGGUUGUUAUUGAUCAUCCAAGAUAAUAUAAGUAAGCAUAAAGAGCCCUGUGAAAAGGCUAAUUAGAUUUAAUUAAGGCAUGAAGUGAACAAUAUAAUAAGUUUUAAAAUUGAGUAUAAAUAUUUUUAAAAAUGAUUUUAAAAAUCCUCAAGUGCUCAAACAUAAAUCACAACGCUCAAACGUUGAUCACAAUGCUUAAGCACUCCUAAAGGCACUCAAACGCUCAUUGCAAAACUCCAACUCUGCCCUAUAUUUUUCAUUUAUUUUAUUUUUGGAAAAUUCUAGAUUUUGUCCACUAGGUUUUUAGCGUAUGAAGAACAUGCUGAAAAGGUUUCUGUUCUUUGAUACAAAUUUUGAGAAAACCCUAUUAACCUUCCCUACAACUCAAACUCUCAAGAAGUUCAUCUUCCCAUUCUCUUAGGUUGAAAGAGAGUUCUAUAUCUCCUUAGGCAUUGAGGUAGAGUCCAUUGGGAUCAUGCGUGGUGUUGCAUUGUGGAUGCAAGAAUCACUAUAGGUACUACGAAGUAAGACUUAAAGAUAGCAUCCACAAAGUAAAACUAUGUAUUAUUCUUUUGUGGAAAUCUGUGAAUGGUGAUUUGUAAGAUAUUGUGGGAAAGAUUGAAGCCCAAAUUGUGACAAAUAUUGUGGUGAUUUAUGUGAUUUUUUUUCCAUAUUUGUGUUUUUUCCAUUUUAUUUGUUCCUUGUAUAUAUGUUAAAUAAGGACCCGAUUAUGUAAAUAUACACAAUUUUGAAUGAAUUUUUGAGUGAUUCUCAGUUUCUUCAAAUUCUCAAUUUCUUCAUGGUAUCAGAGCAGUGUUUGCGCUAAAACCCUAAUCAAUCCAAGGCUGCCCAAAGAGGAGACAACCAUGAGUCCAGUCAAUCGGCAACCCAUGAAAAAGAGUCGGAGAUACACUCCUCAAUGGGACCGGUUGGUGGAUUCGACAACUCCCCACUCCAUCUUACCGUUGAAAAAUUGAACGAUAAGAAUUACAGAGAGUGGGCGCAAGCAAUCAAGCUUGUUAUUGACGGAAAGGGAAAGUUAGGGUUUCUUAUUGGCGAGACUCGAUGACCACCUCUGAUCGAUGUAGUAGCAUCCCAAAAAUGAUGGUCCGAAAACUCCUUCAUCACCUUAUGCUUGAUUAACUCCAUGAAGCCAGCCAUUGGAAAAACUUAUAUGUUCCUCCCAACGGCAAAGGAUGUGUUGGAUGCAAUACGAGAAACAUAUUUCGAUGCCGAGAAUGCUUCCCAAAUCUUUGAACUCAAGACAUGGUUUUGGUAGAUGAAGCAAGGAGAUCAGGAAGUCACUGAAUACUACACCGAGAUGCUGGGUUUUUGGCAAGAUCUCGAUCUCAACUAUGAAGAGGAGUGGGAGUGCACAGGUGACAGUGUGCGCUUCAAGAAGAAAAUGGAGAACGAGAGGGUCUUUGAUUUCAUAGUGGGGCUGAAUCGCGGGCUUCACGACUUUAGGAGCAAGGUUCUCAGUCGUCGGUCGUUGCCCUCCAUUUGAGAGGUCUUCUCUGAGGUGCGACGAGAGAAAAGUAGAAGGAAAGUGAUGUUGGAGGAACAUCUCUCAUCUGGGCUUGAGGCUUCAGCCCUUGUAACCCAUGGGCCUCAUGUUGGAUCUAGUAGGCCUCAAUCUGGAUUAGACCCAAGACAGUACAAAAGGACUUAUUGUGAGCAUUGUAAAAAAUUGGGCCACACUAAAGAAACUUGUUGGACUUUACAUGGCAAGCCCGCGUAUUGGAAGCCGAGACAACCCAAUAAAGCCCAUAGUCAUCAGGCCUCCAUCGAAACCCAGGUAGACAAAACACCCACAAAAAUUCGUCAAUUAACUUCUAGUGUGGGGUUUAAUUUCGACCAGCUUGUGAAAUUAUAUGAGUUUUUUUUCUAAUUUUCAAGCCUCUAGUCAAUCUUUUAUUACUCUGUCCUCUGGUUUUUUGGCCCAAAAAGGUACCUUUCUGACAACACUUAACACCAUAUCUCAUAGUACUCCCUGGAUUAUUGACUUUGGUGCAUCUGAUCAUAUGACGGAUGGUCAUAAUUUAUUUUCCACAUACUCUCCCUGUGCCGGUAAUUUAAAAGUAAAAAUUGCAGAUGGUACUUUAUCCCCAGUUGCUAGCAAAGGGAGUAUUCGUAUUUCUGAGUCUAUUACUCUCAACCCUACCCUACAUGUACCUAAUUUAUCUUGCAAUUUGUUGUCUAUUAGCCAGUUAACAAAAAAGUCUAAUUGUUUAGCUAAAUUCCUACCAUCUCAUUGUGUUUUUCAGGACUUAUUAUCAGGGAAAACGAUUGGUAAUGCUAAAGAAUGUGAUGGUCUAUAUUACUUCAAUGAAACUGAUGUGUGUGGACAGUGUUCUCCUACUGUUUAUAAUUCUGCAUCUCGUCAUAAGGAUAGUGAACUUUUUUUAUGGCACAAAAGGAUGGGUCAUCCUAGUUUUUAGUACUUAAAACAUUUAUUUCCUUCACUAUGUUCAAAUAAAUCUUCAUGGGAUUUUCAGUGUGAAGUGUGUGAACUUGACAAACACCAGCGAGCUUUUUCUUCCCAAAUCUAAGUAAAGACCAUCCAUACCAUUUACUCAAAUUCAUAGUGAUCUAUGGGGACCCUCACAUACCCCUAAUAGGACCCAUAAAAAAUGGUUUAUUACUUUUAUUGAUAAUCACACUCGCUUGUGUUGGGUAUUUUUGUUGACUGAUAAAACUGAGGUUCGAUCAGUCUUCAUGAACUCUCACUCUAUGAUACAAACUCAGUUUCACACCAAAAUUCAAAUUCUUCGUACUAAUAAUGGUACUGAGUAUUUCAAUCACUCCUUGAGCACUUAUCUACAAGAAAAUGGUAUUAUACAUUAAAGUUCUUGCAUUAACACCCCUUAGCCAAAUGGGGUUGCAGAACGAAAAAAAUAUACAUAUUCUUGAAGUUGCUUGUGCUUUGCUGUUUAUCUCUCACAUGUCCUCACAAUUUUAGGGUGACUCCAUUUUGACAACCACAUACCUUAUUAACCAAAUGCCUAGUCAAGUCCUAUCUUUUGUCACACCCCUCUAGAAAUUCCAAGAGUUUUUUCCUCAUUCUAGACUCGAUGCACAUCUUCCACCUCGUGUUUUUGGGUCCAUUGUGUUUGUCCACACUCACAGACCUAAGUGGAACAAAUUUGAUCCCAGAGCGCUUAAAUGUGUCUUUCUUGUCUCCUCUUCCACACAAAAGGGCUACAAAUGCUAUGACCCAAUUUCACAAAAGCUAUAUGUUAGCUUAGAUGUCACAUUCUUUGAACAUACUCCCUACUACUCGCUUCAGGGGAAGUCCAUGAGUGAAACUAGACCACCCUUAACCUUAGACUGCCUCGAUGUUGUUGUGUUUUAAUCCACUCCGUGCCUUAUAUCUACAUCUUCACCUAAUACAGAAGAAUACUUAAACUCAGGGGGAGAUACGGAAUUAUAGAUAAAUAAGGAAACACUUGUCUACUCAAAGAGGUCAAAAUCAAAGUCCAAUGAAGUCCAAUGAGACACUCAUCUCCGAAUCAUUAAAAGAGUCAAAACCGGUGAUAGUUCCAACCCCUCGGGAGUCUAGCUCCAAUCCUGAUCAGGUAAUAGAUGACUUACCCAUUGCUCUUAGGAAACAACCUCAUUCAUGUACUCUCCAUCCUAUCUCGAAAUUUAUGUCUUAUAAUGCUCUUUCUGCAAAGUGUUGUGCUUUUACAACUAACCUUGAUAGAAUCCAGAUUCCUAAAAACAUUCAAGAAGCCUUGGAGAUUCCAGAAUGGAAAGAGGCAGUGAUGGAAAAAAUAAGGGCAUUGGAAAAAAACGGGACUUGGGAAGUGAUGAAUUUGCCAAGAGGAAAGAAACCAAUGGGUUGUAAAUGGGUAUUCAUAGUGAAAUAUAAGGUGGAUGGCAUAGUAGAACAAUACAAAGCCCGCCUGGUUGCAAAGGGGUUCACUCAAACCUACGACAUCGAUUAUACCGAGACAUUUGGACCAGUGGCAGAGUUGAACACUAUACAAGUUUUUUUAUCCUUGACAGCAAGUCUCAACUAGCCAUUCCAUCAGUUUGAUAUCAAGAAUGCCUUUUUGAAUGGUGAACUAGAAGAAGAAGUGUUUAUGAUGCUACCACUAGGGUUCUGUAAAGAAGAAUAAGAAACCAAGGUAUGCAAAUUGAAGAAAUCUCUGUAUGGUCUCAAGCAAUCACCGAGAACAUGAUUUGAUAGAUUUGCAAAGGUGAUUAAGAACCAAGGAUACCAACAGGGACAGACGAAUCAUACUCUGUUCUUCAAACAGUCCAAUGAUGGAAGGAUGACCAUCCUAAUUGUGUAUAUCGAUGACAUCAUUCUCAUUGGAGAUGGUAGAGGAGAAGUGGAGAGGUUGAAGAAGGUCUUAGCCAUAGAAUUUGAGUUAAAAGAUUUGGGUCAAUUGCGGUAUUUCCUAAGAAUGGAGGUCGCCAGAUCAAGGAAGGGAAUUAGUAUUUCCCAGAGAAAGUAUGUACUUGACUUGUUGAUUGAGACUGGCAUGCUGGGUUGCAAGCCAAGUGAUACCCCUAUCAAGACAAGAAAAAUGAUGGAAAACCCGUGGAUAGAGAGAUAUCAACAACUAGUAGGUAGAUUGAUCUACCUUUCUCACACUAGACCAUACAUUGCUUUCACCGUAAGCAUGGUUAUCCAGUACAUGCAUUCACCAAAGGAAAGUCAUCUAGAAGUAGUGUAUAAGAUCCUCAGAUACCUAAAGGGUUCUCCAGGAAAAGGACUAUUCUUUAAAAAGAGUGAUAGUAAAAAGAUAGAGAUCUAUAUAUAUGCAAAUUGGGCGGGAUCAGCAGAUGACAGAAUGUCUACUACAGGCUACUGUACCUAUGUCUGGGGGAAUCUAGUAACAUGGAGAAGUAAGAAUCAGAGUGUAGUAGCCAGAAGCAGUGCCAAGGCUGAAUUCAGAGCAAUUGCACAAGGUAUGUGUGAAUGACUAUGGUUGCAGAAACUGUUGGAAGAACUACACAUUACAAUAAAGCUCCUCAUUAAACUCUAUUGUGACAACAAAGCUGCCAUUAGUAUUUCUCAUAAUCUUAUUCAACACGACAAGACCAAACAUAUAGAAGUGGGCAGACACUUUAUAAAUGAGAAAUUGAGAAUGGGACUAUUUGCAUGACUUAUAUCCCUACAAGGGACCAAUUGACAUAUAUAUUUACCAAGGGGUUACAGAAAUCAAGCUUUGAAGAUUUUAUUUGCAAGUUGGAUAUGAUUAAUAUCUAUGAUCCAACUUGAAGGGGAGUAUGGAAAUCCGUGAAUGGUGAUUUGUAGGAUAUUGUGGGAAAAAUUGAAGCCCCAAUUGUGACAGAUAUUGUGGUGAUUUAUGUGAUUUUAUUUUAUUUCCAUAUUUUUAUUUUUUCCAUUUUAUUUGCUCUUUGUGUUUAUGUUAAAUAGAGACUUGAUUAUAUAAAUAUACACAAUUUUGAAUGAAUUUUUGAGUGAUUCUCAGUUUCUACAAUUCUCAGUUUCUUCAUCUUUCAAUAGUAGAUUUGUGAUUUGAGGUCUCUAACCCCAUGAUUUUUACAUUUGUUGAGUCUUUAAGAGACAAUGUGGAUGGUGUUCCAUGAAAAACUUUGAGUCUUAGUGUCAUUUUUCUUUUUUCUGAAGAAAGUAAAAAAUAAAAUAAUUUUAAGUCAAAUAAGUAACUCUUGCUCAACACCCCCUCAUCCCCUAUCUCAAGGUCAUAUAUCAUAAUCUAGAUCUAUAGAGUAAGAAAAAAUUUUAAAAAUCAAAUUUUUUUUAUCUUGCUAAAUCUAAGGUAAACCAUAGAAAGAUGGAUCUUCAAUUAAUAACCCACCUUAUUUCAAUGGCAAUAACUACCCACAUUAGAAGACUUGUAUAGAUUUUUUCUUGAAAAUACAAGGAGAACAAGUUUGGAACUUAGUGGAAUUUUGAUGGGGGCCACCAAAUAAAUUGGAUGGUACUAGAAGAUUUAGAAAAGAAUUCAAGCCCAAAUAGGAAUUGGACAAACUAUAUAAUAAGGGCAGUGAAGCAAAUGUUCAUGCUCUCUAUAGUAUCUUUAAUGGGGUUAAACCUAAUGAAUUUCACAAGAUAGCCACAUGUAAGUGUGCUAAAGCAACCUAGGAUAUUCUGUUAGUUACUCAUGAGGGCACUUUAGUUGUGAAGUUGUUCAAAGUUCAAAUGCUUAUUAUAAAGUUUGAAAGCAUAAGAAUGCAAGAAGAUGAGACUUUCUCUACUUUCUAUUAUAAGCUUAAUGACAUAGUCUACUCAAGCUUUAACCUUAGGAGUAGAUUCUUGAGCCUAAAGUAGAAUGAAGAAUAUUGAGAUCUCUCUUCGAGAGAUUCAAACCUGAGGUUACAACUAUUGAAGAAAGCAAGGGCACUAACUCUAUGAGAGCUAAUGAUGAAUUUGUGGGAUCUUUUCAUAUGAGAUGUUCAUUCCUAAUACUCAAAAGCCAUAAGAACCUGCUUGUAAGGCUUCUAAUAAUGAAGAAAAUGAGUCUACAAGCCUUAAUUUAGUUGAUAGAGAAGAACUUGAUUUAUUGUCAAGAAGAAUUAAAGAUACCAUGAGAUUUUUGAAAAAACUCUUCCAAAAACAAGACUUAAAGAAAGGAAAAAAAAGUUUACUAUUCCUUUAAGAAAAGAUAAGGUCAUCUUUAAGGGAAAAAAAUAUUGAAUGUUUUAAUAGUGGAGGUAUAGAUCAUCCAUUUUGUCCUUGUAACACAUGCUUUUGAUCAUACUUAGUACCCCUCACCUUGCACCUUCAUUUAGUACAUGUGCAUGAUCCUCAUUUUGCUUAUUUGUUCUUGUGCUCCUUGGUGGUUUGCUUGUUACUCACUUUUGGAAUUGACUCUUAGACAACUUUUGGAGACCUUUUGGAGAAGCUUUUAGAUCCAUAAAGUGACUUUAGUGGUACUUUAGGAGUUCCCAAAGUUUCAGCGUAUUUAACACACUUGGGCCCUUUUUUAGCUUCAACCAAUCGAGGGAAUUGAUUCAACCAAUUCAACCAGUUGCAACUGGUCUAGGCAACUGAUUCAACUGAUAACUUAACCAGUUCAUUAUGUUUUACCCUUUACUUCCUUCUUUUGGCCCAUUUUUUAGUCCUAUUUUUUCUUACCUUUUUUAAGGAGGUUUUUAGGUUUGUUUUGGAAAGGUUUUGAGGGCCUAAACUUGGGUUUUAGGUAUCCUUAAUUUGGGUUUAGUUUAAGAGAGUUUGAAGGUGAAUUUGAGUCUUGGUGGAAAUAAUAACAUGUGUCAAAAUUUUCACCAUUCCUUAGCCUAUAAAUAAGGUCAUUGAGGCUCUUUUUCCCUGUUUUGGCCUUUUUUUUUUUAGUUUUCUUUUUCUUACCCUUUUUAAGAAGGCUUUAGGCUUGUUUUGAAGAGGUUUUGAGGACCUAAACUUGGUUUUAGGUCUCCUUAAUUUGGGUUUAGUUUAAGAGACUUUUAAGGUGAAUUUGAGCCUUGGUGGAGAUAAUGACAUGUGUCAAAAUUUCCACCAUUCCUUAGCCUAUAAAUAAGGUCCUUAGGGCUCAUUUUCAAGGGACUUUUCUUUGGAUUUUUUAAGUACUCUAUCCAAUUUUUGAGAAAAAAAAUAAGAAGAGGAAAAACCUUUAUAUUUAAAGAAAACUUAGCUUAAAGGAGGGUUCUUAGUUGACUAGAAGUCGAGUGAUUCACUUGUGAGGAGAUCUCUUGUAAGUUCUUCUUGAUUUCAUUUUCUUCUAUUUAGUUUUAACUUGUUUUCAUUUUUCUUUUGAUUAUUAAGAUGAUGAGUAUAUUAGUUAUCGAUAUUGAAAGGUCACAUGCUUGAUUUUGGAUUUUUGUUCUUCAUAUGUGGAUUCUCAUUUUCUUUUCUUCAUGUGUCCACUUUGCAUAGACUCUAACCUUGAGAAGAUAUUGAGCCUAUGUUGAAAUCAAUAGGAGGCUUUGAAUUAUGGGUAAGACCCUAAAGUGAUCAAAUAUCCCUAUAGAUUGAGUCACUACUGAUGGAAGUUGGUGGCAAUAGGUAUUCUCAAUAUAGGCACUAUGUUAUUUCAUGAGAUUGAGAUAACGUGUCCCCUUAGGUCAUCCAAAGGACAUGUGACUAUGAAAUUUGUGGUCAUAGUAAUCCAUUUAGUGGAGUUUGGCAUAUGUUUCUUGCAGUUAGAGUAUGUAAGUUGAUCACAUAAUAAAACAUUCAUAACUCAAGGAUUGGAGAGGUAAUCUUGAUGGGUUAAUAGCACUACCCUAUUAGAUUACAAACACCAGUUCAUGGGGAGUCCAUAUGUAAUGGAUAGUACGUAGGUCAUAAACCCAAACUUUGUCUCAUUUUAAUUUCAUAUGAUACUAAAGUGUAGUUGACUCUCUUUAGUGAAGUAUUGAGUCAACUUUAGGAUUGGGUUGUAAGGGAGCUAGUAUUUUUCUAUGGGUCUCAAUGGUCCUCAUUCAAUCUCUUAUUUCAUGAUGGCAUGCUUUGAGGGUAUUUUGGGUAUGUAAUUCAUAAGUGUGCAUAAGGGCAUUUUGGUAAAAAUAUAAGGUUGUACUAGAUCUUAUGUAAAAAUGUAAGGUUGUACUAGAUCUUAUGAAUCGACUUUGUAGAAUAUUAGGCUAAUUAAUUAAUUGGAGCUCAUUAGGGCAAAUUAAUUAAUUAGGAUCCAAACGAGUUAAAUUAGGUGACUCAAGUCCAAUUUGGGCUCAAUUCACUUAAGCCUAUAGGAAAACCUAUAUAAACCCCCUUAGGGGUUAGUGCUUUAGGUUUGCUACUCAUAUUUGUUUAGAUUCCAGAUAGAAGAACCUUAACCACCCUCUAAAGAUAAAGAGAAACUCACCAUUUUCUUGUCCCUAAACCCAUUGAGGGAGAGAUCAAUUGGAAGAGCAUUGGAUAAGCAAGUUCUACGACAACUUUGUGCAUUUUCACCUAAUGGAUUUUUAUCUAGGAACAUCCAAAUCACAAAUAUGAGUACUAUAUCUUUAUAUCUAUGUUUAAUAAUGGUUUUUAUUGUUAUUAUUCUACUAUGAUAUAUUCAAACAAGCCUAGGAAUAGUUGUACGCAUCUUUCGAGAUUCAGGAUCGAGGAAUGAAGUAAUCUGAAGUUCUCAACACUUAAGAGUUGAACUAACUAAAUUUUAAAAAUGACACUAUGAGUCAAGAAGUUUAAAAUAAUUCUAUCAUAAUAAAUUACUUCAAAGUUUUCUCAAAUCAUACCAUUGCAAAUGGUAUCAUACUCAAUCUCUGAUAUCAAUAUGGGACUUUAAGUGUUUUAAGUGGCCCCAAAUCCUAUAUGACACAAUGAGGAUAUUUUAUAUGCAUGUGAGGAGGAUUGUGAUAUCUUACAUUGAUCAGAGGAAGAAGUUGUUGACAUUUAUAUAUAGUAGGUUCCUCUUAAUUAUACAAACACAUUUUAGAGUCAUAAGGUCUCAUUCCACUUAAAGUUGACAAUAUCUAUAAGGAAGAGAGUAGGUCAUUAUAAAUGGUAUCAAAGUUAAUCUCUAAUUAUGAUAUAAACUUAAAUACAUGCUCUAAGUAUUUUGAGUGGUCUUGUAAUCCUGUGAGACAUAAUAAGAAUGUUACAUCUACAUAGAAGAAUGAUUAUGAUAUCUCAAAUAAUCAAAAAGGGGAAGAAAUUUUUUAUACUAUACAUGUAAUGAGCUUAUCUUAAUUAGAUAAAUGUAUUUUAAAACUGUAAAAAUAAUAUCUAUAUGAUGGAGCAUAUCAUUACAAUAUAUGCUUGUAUGUAUUUUUUAAUAAUAAUAAUAAUAUACUAAUAUAUAUUUUGUUUUUAUGAAGAUAAAUUUGUUAUUUGAAUGUUAUAUGCAAAAUUAAUUAAGGAUUAAAGAAAGAUAUGGUUACUUGGAUAUUAUAAACAAUUAAGUUAUCCUUCUUGAUUUUGUUUUUGAGAUAUAUUUUUCCUCUUUUGUAAGAUAUUGAUCAUUAGCUUUCUUCCAAAAAUAUACAAGAUAAGCUUUUUUUUUUGUUUUUUUUUCUAAUUAUGACAAGUCAAAAAUCGAUACUAUUCUUCUAAAUUAUUAUGAGUUAUUUAAAAGAUUGAUUAUGAAUGAAGUUACUUCUUGAAAUAUAUAGGAAGUAUAACUCUUACUUUUGAUGGUUGAUUUGGAAAUGUCAUAUAAUCUUAUAUAAUGAUUUUUCUUUUGCUUUUAUUUUAUGUUUAUUUUUAUUUAAAUUAUUUAUUCAUUUUAUUGAUUGAGGCAUAAGGUUGGUAGUUAUUGUGUUCAUUGAGUAAGUGGAUGCUAUAAAAUCUCAUAUUAUCAUAUUGAUUCACAAAAGUUUUAGAUUUCUAAUUAAAUGAAUAUUAUUAAUAGUUUUUUUAUUUGUUAAAUAUAAGUUUACAUAAUACUUAUUAACUUAACUAAUUCGAACUUAUAUUCACUCAAUCUAAUUCAAUUUUAACCUAAAUGGGAAAAUGUGAGGGAAAAAAUAUAGAGGAAAAGUGAAAGCAAAGAAAAAUAAAAAUAAAAUAAAAAAUAAAUUUAAAAUUAAUAAAUUAUUUUAUAGGUUUCUUUAAAAUCAUUUCACUUAUUUUCUUCUAUUAUAUAAAAAUAAAAUAAUUUUAAAAUAAACAAAUUUUUAAUUAAUUUUAAUUUUAUUUUCUUUUCUUUUAUAUUUUUAUAGUGAAAUCAAAUACAAGAAAAUAAUUUUUUAAAUAUUUUUUUAUUUGUUUAGUACUCUUCAAAAAUCAAAUAUAGCCCAUAUAUAUAUAUAUAUAUAUAUAUAUAUAUAUAUAUAUAAAUCAAUCAACUUAAAUUGUUUAUAAAUCAAACAAAAAUUAUGACCAUUGCACCACCCACCUACUAUGGUACAUGAAGGAUAAGCCUCUAACCACCCACCCACCCACCCACUAUAAUAUAUGAAGGAUUAGCCUCUAGUUUAUAUAAACUUAACACACCAAAAAUUAGAAAAUUCAAAGCUUCUUUACUUAAUCAUCAAAUGUUAUCUUAUCACAACCUUCAUUCAACAAAUAACUUCUAUUGGACUAAGUAGUGGUUAGAAUCUCUUUGAAAACAAUCAACUUUUGUUUGGCUUACACUAAUAGUUGUGUCAAUGAGCAUGACAAUCACCUACUUCACUUAAGUGUUUUCUAAUCAGAAGCCACAUCUAAGUUUGUUGUUGAACUAAUACAUUCGCCUCUACACUUACAACAACUAUGUCUGCCUGACCACUGAUUAUAAUAAUUCAACCACAUAUAUUCAUAGCCUCAAUCUCAUCAAUCUAAUCCUUCCUUCGUAUAUUUCCAACAACUUACUUGCUAGAUGUAUACAUAUGAAAGCCUAGUGAUUAUCCAAAAGAAAUGGCUCUAAGCUAGAAAAGUAGAUUAAGUGGAGGAUGUUUGAUAAGAUAAUUUAAUUUUAUAAUUUAUAGUUAAAAAUAAUUUUAAGGAUUAAGUCAAAAUAAUUAAUUGAUUUUAAAUGCUAAAUAUGGUUUGUCUUAUUUACUCACAUUUGGUAAAAGUGUUUAUAUAUAGUUAGAAUUUAUAAUGGUAAAUAAUAGUUAAAUUUAAUGAGUGUAAAUAUAUCAUUAUACGAUUAGUUAAAAUAAUUUAAGUUAAUUUUGUAAAACAACCUUAGUACUUAAAGUAAAACAGAAUCAAGUAAUAAAUUUUAAGUCAAGAAUUUAAGAAUUAUUUAACUUAAAAUCAAUUUAAGUCAAGUUUUUACCAAAUACCCUCUUGGUAAAUCGAAAAUAGUUUCAUGCAAACAAUCUUAUAUUAUAGCACUUUUGUUUACACAAUUUUAUAUUCUUUUUUUUUUUUUUGAUAAUUUUAUUAUAUUUAUUUCUCAAUUUUAUUUUUUCAUUAAUUCAACCAAUAAAAAUAUUUAAUUUUUUUUUUAAAAAAAAGACUUUUUAAUAUAAUAACAUGAUAAAAGGCUGGAAAUCAAUUAUUAGUGAUUUAAACAUUUCUUUAGGUUCAAUUAAGCUUAACAAUCUUAGGUAAAAUAGUGUGGUUUUUUUUUAUUGUAAUUAUGGACAAGUUUAUAGAUAAGCCACUUUUAAGAAUUGUACAAGACACUCUCACCGUUAUUAGGGAUGCCAAUAUAAUACAACAAAAAAUAAUAAAAGUAUAUAGUAUUAUUUAUCUAUAAAAUAUAAAAAAAUCUUAAAUUUAUUCUAAAUCGAUUUAUCUCUAUCUCAAACUCAUUCUAUUAUGAACUAAUAGAUACCCAAAAAAAUUCGUCUCAAUUGUCCAUGAUAUUUAUUGCUCUUUGUUUCAAUAUUUAUUUUAAAAUUUUGGAGCCUUUUUUACACAUGGAGAAUCUCUCUUCAUAUAUAUAUAUAUAUAUAUAUAUAUAUAAAAUUAUAGGUUAAUCCAAUUCAAUUUAUAUUAUAUUUGAUUUUUAGAAAAAUUGAGAGAAAAUGUAAUAAAUAAAUACAGAGAAAAAAAAGAAGGAAAUAGAAAGUUAAAAAAUGUUAAAAAGAAUUAACGUUAAUAAAUUAUUUUAACAUUUUUUUAAAGCUCAUUUAAAUUUUUUUUAAUAUAAAAAUUAAGUACUUUAACAAUUUUAAUUUUAUUAUAUUUAAUUUUUUUUAUAUAUUUUUCAUGAUAAAUCAAAUAUAAGAAAAUCAUGUUUUUACAAAAACUAAACAUAACAUUAGAGCUUUUGUAUAAUUGAUAAAAAAAUAAUAAUAAGAAUAAAAUAUUGAUUGAAUAUUAUAGGAGAAUGAUUGACAUGGAUAAAUAAUCAUAUUAAUGUCCAAAUUUACUAAUAAUAACAUCUUUAGUUUUUUUUUUUUUGUACGGCCUCUUAUUUCCUCAUUUUAAGAAACACAAAUGUCCAUGCUUGUUAGACAAAGGGGUCUUACAAUCUUACCAUGUCCAAAUUGAAUUACAUGAAAUGAAAUUGACUUUUUUUGAAAAAAAAAAAUUAUAUGUAUAUAUUAUAGGAAUAUAAAGAGGACGGGGUUCUCUCAAACUUAGAGUUCUGUUUGGCAGACAAGAAAUGCCAAGAAAAACUAGCUUUUUUUUUUCUUUUAAUUAAAUUGUAGGGUCCAUGACAUAAUGCAACAUUUGACCUAACUCUUAAAAGUUUGAAAAGGCACCUAUUUUUUUACCUCUCUUAAAAGGGUCUCUUUUAAAAGGGUAGAAUUAUAAUGAAUGAAGGCAUCUAAGUAGUUGGAAUUUUGAACUUUGAAUAGUGAAAAUCUUUCUUUGCAGUUCAAAAAUGAAGUUUUAUUAAAUUAAAAAUUCAUCAUUCUAUGUAUUUGAAAUUAAUUUUAUUAAUUAUUCUUUUAUACACAUAUUUUAAAAGUGUUCUUAAAAUCAUUGUGAAAAUAGACUUUAAAAAUGUGUUUGACAAUAAUUUUAGAAAAUCUUAUUUUAGUUUUUUUAAUAUUUAAAAAAUAAAAAAAAUUUAAGAUUGCGUUUGACAUUAAUUUUAUGAGUGUUUUUUAUUUUUUUUAAUACUUGAAAGAUAAAAAAUUUAAAUUUAAUUUUUUUAAAAAAAAAUUAUUAUCAAAUUAAUUUUAAUAACAUGUUUGAUAGUAAUUUUAAAAAAUAUUUUUAAUAUUUAAAUAAUAAAAAAUUUUAAAUAUUAAAAAUAUUAUAAAUAUUUCAUAAAAUUUCUGUAAAAUUCUAAAUAUUAAAAAUGAUAAAUGAAACCGACUUUAAAUAUUUCUCUUAAAAGAAUAUUAAUUAUUAUUCUAAAAAUUAAUAUGUUUUAAGUAUGUAUUUGUGGCUUUAAUUCUUUAUUAGUUUGAGUUAAGAUAUUUUAUAGAUCGGGGGCCUCUUCUUAUAUCUGUCAGCUGCUUUUGUCUGCCGCGUGUCCUAUCCUGUCUACACCGAACAAAAAUCCCCUCCUCCCUCUUCUCUUUCCAGCAUCGGAUUCCCCCACCGCCUCCCCAACUCUCACUCUCCACCGCCUCCCGCCGCCACCGCUACCGCAAAAAUGGCUGAUGAAACCGACGCCGCGCCUCCCCCAACGCUUCUUGCAGCGGCAUCGGUGGUGCCACCAGAGACGGCGGCGCCACCCGAGACGGCGGCAUCGGAGGAAGUUCUGACUGUGCUGGACGUCGCUCCGCCGGUGACUGAGAAGGAGGUCUCGCCGCAGAAACCGCCUCCUCCGCCCGAGGAGGUGGUGGCUGUGGUCGAUUCGGAGAAGAAAGUGCCUCAGAAUCUGGUGUCGUUCAAGGAGGAGAGCAACAGACUGGCGGAUCUCAGCGAAUCGGAGAGAAGGGCGCUGGAGGAGUUGAAGCAGUCGGUGCAAGAAGCCCUCAGAAAUGGGAUUUUCACUUCACAACCACAGCCGCCACCGCCGCCUCCACCGCCUCAAUCAGCAGAAAAACCACCUGAGAAAAUCGAAGAAGCUUCUGAAAAAAGGGAACCAAACCCAGUUGCAGAAUCGGAGAUCAGCACCCAAGAAGAGAGUGCUAAAGAUGAAAAUGUGAAACCCACACCAAACCCAACAAUUGAAUCCAUUCUCAAGCACGAAAGCCCAACUCAAGAGGAUGUGUCCAUCUGGGGGAUUCCACUGCUGAAAGACGAGAGAAGCGAUAUGAUUCUUCUCAAAUUUCUGAGGGCGAGAGAGUUCAAGGUGAAGGAAGCUUUCGCCAUGCUAAAAAACACCAUCUUUUGGAGGAAAGAGUUUGGCAUUGACGCAUUGGUGGAUGAUGAUUUGGGUGAGCACUUGGAGAAGGUGGUGUUCAUGCAUGGUUUUGACAGAGAUGGCCACCCAGUGUGUUACAAUGUGUAUGGGGAGUUUCAGAACAAAGAAUUGUACCAGAAGACGUUUUCUGAUGAAGAGAAGAGGAUGAAGUUCCUGAGAUGGAGGAUUCAGUUCUUGGAAAGGAGUAUCAGGAAGCUUGAUUUCACCCCUGGCGGCGUCAACACUAUCUUUCAGGUUAAUGAUCUCAAGAAUUCUCCCGGACCCGGAAAAUGGGAGCUUAGGCAAGCCACCAAACAGGCCCUCCAGCUGCUGCAGGACAAUUACCCUGAAUUCGUUGCUAAACAGGUAUAGCAGACUGUCUAAAUUCAAUAGUAUGACAGAAUAAGAUUCUUGAAUUAUUCCACAGCAUGUUCUCUUCCAAAUCGAAUCCAAUUUUGAUAUUGAUUAUUGCUAGCCUAGUAAGCUUUGUUAAGAGAACCCAGAAAUCAAAUGGCAUGCCUUGAUUUAAUUUGUUUUUGUUAUGGAUUCUUGAAGGUGUUCAUCAAUGUUCCUUGGUGGUAUCUCGCAUUCUAUAUGAUGAUCAGUCCAUUCUUGACUCAGAGGACCAAGAGCAAGUUUGUAUUUGCAAGCCCAGCCAAAUCUGCCAAAACACUUUUCAAGUUAGUAAAGAUUUUAGGCCAUAUACAUUCCCAAUUUCGGUUUUCUCGAUCUGUAGUUGCUCUGAGAUUGCAAGUCUAGAACUUUUUUAAUUUUGUGUUCAUCCGGUAAAACAGAUACAUAUCUCCUGAGCAAGUGCCAAUUCAGUAUGGUGGAUUGAGUGUGGACUACUGUGAUUGCAACCCUGAUUUCGGCAUUGCUGAUCCAGUCACCGAGAUUACUGUGAAACCAUCAACCAAGCAAACAGUGGAAAUAUUAGUUUCUGAGGUGUGGAUUGUGCUCUACUUUUGGUUUAUAUCUGUGCUUUAUUCCCCCUUUUUUGGUUUUUUCUGUGUCCCUACGUGAAAUUUAAACAAAAAAAAAAAAAAAAAAAUUGUUCUUUCUUUGUUGGUAAUUGGGGAGUUUAUGAAUGGCAGCAAUGCGUUAUUGUAUGGGAGGUCAGGGUAGUUGGGUGGGAGGUUGCCUACGGAGCUGAGUUCAUUCCUGAUGCUGAAGAUGAGUAUACCGUGGUUGUACAGAAGGCAACAAAGAUGGCCCCAACUGAUGAUCCAGUAAUGUGUAACAGUUUCAAAAUCAAGGAACUCGGGAAGAUAGUGAUCACUAUUGAUAACCCAACAUCAAAGAAGAAGAAGCUUCUCUAUAGGUUCAAGGUCAAACCCUACUCCAAUUGAGGAUCCCGAAGCAGUCAUAAGGGUUUUGAGUUGGGUUUGCAAGCUUUAGGGAAAACGCAACAACAGUAAGAAGCUUGACCAGUCAUUAAUGUUCCUGCAUCAUUAUGAUUGAAGAUGUAAAUUGGGUUCUUCUAUCUAUGCAUAGAAGUCCCCAUAUCAGAGUUAAUGGGUUUACAUUGUUGUAAGUUUGGGGAUUCAGUCAUUUUUCUUCCUCUCGGCUUUUUGAUUGUUUUAUUUUUUUUUAAUCUUUUUUUCUGUUUGGGUGGACACAGUAACCUGGGGUUUUAUGGUUGGCCAAGAGAUUAGUGUGAGUGAACCGAUGCAUGUGUGGAGAAAAUUUUGGCUCUAAUACUGUUGUAUGUGCUUGUAUUGGCGUUCCCUUCUAUGUAUAUUUUGCUCUUACAUGGAUGGCUAUUUAUCGACAUCAUGUUGACCCUAUAUAUUUAUGAGUGUUAUACUGCAUGCGUGGAACAUAUUUGUUGCAUAUUUACCUCUGUUUGGUUCCCUUGAAAGUUGCAUGCCUUCGGAUAGCAGUUGUGCCAAUAGAAGACCCACCAUUCCAUGUCAAUUCUUUGUUUGGAACAAUCUAUUUCUAUGCUUUUUUUCAUUUAAUCCCUGCUCUACUUUCUUAUAUUGUGGAGGGUUUCUUAUCUGGUUUAGUUGGAGUUGUUAUUAUCAUAUUUUUCUUUGGUUUGCUUAUUCAUUUGAAUACUUCUCUUCAUUCAUCUGUUAUUAAGCAACUCUGCCAUUUAUUUCAUAGCAUCAACUCCUUCAACCACUGCUGCUGGAAGUUCUAUGCGUUGACAUAAACUUGGACCCCAUUGCCUGACGUAUAUCGGAAAUCCAAAUGGUUUCCCACCUUUCCUAGCAUAAUUUUGUCAUGAUAUGAUUUUUAUUUUGAAGGAACCAUCAUCCUAUUGGUACAAUUUCUUGGCCUUGGAUUGUUUUUUGCAUUGUAGGAGCAGGAUGAGGGAAGUCACAUUCUUUCUACUGGUUUUCUUAUCUUGAUUAGUUUCUCAAAGCAUCUCUGAAGUAAGUUCUGCUUUAAUUUUGCUGAAAGUUUGCCAAUUUCUUGGACUUGUAUUGUUGUAAUGAAAAUUUGUUGGAUGCUGAACUUAUAUUAACGGUACUGCUAAUGACCUUGACCUUCAUGAAUAUUAGACGCCGGAGUGCCAUAUUGAAGUUCAGUUCAACAUUCAAUCAGCUGAGGAUUAUACUACGCAUUCAAAUAGAGGUAAUCUCCAUUGAACACCUAAUUAGCUUGCGUUGAGGGGGAAAAUUUUGUAGGUUGGUGCUGUUCUUUUUCCGGGAUCGAUGAUUAGGUUGGGGCAGCAUGUGUUGCCUGUCUGUGAUUUGUGUGAGCUAUGUAGUUGGGAAUAAGAGUGCUUAUGGUUGGGACUUGGACUGUCAAAAUAUAGCCAUGUUUAAGGUUUUUACAUGUCUUUCAUGAUCUGAGAACUUUAGCUAGAAGUGGGAUUUCACAAUUUAUAGAUUCUUGUUGGAAAGAAAAUGUAAAUUCAACCCUGCUGUGAUGCUGUUUGGAUUGGUUUUUUGAAAUUAUGGAUUUGGUAUUGACUUUCAGUAUGAGUUUGUUGCUUGAGGCAAAAGUGACAGUGUGAUAUGAAAUGUGGUGUAUAUAUGAUAUCUGAUUGCUUACCAAACUCUCCUAUUUCUGGCUAAACCCUCCACCCGGUUCCAUUUCUGCUUGCUUGGACCUGAAACAACUUUCACUUCUGGAGUGUUAGAAAUGGAAAUCAAUUUCAUUUCCAUUCAUUAAUUAAUGUGUUCAGAUUGUUUUUUAGAAUGGGAAUGGGAAUGGGAUAGAAAUUCAUUACUAUGUAAAGAUUUUGAUUUCCCUUUUCUACGUGGACUUAUAAUUCACUUUCAUUCGUGUUCUAUUUUCAUGUCUAUUCCGAUAUACAAAAUGCAUAAGUAUGCUUUGCUGGCGUUGCGGGAAUGAAGAGGUGGAAUGGGGAUUAAAAAUAUUAAUCAAGAAUGAGCAGAAAAAAUUGGUUUUUAUAUUUGAGUUCUAAGUAGGAAUGGGUGUGGGUUUUUUGGGUAAGCGGUUAUGAGAAAAUUUGAGAUUUUUGUUAAAACCCGGGACAAGUUUGAGGUGGGUUCAAGUCUUGUGUUGUUUCAAUUAUAUAUAAAAUUAAUUUAAUUUAUUUUUUAUUUUUUAUUAUAUAUAUAUAUAUAUAUAAUAUUUUAACUAUUUAUAAAAUAUAUUUAUUUUAAUAUAAUUAAAAUUUUUAAAAUUUUUUUUAAAUUAAAAAAAAAUCAAAUAAAAAGUUAAACCAAGAGGGGGUGGAUAUUAAAAUUUUAGCAUAAUCGUUAUAUUUUGUCUCAUCCUGUUGGAGAUGAAGAUUGCUUUGAAUAAAUGGGGUGGGAUUGGAAUAAGGGCAAUCCGACUCAAUUUGUACCGUUGUCAUCCUAGUUUUAACUUUUAAGUAAGAUUUUGUUUUUGAGAAUUACUUUUAAAUUUUUUUUAGAUAGAUGUAACAAUUUAUUUUUAAAAUAAAUUUUGAAAAAGCUGUUUUGUAUUAAAAAAUUUAUGAGUAUACGCUACACGUUUAGCUUCGCUCCAUAGUUCCGGUGACAUAAGUAAGAUCAGGAGGCGGCUGACAGCCGGCGGAGACAGGGACUUGACCUAUUCCCACUCAGGACCACGGAUAGCAUGUUGGGAAUAAGGAGGAACAUACCGGAAGUAACCACCCCCUUGUUUGCUUGGGGGGCUGUGCCGCCCCCUGCCUUCUCACUCAAGUCGCUCUUAAGGCUGUCAAGACUCAAGAGUUUAUUUAUAUUGAAAAUAAAUUACAAUAUGAACAAAAAUUCUAUAUUAUUUUAUUCACUUAAUCAUGGAAAUUAUAAACAAAAAUGGAAUAUUAUUAAAACUACUCAAAAUUCUAUAAAAGUUUCAAAUUUAAUGUUCUUUAUAUUAAAAAAUAAAAUAAAUAAAUUUGGAGGAGGGAGUUUAAAUCUAUUUUUUAUUUUUACUUAAAUUAACUUCCUUAUUUUCUUUAUUUAAUUUUCUUCUAUUCUUUUAUACUUUCCGUUCACUUAUUAGAUUGAUUAGCUGAGAUGUGACAAAACAUUAUCCUCAAAACAGAACAGGUAUCAACCCCAGUGCAUUAGGGAAUCUGUCAGGAUGCAGUUGUGUUCGGGUAUUACAAUAAAGUAGGGUGCUACAGUGGCAAUGGUUGCAGGAAGGCAAUGGAUGUCUGUAGUAGAAUCCAGAAGAUGGCUACUGUAGAAUAAAAAAAGAUGGCUAUAGUGGAUGGAGAUCAAUGAAAGGUACAGUAAAUUGAUCUUUAUGCAUGGUAGCAGUGGAUCGAUCUCGGGUAUGGAAGUGAUGAAAGGAUACGAAUCGAUCUUGAAACUUAAAUUCCAUGUUCAUUUGAGGGUUGGGAGUGGGAGCCUUGUAGUUGAACUAUGGCCCAUAUCCUUAGCCAACAUCACUCAAUUUUCAAAACUUUUGAUUUUCAGUUUUUCUUAAUUUUGGAAACAUAGAUUAUCCUUGCAAACAUGAGAUUAAUGAGAUUAUUGCCAACCCUUAUGAGCCUCUUGCCAUAUUCAUUAGAGGGUUGGAAUGUUGAUUGUCCAUGUAAGAUAAUUUAGGGUAGUGUCAAAAGCCCACAUGUAUUGGUUGUCAAGUGUUGACUACUUAUUGCCAUGUUUGAGUCGCAAAAUGUUUAUGUAAGUCUAACCUUUUGGCAUGUUUUAAACUAUUUUUGAAAUUUGAACUAUAUUUUAGACACCUUAAAUAUGUUGAGGAUUUUUUGCCUUGUUGAAUAUCUCUUUUUCAAGCUUGUUGAAUAAUCCGUUUUUCUGGUGCUUAGUCGUUACCCUACUUUUGCAUACUAGUUCCUUUUUUCUUUUUUUAAUCCCAAUUCUUCAUUUUUAACUAUUUUGAGUCUUAUACCUUGAUUUAGACAUCUAAAAUAAACUUGAGACCUUUAUUGAAAAAUUCAUUGUUAGCUUAUGGAACAAAUCAAUCUUUUGCAUACUUGUUUGUUGUCCUAUUUUUGAGUUAUAGAAUAUUCAUUAAAAUUUAUACUAUUUGAUGUUUGUUUAGGUUCCUUUGAUGCAUGCUUGUGGAAAAAACUUUUUUUGAUUUUUAUCUCAUCUUUAAAUUCAAUAAAUAAAUUUACAUUUCACGCACUAGUAUGUUGUCAUUUUUUUUUCUUUUUUAUGUCUUUUGUAUGUAUUAUUGAAUUAGUCCUAUUAGAUUCACUCUUAGCCUUCCUUGGGUCUUCGUUCAUGUAAUAUACAUCUUCUACAUGUUAAAUAAAUUUUCCCCUAUACCAUGAUUACUCUUUAACCAUUAAAUGAAUUUAUUUUGUAAAUGUAUGUAUACUAUCUUGUUUUUGCCCUAUUUACAUGUUUGUACAAAUCAAUCCCAUUUGAAGAUAGAUUAGCUACUUUUUUAUUUUUGUUUUGAGUUAUAGACGUCUUGUAUAUAUUGGAUGGUCAUUGCUUUGACGUUAGAUCUCUCACACUUUAUUUGUAAACUAACUCAUUCUUUCUUAUGUAAGCUUCUUGCCCCUAUUUUAGGCAUUAUUGAGAUACAAUCCUCCUUCCCUUUGAUUUUUUAUUUCUUUUGGCAAGCAUGUUGUGCUCUUGAGUCAUAUUUAUUUAUUUGACAUUAAUCUUGUGAUUUUCUAGUAUACAUAGUCCAUAUGUUUAUCAUCAGUUUUUCGUUCCUUAUCACCAUGCCUUGUUGUAUAUUUAUACUCGUGUUAUUUCUUGAUAUCUAUGAUUAAUUAAUUAAUUAUUAUAAUUCUUUCCACUUAUUUAGUAUAAAUCAUUUUAGGGAUUCGAUGAGUGUUAUCUUAUGACACUUUCUCAAUAAGUAACUUGAAUUUUGGAUUUAGACUCAAUUUUUUUGCAAACACGUUUUGUACAUCCUGAAAAAAUGAGUCAUGUCAAGAUUUUAUUUCUUAUUUUGUUUUUUCUUUAAAAAUAAAUAAAAAUAAGUGAUAUUGCAACUUUUCAAAAAUCGAAUUUUUAUAAUAAAAACAAGUCUCAUCAUUAAGUGGUAAUGUACAUGAAAAAUAUGGAUUCUCAAUUUGUGUCAGCUAUUUAUAUGAUGAAUAACAUACAGAUAAUAAAGAAUGAAUAAAAUAUUUUUCUUUAUCCAUCAAGGAAAAUGAUAUAUUUUCCUAGAUAUAAAAAAUUGACAAAAAAAACUAAUAAUACCAAAAAAAAAUGUAUAUUUGUCCUACAAUAAGCAUGUUAAAAAAGGUGAAUGAAAAUAAUAAAAGAAAAGAUGAUAAAAGCAAACAUAAUUUUUUUUCUUUGGUAAUAAUAAUUAUUAGAAUUAUCAGUAGAAUUUAUAGAUUUAUAAUUAAUCACUAUUGCCAAUAUAGUUUAAUUUUCAAUCAUUGGAUGAAAUUAAUUCAAGCUUUUAAUUAUUUUUCAUGUCUUAUUAGAAAUUAUUAAAACAAAGUUUAAUUUAUAAGAAAAUACACUUUUUGGUUGAUAAUUAAUCAUAUUGGCAUAUGUGGUUUCUAUUGAUGAUUACUUUUGCUUCCAUUGAUGGGAUUGGGUUUGUUGGGCUUUCCAUUGUUAGUUGCCUUGCUUUUGCCCUUUGGUUGAUGACUUUGGCCUCUUUGAUAUUUUUCUUCCAUCCAAUGGCACAUGCAAGUAGGUCCAGUGAUUAUUUUUAAUUUAUUUUUUAAUUUAUUUUUAUCUUUUUAAUAUUCCUUUUAAAUAGAUGAAAAGAAGCUACUAUUAUCCUUUACAUUCUAAGGCUUUGGAUAGCUUUUUAUUUCUACUUUUAUUAAUAUGACCCAAAAGCAAAAACUUUGAUUUUUAUUUGUUUCAUGAGUUAUAUUUGAGAAUGAUGUUUUUAAAGAACUUUUUAGAGCUAAAAAAAGCUUCUUCUCUUUUUUUUUUUAAAGAAAAAACUAAAAAGAUUUUUUUUAUUUAAGAAAAACAUUUAUUAAAUUUUUAAUUAUUUUUUCAAGGCUAUUUUGUCUUCUUGAUGAAUUUGAAUAUAUAUAUAUAUAUAUAUAUAUAUAAUUUAAAUGUCAUUUUAUACCAAAUAAAUAUUUAUCUAAUGAAUAAAGUCAUCACACCUAAUAAUAAUAGUAGUAAUAAUAAUAAUAAUUAAUAUUUCAAACUACACUGUUUCUAAACCAGAAUAUAAAAAAAAAUAGCAAUUAAAUGUGAUUAAUAAAUAAAACAUAUGAGUCACAAAUUUGGGAUAUAGUAAAACCCUAAAAGUCUUAUAUUUAAAUGAAUAAUAAUAACAAGAUAAAUAUCAUGUCAACAUCAAUAGAUAUUAACUUUGUAAAACAUCAAAAUAAUUAAAGCACUAAUAAAAAUAAAAUAUUAGAUGAAAUCCCUAACAAUGGAACCCUAGAAAUGUCAUUAAUUGUAUUGAAGAUUUUCAAGGAAAAAAUAAAUAAAUAAAACUUUUAAAAAAAAAAUGUCUAGUAAUGGGUAAAAGAGGAUAUAUUUUCAAUUUGAUUUUCUUUUUUAAAAACUUCAUUAAAAUAUAUAGGACUUUCCAUAUAAGUCAAAAAAUGUCUUUUGGAAGAAUUACCAUAUAUAUCUUUGUUUCUAUAUUAAGUAGUUUUAAAAGUCAUCAGUGUUGUAAUCAAAACUUCCCAAAUACUACUAAAAGAUUUAUGUUUGAUUUAAAAAUGAAUUUUUGGCUUCUCAAAAAUCAAUUCAAAUAGGGCUAAAAUUCAUAUUAAAAGAUUACGUGUAUAAAUGAAUUCUUUAAACCAUAUGGGGAGUUGGUGACGAUGGACUUUUUUUUUUCUCUUGAAGAAUGUUUGUUUCUUGUGUAACUUGUGAUUAUUUAAAUUGAAUUAGUUUGUCUUCACUAAUCGAUAUGGUGAUAUAUACCUAUUCAAAUCAAAUAUGGGCAUUGGUUAUGGAUCAAGUUCAAGACCCAUCUAAAUUUAACAUCUCCAAUUCAUCUACAUUGAUGUCAUAAGAUAAACUAUUUAAUCUCAAUAUCGCAUCCUAUCCUUCCCUUACACAAAAAAUGAAACAUGUGAUAUGAGAAGAACAUAUAUGGCAAGAGUGCAUAUGAAGCAUUUUGAGUACUAGGAAUAUCAACAAAUUAAUACAUGUGUGUGGCAUAUUAAAAAUGCGUAGGUCAAUACUUAGAAGCCCCUUGUUCUAUGACAUUAAAUCACUGUGUCAUAUAAUUUUUAUGUAUUCCAUACCACACAAUUUUAUAUUAAGGGAGAUGAUGGUGGACAUGAAUUAGAGAAUCAACCAUUAGAAGAAAAUGUUGUUGAUACUAACUUGAUUGAUGCAUGUAGUUGAGCCAUUAAAUGAGUGGAACACAUGGAGAUAAAACUUUGCGAUUGAAAUAUUUAAUACAAGGCAAGCUAACAAAGAGUAUGUUUGAAUUAGACAAGUGAUGCUCAUCGUUGUUUAAGUAAUUCAUGUCCUAGUUGAAUCGAAAAAAACACUAUGGUUUUUCUUUUCCCUUUUGGCUCCUUAUAGUCAUUGGAACUUUAUAGACCUUAGUUUUAUUAUUUUGUUGAAUUUAUGAAUAUUGAUGGUUGGAUCUUUAUAGCUAUUGGUUUUUUGACUUUAUUGUUUUUAAUUAAAUAUUAGCUGUUGGAUUUCUAUAUCUUCCACUUUUUUAGAAUGUAUAGGAUGACUUCUACUACAAAUAACACUUAGUGAGGAAGAGGGAUCAACAAACAAUACUAGACAAUCUUAGAACAUGCGGCAUUAGUUGCAUCAUUGCAAGAGUUACACUAAAAAUCUUAGUGGAAAUCUACACAAGAUUUAAGAAUGAAUACUUCACCUAAAUAAAGCAAUAAUGGAAGCCAAAUGCCUAGAAGUGGAUUGAAAGUGUCUCCGCGUGAGAUUCAAAGGUGAAGACAUUGAAGGGGAAAUACUUUGCUUUGUCUAAAAUGUUAUUCCAAAGUGGCUUUAGGUGGGACAAUGAGAGAAUCAUGGUGAUGUGUGGAAAGAACGUAAAUAAAAAAUAGGUUAAAAGUAAAUUUUCUAUACAAUGUUCAUGUGAACGUAAAUAAGUUUUCAUGUGAACUUAUACGUGUUAUUUCUUAUGAAGAACUUGUAGAACCAUAAGGAUGCGACUAGACUAUAUGCAAAGCCAUUUGCAUAUUUCCAUGCACUAGGGAAAAUAUGUGGGAAAGAUCAUGCAAUCAGUGCAACAAGUAUGAGUGAAAAUAUGUAAUAGAAGAUGAUGCAAAUUUCCCAUAUAGGGUAGAUGUCAAUAUGGAAAGUCAAGGCAUCGGGCAACAAUAAGGGUUUGAAGAAUCAUUGACCCACCAAUCAAGUGUUUCAAGUCAUGCUCAUAAAGAGGAAAAAAAAAACCCCACAGAGGACAUGACUGCAAGUAUAAAGAGCAUGGAAGUGUUGCAGCAUUAAUAGCACCAAAGAUCGAUGGUUUUAUUAAUGUUCUUUCAAAUGAUAGGAAGGUGGCUAAAUUGCAAUCUCAAUUGAAAGGUGAGUUGAGGAAUAUUGAAGGCCUUCACAGAGUUCAACUAUUUUGUGCUAGUCACAUGUUUAGCUAUGAAAUAUGCUUGUUGAGGGUCUUCUUUGCCAUGAAUAAUGAGAAGAAAGAAAAAAAAUUAUUAUAAGAUGUGAAUAAUACGAUACCAUAUUAUAUUAGAUUGUAUUAAACAUGGGAUGUGACAUAAUGUAAAAGAAAAUAUUUUAUGUUAAUUUUAUUUAUUAUUUAGAAUAUAUUAGACUGCAAUGAUUGAUUAUGUAAUGAACUUGUAUGUUAUGGGUAUUAAUUUACUUCUUGCUACACAAUCUAUUAAAUAAAUGCCCAGGAUUCCAAGUAAAAAUCAUCCUGAUACGGAAGUUGGUAUGUCUUUUUCCCACAUAGCAUAUGCGAGAGUCAUUGCCACUUGUUUUUCCUUUAAUUAUAAUUAAAUAAUACAAAAGCCUCCUUUGAUUCUUGUCUUGGUACAAUGGAUUUGCUUUAUGCUUUCCUGGUUUUAGGACAAAGACAUGCUAUUAUGAGAUAAUCCGCAACAUUAAUUUUCCUCUAUUUCAAUUGAAUUUGAGUGGGUUUUCUAUUUCCUAAGUUGCCCCAAAAACAAUUCAACUACUUACCACUAGAGAUAUGUGGGUGUAUGAACUUAUAAAUUUGUAUGCAUAUGUGACUUCUAUUAUUUAUUUAAUUUUUCUUAUGUACUCAUUGUAUAGUGAAUAUGUUCUUAUUAAGAAUAUCUUUCAUAAUCUUCAUCUAGAUUGUGGUAUAUUGCGUAGAUAACUUUGUAGUUCUUUCUAAUCAUUUCAUGGAUUUCACCAACCUUUACUGCAAUGGCAGUUGGUUUUUAAGGCCAAGAUUGUCUUACUGUGAUCUAGUUAAUAGAGAAAUUUUCUAGAAAGAAAUGUGAUGUUUGUAUUUUGGUUGAAUAGAAAAAGUAAAAAAUAUUUGACUUUUUCUAUUUAGCUAAAAGUAAUAUAUUGAUAUCAAUUAACAUAAUUAAAGUGAAUUUAUUAUCAAUAGAUUCAAUUUAGUUAUAUUAGUUGAUAUGAACAAAUUACUUUUAAUUGAAUAAAAAAAAUCAAAAUAUUUUACUUUUUCUAUUCAGACUAAAAACGAGCACCAUCAAAGGUAACAUCUAUCUCUUGUCCGAGCAUGAGAAGAGAAGUAGAGAAGGGUCCAAUCCCAAUUAGGUUUUUUAAUACUUAUUUUUACACAAUGUUUGGUUCCAAAAGAUAUUAAGAAUCUUUUUUCCUUUUUUUUUUUUUCAUUUUUGGUUUUGUAUGAAAAAUAGGGAAGAAAGUAAAAUUAGCUAUAAAUUGAUGAUUAUUUUAGCAAUUUCCUAUUUUAAAUAAAUAUAUUAUGACUUUGUAAACCUUUUAAGAAACUUCAUUCUCAUUCAAAUAUUCAUUACUAAUAGAGACUUUUAAACCUCACACAAUUUAAGUUAAAAUUAUCUAAAAUUUAUUUUUCUUAUUUUUAAUAAGUAAUUGUAUAGUUUAAAUAUUUAAUAUCAUUUACUAUAUUUAUGUGUAUUUUUAAAUGAGUUAUAAUCAAAGUCAUAUUAAAAAAAAAUUGAAAUUAAUUAUUUAAAAAUAAAUAUAAUAUAGUUUUUUUCUAAAAGGGCAUUAUAGUAAAAUAUAUAUGGUUUAUUCUUAUUCCUUAUAAUUAAUUAAAAAAAACUCAAAAUCAUUAUUUUUUUUAAUUUUUGUCAUUCUCUCUUUGUUUAGUAAAUAUUUCAAUUAAAUUACUGAUUUUUUUUAUUUGGAUUUUAUCCAUUGUUUGGUUGCGAACACUCUUUUAAGCUUUAUUUCAAUUUAGCUUUACUUCAAUGGCACUUUUACUUGCCACCUUUUUUUUAAUAGGAUUUUUUUAAAAACAAUACAACAAUUUUUUUUUAAAAUUAUUAUAAUAAGAUAUUUUAAAAAAUAUUUUCAAAUUUACGACACUAUUUAUAACAUGAACUAAAAGCCAUCUUUUCAAAUGACAAUUUUCAAUUGAAUUUUUUGAAAGUAUAAUAAAUUUGAAAAUAAUUUCAAAAGUGUCAGUAUUUUAAUAAUUUUUUUUUUUAAACUUGUUACAUUUUUUCAAAAUCCUCCUUUUUGUACAAUACCUUUCACAUUUAAAAUUUAAUUUUUUACUCUCCAAAAUUACUAAAUAGUGUCACUCUAUAAUUUAAAAAUAAUAAUAUUAGAAUUAAAUUAAACAUGACAAUAAAAUAAAAUCAAAUUAAAAAUAGAAAUAAAAUAAAAAUAAAUAAUCAAGACAAAGAACAAAGAAGAUAAGAGUAUGUUUUUUUACAUAUAUGAAUCAAAAUAUUCUUAUUUUUGCCUUGAGUUAUUACUUUGAUUUUUUUUCUUAUUUCUAUUGUUUAUUUUUAGUUUUAUUUAAUUUAAUUUUUAACUUGAAUUCUAAAUAAUUUCAGUUUUAAGUUUAUUUCCAUUGUUAUUUUUUAGAUUGGUUUUUGUUCCAUUUUAAUUUUUUUAAUAACAAUAAAAAAUAAGUAAUUAAAAUAAAUGUAGAGUGACAUUAUUUAGUAAAUUUACUGCAAAUGAUUGUAUUUUUGAAUGUAAGGGAACCAAACACAAUGUCCCACAAUUUUGUAGGGGACAAAAUGCAAUGUAGAAAUCUUGUAGGGUAUAACUAGAUUUUAGCUAGGCAAGAAAAACAAAAAAAGACCUAAAAAUUCUAGGAAAUAAGGUAUAAUUAACCCUAUUAUUUAUUUUAAAAAUAUUAAUUAUAUUAUUAGUUUCACCGUCAUUUUAUUAUUCUUCAGGUUAAUUUUAUUGAGACCCCACCGAGUUUGAUGUAAACACACUUUAUCAUUAUUGAUUUCAAAUUUCAUUGAUUAUCACCCUUAUAAAUUUAUUUUGUAUAUAAAAUUUUAUUUAUAAGAGUGUUUAACAAUUCUUUAAAAAUUAAAUUUUAUUCUUUAAAAAAUUAAAUUUGGGGAUAACCGAUCAAAAGAGACAAAAGAAAUAUAAAAUUACAAAUUUGACUUUCCACUCUUUUUUAUCCAAAGAAGUACCUAUUUUAGACGAGAAUACCCUCACAUUUUUCUUAUAAAAAUAACAUUUUUUUAAAUACAUGUAAAUAGUAAAAAUAUUAAAAGAUAUUUAUAUUAAAAAUGAGUUACUCUUCAAGUUGAAAAAUGGAAAAGAUUAGUUUUAUAAAUUUGGAAUCUUUUCAGCCAUUUUAAUCAAUUAAUCUUAAAUUUAUAAAAUACAUUUAUAGGGUACUAACAGAUAAAAUUUGAAACCUGUAGUGGCUUAGUGUACUUACACUAAACCUUGAAAGUGUGUAAAUAAAACUAAUUCAAAUGAUAAUUUAUAACUAAAAAAUUAUAUUUAAUAAAAGUGAUGGGUUUCAAAACACCAUCUUUGUUUAUAUUCCUUUUCUUAACUUUUUUUUUUUUUUUCAUUUUUCCUCUCAAUUUUCUUUCUCCCGUACAUUUUUCAGGAACCAAACAGUCUUAUGAAUUUUUAAAAUCAUGAUUUCAUAUUGGGCUUGGGUCUAAAUCCUAAUUCAGGGUACCAUUCUAUGUAAUUAAAAACUAAUAAAUAAAUAAAUAAAACCCUAAAGACAUCCACUUGAAAAGUAGAGGACAUAUGUAUGGGAGUCCCACUCUACCUUCACGUAGAAGUACCUUUUGUGAGACACCAUGAUCCAUUUCCUCUCAAGAAUCAAUGGGUAACCCACCAUCCCACGUGUUGUCUAUGAAUUAAAACAAGCCAAUACAUACCCAAAUUCAAUGAAUAAUCCAAUUUUUACAACAUACAAAUUCCUUUCACCCAAAACCCAUUAAUAUAAUCAAUUGCAUCUAAUCAUGCUUUACAAGAAAAGAACCCCCUAAAAAGGACAACCAAACACUAUUAGAAAUCCCUUUUUUUUUAAUUUACAAAAAAAAUAAAAAUAAAAAGAAAAAAAGGGGGAUACAAAGAAUCUAAGCCUUGACAUGAUAAGAUAUACAUAGCUUUUAUUUGGUUUGAUAAAUUGAUAGGUGGGGUCUCUUAAAGAUAUUUUAAAACUAGAGUAGAGCUAGAUCAUCUAUCUUCCCAUGUACAUGACAUGAUGGAUGAUGACUGAUGAGCAAUAAUGAAUGUCAUCUUUUAUUGAGUGGAGAAAAUGAUUAGGUACCAAACACCUUGUUUGAGGAAUCAACAUUAAUAAUUGCAAUUUACAUAGCAAUCCUCCCCAAAAUAGAUACCAAACUUCCUUGUGUCUUCUUGUUUUGUGGUUGAAAUGAUAGGGCCCACAUUCAAGAAUUUUUCAAAAAAAUAAACCAUUUGACAAACUUUUAAUAAAAACAAAAAUAUUUUUUUUUUUGAGAAUUUGUUUUUGAAAAUGGGGUUUUUUUUUAAAAAAAAAAAGAUUAAAUAUUUUCAAUUAUUUUAUGUAAAGUGUUUGAAAAAUCCUUUUAAAAAAUCUUAUAUCAUAUAUAAAGUUAUAGUAACUUAAUAAAGAAUAAAUAAUUUAAAAAAUAUUUUUAUAUUUGAAUUUAAUUUAAACAAAAUUUUAUCUCUUCAAACCAUCAACAAAAACUAUUUUCACCCUAGAUCUCUAUUUUAAUAAUUUUUUUAAUGUUAAAAAGUGGUAUUUAAUUUUUAUUUUUUGAACUUUGACACGAUUUUACUUCUUCGGCUAAAUCUCACUCGGUUUUUAAGUAUCAUAUUUUUUUUAUUACAACAUUUCUUUACCAAUUCAAAAUUUAUCACAUCAUAAUGACAAUUUUACUAAGGGUAUGUUUGGUUUUAAAAAAAUGAUUUUUUUCAUAUUUGGUUUUGAUACGAGAAUUAUGAAUGAAGAUGAAAUAUAAUUAAAAUUAGUAAAAAAUUAUAUAUUAUUAAAUUAUUUAAUUUUUAUAUAAAAGGGUAAAAUAAAUUAAAUGGUUUUUUUUUCCUUUUAAUUUCACUUAAAGAUAUGUCUAAACCAAACAUAUGCUCAAGGUAUAAUGAAAUUUAAAUAAAGAAAUUAAAAAAAAAAUGUGGAAGAAAGCACACUCUGUUCCUGCAGAGGGCAGAGAAAAUAAAAAGGGGGUUUUGCUUUGAACAAAAAUGUAAUAAUUUCAUAGUCACCAAACUUAGAGAAUAAUGAAUUAUGCAAUCAGUCUUUCCUAUACAUUGCAUCACUUUAUUUCCUUGAAAUCCUUUUCAUGCCUUUUUGACUUUGCAAACCCUCCGUCGUUUAGGUGAAAUUUCACCAUGCAGUGUUGAAAGAUUGACAUGCAAAAGGAGAUUUCCUGGAUGUCCUUCUGCCCAAUAACAAAAAGGGACACGUACCCUAAGUUUUUUACUCUUCCACAAAAAAUAGAUCCAUUUUCCCAUCACAUCAUCCUUGUGGCUAUGGACUACUCACUAGUUUCCCUCCUCAACCAUAAUUUAAGACUAAUCUUGCUUUUAAGAAUACCUUUUCAGCAUUGUUUGGUAUCAAAUUGGAAAAAAUUUCAAAGACUAAGCACUUUUAUACCUUAUCUUGUCCCCUUGUCAUUGCUUUGUAUAAAGUAAUUUAAAGUGUAUUUUACUGUGAUUUUAGAAAGUGUUUAAAGUUUUUUUAACAUUUGAUAAUUUGUAUUUUUUAAAUAUUAGAAAUAUCUAAAACGCUUUUUAGAAUCAUUAUUAGACAUACUCUUAGAACACAUGAUAAUGUUUUUAUUAAAAAUGUUUUUCUUUGAAAAUUUUGUUUAAAAUAAUUACUUUUCAAAUAUUUUCCUAAAAACAUUAUAAGUAGUUUUUAAAAAUACCACAAGUGAAUUUUUUACAUUUUUAAAAAGUGUUUUCUAAAUUUUAUCAUAUACUUAACUUUUUUUAAACUAAAAACAUUUCAUAAAAUCAUAAUCAAACAAAUUCUUAGAGGGUGUUUGUUUUUUUAAUUUUUUGCUAAAAUAAUUUGCUUUUAGAAUUUAAAUUAUUUGUUUUUUUUAUUUUUUUUAUGACUUAAUAUAAAUUUUUGAUUGAAUAAAAAAUAUAAAAUAUUUAACUUUUUUAAAAAAAAAUAGUAUAUUAAUUUUUUUUUUUUACUUUUUAAUACUUAAUAAAAAUAAAAUAUUACAAAAACAAUUAAGCAUGAUUUAAUUUUAAAAUUAAGCAUAAAAAACAAACACCACCUUAAUCUCGUCAUUUUCUAUAUAUAUUAAUUUUAUUAUUCUUCAAUUUGUAUAAAUGAUAUUUUUAUAAAAAGUAAACAAAAAGAAUUCUUCAUACUUUGAAAAAGUGAAUCAUUGUCCUCCUUGUAAUAAAAAGGAAAGUUUCUGUAAUUUUCCAUGAGAAAAAUACAUUGUCUUACCCUUCAAAAGGGGAGAAAAAGUUCUCAUCUACCCAUAACAUCAUACCGUAAAUGAAUGAAAUUGUAGUGCAUGUGAAUGGGGCAGGUAUGAAUAUUCUUUCAACCCAGAGUUGCAUUGAAGGGCAUUGAAGCCCCCCCAAUCAUUUCAAUGGCCUCCUUUAGUAAAACCCCCAUCACUUUCAAUGCUUCCCCUUAGCUCUAGGCUUGUGAAGCACAAGGGCCUGUGCACCCUGACUGUGACAGUCUUCUCACCCAAAACCCACCUUCUUCUUUACUCUUCCACCAAAUUCUCAUCUUUCCUCUAAAUUCUUCCAACCUCUAACCAAAUAAUUUACUAAUUUCUUACUAUUUUCUCCUCUAAAAACAUUCAUGAAAAAUGGCCCUAAUCUUCAAACUAAUCAUCCAACUCCACAUGUUUACCCAAAUCCCGACACAUAUGAGAAUUUCCCAUAUCCAACCCUUUAUUAAAUUAUUUUUAAAUUUAAUAAGACUACAUUUGGACUCACAUUCUUUUAUUAAAAAAACCUCGAAACCAACCCUAACACGGAUCAUUUUCAUCCCUAUCUUUAAUAGGGUCGAGAUAUAAAAAAAAAACUCAACUCAUUAUCAUCCCGACUUGUUUUGAAUAGCUCCACCUAACCCACUUUAUGACACCCUCGUAUUUGCAUACAUUAUGAAUAAAAUCCUCUUAUUAGGCUCCAUUUUGGAGCAAUUUUAAAACAUCUACAAAACUUUUGAACUCUUUGAAAAGUACAAUAGGUCAAAGGUGUGAUCUUAUAAGUUCAGACAAACAAAGGGGGCCAAAAUUUACCCUCUUCAACAAAGUCAAAGGUGUGAUCUUAUAAGGUCAAGAAUGUAAGUUCACCCUAAAUUUACCCUUUUGAAGCUGAGAAAGCAACACGACAAGCAGAGCUUUAAACUCAAGUUUAUAAACUAUAGAGCAAAUGAACAUAUUUAAUGACAAAUGACAAAUGAACAAUGACUUAUAAAUGUCGGAGAAAUAUAACAUAAAGAGUAAGACACCAUUAAAUUUACACAAAUUUUACAGGUGGUGAGUAGCAACAACAAUGGUUUCUGUCCAGUCCACAGUCAACAAGCAUCUCCAUCCCUUGCAUCCCAGAUUGUCUUCACCAGUAAAUGUUUUGUUUUUCCAACAAUGCCACACCCAAAAACCCAAAGAACAAAAAAUAUAAAUAAAAAUCCCCCAAACUUUAAAUUUUAAAAUUAAAUGUAAAUUUAAACAAGAAAAAAGAAAAAAAAGAAAACCCCUUUUCUUAAAACAAAAGAACCCUUCUUAUUUUGCUAUUGAGAUCAGAGGCUUUUUCAAUGAAGAGGCAUUGAUUCUGAAUAGCUUAGUCACAAGGUUGAGUCUUGGACCUGUAGAGGAGCUUCUUCUUCUUGGAGGUUUGAUUGUCGAUGGUGAGAAUGACCUUGCCUGGUUCCCCAAUUUUGAAGCUGUUGCUGAUCACUGGUUCAUCGGUUGGGGCAAUUUUCCUUGCUUUCUGGACGAUUACUGUGUACCCCCCCUCGACAGUGGGCACAAACUCAGCUCCAUAGGUCACAUCCCAUCCGAUAACGCGAAGUUCCCAAAUUAGCUGGCAUGGCUGCAAUUCAACAACGCCCAAAUUACGUUUCGAAGUUGAACAUAACUUUAAAAUUCGAUACCAUAUCAUAGAAACGGCUGCAAGAACCCACCUCAGAGUAUGGGAAUUCAAUAACAUGUUUGCAUCCCGGUUUGAUGGUGACCAAUGUAACAGGGUCACAGAUGGAGAAUUCAGUGUCACCAUCCCUUUUCAGUCCACCAUAUUGCACUGGGACUUGCUCAGGUGCAAUAUAUCUGUUUUCCCACCCCAUCCAAACACGCCACAGAAAACAUACAUGUUACCGAGAGAAAUAUGAUCAAAGACAAUUGGACAAAGGCAAGAAUGAAACGAAUCUCACUCACUUGAAAAGGGUUUCAGCGGAUUUUGAUGGCCCUGCAAAUACAAACUUGCUCUUUGUCCUUUGAGUCAGGAAAGGACUGAUCAUUCUAUUGAAGGCCAAGUACCACCAUGGAACAUUGAUAAAGAUCUUCGGCCAAAUACCAAAACAUGAUUCAGAUUCCCACCAAAGCAGAUGAUUCAAUUUAAUUUCAUUCAAUGCCAAGCACCACCAUAGAACAUUCAAGUUAAAGAACUUUCACAAAAACAGAUCCCUCAUAUUAACACGCAACCACACAAUUCAAUUGAAUUUUCCCAAAAAUUAGAACUACUAUCAAUUAAUCCAAAGGAUUAAAACUCAUCAGGAAUGAAGGUUCAAAACUCAACACCUUGAAAAUUGCAGAAAGGCCGAAGCUUUUGGAUCAUUUAUCAAGCCGAUUAAAGACUAUUCAACCUAAUCUUGAUUAUGCUCACAACAAAAGACACUGACAGCAAGCAUGUAAUCUAAUGACUGCUAACGAGUUGAGAAGGGGAGAUACCUGUUUGGCAACAAACUCGGGAUAAUUGUCUUGGAGCAAGUGGAGGGCCUGGUUGGUGGAUUGUCGGAGCUCCCUCUUGAAUGGUCCUGGGGAGUUCUUGAGAUCGUUGACCUGAAUGAUAGUGUUGAUGCCAUUGGGACUGAAGUCCAGCUUCCUUAUGCUCUUCUCCAAGAACUGAAUCCGCCAUCGGAGGAAGUUCUGCCUCUUCUCCUCAUCAGAGAAGGUGUUUUGAUACAGUUCCUUGUUCAGGAAUUUUCCGUAUGCGUUGUAGCACACUGGGUGGCCUUCUUUUCCGGAUCCCUCCAUGAACACCACGCUCUCCAGGUGGGUUCCGAGGUCAUCUCCCAGAAGAGUUUCGAUUCCAAAGCUUUUUCGCCAUAGCACAGUGUUCUUCAACAUGGUUAAGGCUUCUUUAGGCUUGAAAUCUCGGGCACGGAGGAAUUUUAGGAGGACGACAUCGGUCCUGUCGUCAUCGAAGAGUUUGAUUCCCCAGAUCUCUACCUCCUCCGGCGGUGGUGGUGGCGGCGGGGGCACUUCCUCGGCCGGAGGUGGAGGAGUGACCUCCUCGACGACGGCUGCGGCCUCCUCUGCUGGAGGAGCGGGAGGUGCGACCACGAUGGUCUCUUCGAUUGCUUCAACGGUUUUGGUACCAUCCUCGUCGACCACGACGGCAGUAACUGUCUCCACCACCGCAGCAACUACCACUGGCUCAGCUGGUUCCGGCGGCGCAACCUUCUCUUCUUCUUUCUUCUCUUCUUCCUUCUUCUCUUCCUCUUUCUUCUCUUCUUCCUUCUCUUCCUUUUUCUCUGAUUCUUCCACCGGUGGUGGACACACAACCUCAGGCGCUGGUUCCGCCGGUGCCUCGGUUUUGGGCUCUUCCUCAGUUGCAGGAGCCUUUUCCUCCUCCUUGGCCGGCGGCGGCGGUGGAGGAGGGGGAGCGGUGAACUCGUGCUUCUCCAGCGCCUCCCGGACCAGCACUUUCAGCUCCUCCAGAGCCUUCCUCUGACUCUCCGGAAGAUCACCUACAACGUUGCUCUCCUCCUUGAACGACACCGACUCAGUCAUCUUCUCCCCUUCCUCCACCACCUUGGGCUUCUCCUCCUCAGCCGCCGCCACCUCCUCCUCCAGCUUCUCCACCACCUCCUCCUCCUCCUUCAGCUUCUCCGCCGCUUCCUCCGCUUCCGGAACCGCAGGCGGCGGCGCUGUCACCUCAGCCACAGCCACAACUUCUUCAACAACGGAAGCUUCAGCAACUGGCUUCUGAGCUUCCUCAGAAACCGGCUUUUUGCCGUCUUCCGCCAUAGAUGAGUGAAUUAAGAGACAGAGAGAGAGUGAUGAGAUAAAAUUAGGAAGCGUAGAGAGCUAGAAUUAGAGAAGGAAGACGAAAUGAAGGGUCUUAAAAUAAGGCGGUUGGAAGAAAUGGGGGCGACGUUUGUUGUAUGUGGGAGGGAACCAGUCUGUCAGACUCGCUUGCCAGCUAGUACGCCACUCUCUGUGGGCCCCACCUCCAACUCAUUCUUUCCACCUUAUUGUGCUUGUUCACUUUUUAUUCUCUCCCUCUCCCUUUCUUUCCCCUUAUAUCAUUUCCCUCCCCAACACAAUUUACUAUUUCCACUCCAUCCUCUCUUUUUUCCCCCAAUUUUUGUGCUAUAUAUUUAAUUAAUUCUCUAUAUUUUAAUUUUUCUAAUAUAUUUACAUAAUUACAUGACACCAAACUUAAUUAAUUCCUUAAAAUUCAUACAGCUCAGCAUUUUUUUUUCAAUCUUUAUUUAAAUUAUAAGAAAAGGAAUAAGAGUUGUCAUCAUUUUCCAAAUAAAAAAAUUAUAUUAAAAUUUAUUCUUAUUUUCAAUAUAUAGAAAUGCAAAAAUUAUAUUUUCACCAUUUUCUAAUUUCCAAAAAAAAUCAUUCUAAAUAAAGAAAAAAAAUCAAUCAUAUAAUAGUGAUAAUUACUUGUGUCAUAAUUUUUUAAUAAAUACAAAUUAAAUAAUUACAUAACAUUCAACUUAUCCUCAUAAUUCAAUGUACUUACCUAUUAACAAAAAUUUCUUAAUUUUAAAAAUAAUUUAAGCAUACAAAUUUUUUUCACCCUAUGUGACGCAAAAUGAAAAGGGUUAUUUAAUUAAAAGGGUUAUUAAAAAUCCAAGUCUUAAAAUUUAUCCGUCCAUCCUAUUUUGGUCUCAUUUAGACAAAAAUACCCUUAUUACUUUAAAAAAAAAAUAUUUUUCUAUUUUAAACCUCAUAUAUAAAUAUUUAAAAUAAUAAAGGACAUUUAUAUAAAAAAAUGAAUUAUUUUUUAAGUGAAAACACGUGAAGGGUUAGAUUCACAAAUCCAUUGAGGUAUGAUUCCAUCUCUUUGAAUCCAUUAAAUCAAAUGAAAAUGACUUAAAUGAUAAAAUUAUCGAAAUUAUAUUAUACAUCAUCAUUUUCUAAAAAAAAUGAAAACGACACCCUUUUGAAUAGUGUUUUUUCCUACCACUUCUAGAAUAUUUAAAUAAUAAUAAAAAAUAAAUAUAAAUAAAAAUAAUAUUUUUGGAUAAGAAUUGUCUUUAAUCUUAUCCGAUUAUAUCAUCUUUCAUUAUCCUAGUCAAUAUUCCCAAACAAUUAUACAGCUAAAAAAAAUAUUAAAAUUAAAUGAUUUAAUUUUUUAUUUUUUGGGUGAAAUUUGUGGAAAUCAGCAUCAAAAGCAUGAUUACAGAAUUUGAAUGAGCCCAUUCCAGAAUUUCAAAACAAUGGGCGGCACUGGAAUGGUUGUAAGAAUAGUCAAUAAAUAAAUAUUUUAUUUUAAAAAUUUAUAUAUUGUUGAGAGGUUGUCCAGGUAAGCAACAUUAUUAUCCCUACCAUUUUAUUUUUGGUUAAUAAACAGAAGACAACACACCAUGACAGAGCUGUCAUCCAGAGAAUAAUGUCAAAACAUUCUUUAAUGCUCAUGCCAUAUCUCCAUUUUCACCCUUUCAAUUUACCAUUCCUUUUAUAUUUAAAUAAAUUAUAUAUAUAUAAAAAAUUACAUGCACCAAACUCCAAAUCUUUAGGAAAUAUUAAUGAGAAAAGAAAAAAAUUUAAGGAAAUGUUUGGUAAAAAUAAUUAUGAAAAUAACGGUUUUUAAAAAUUAUUUUUGAAUUUUUUUAGAAUAAAAGUUUAUUUAGAAAUGUAAAAUGUUUUUUUUACUUAUUUUUAAUAUUUAAAAUAUAUAUAUAUAUAUAUAUAUAAUAUUUUUAAUUAUUCUAUACGUUUAUAUAAUUAUUUCUUAAAAUAAUUAUUAAAAAAGAAGUGAAAAUAACAACAAUAAAAAAUAAAAAAUAGUUUUGGAUUGUCAAAUAUGUUUCCUGUGUUUUUUUAGAAAACAAAAAAUUAUUCUAUAAAACAAAUUCCAAAACAGGCCAAAAAAAAUAUUUUUUUAUGUUUAAUUUUAUUAUAAAAUAUAAAAAUUAAAUAAAUAAAAUUAAAAUUAAUUAAAUUUCAUAUAUAUUUAAAUUAUUUAAUAUUUAUAUAAAACAAGAAAAAUAGAUGAAAUGGGUUUGAAAUAUUAUAAAGGAAAAUAAUUUAUUAAUUUAAAAUAUAUUUAUUUAAUUUUUUUUCUGUUUUAUAUUUCCUCUUUAUUCCUAUAAGAAAAAUAAAAAUAAAAUUUAAAUUAAUAAAUUAUUUUCCUUUUAUAUUUCUUCGAUAUUUUCUUUCACAUAUUUCCUGUCAAAAUUCUCCCAACAACGGAAAGAAACCUUAAAUUUUUCUAGAAUCCAAAUAAUUAGAAUUGAAUUAUUUUUUAUUUUUUCUUAGGAUACCUUAAUGUUGUGGCAGAACCCUAUGAAACAAGUAUAAAUAUCUUUCAUUUCAUAGCCGAGGAUGUUGGUAAAUAAAAUAUUUUCAUCCCAAGAAGGAUACCACCAGGAGAAUUCGGCGCCGCUGUGGGGACACGUGGGAAGCAUGGAAUUUUCCAAAGUGAAUGACCUUGUCGUGACGAGAAAACCAGAAACAUCAGCAUCUAAAAGACACAUGUCAUGCCCGAAACCUCCCGUCACUUUUGAAACCCGACCGCCAUUCACGCGACUCAGAAUCCAUUUUCAAGCUUCCGUCUUCGCCUAGGCAUAAUCGCGGCUGUACUCCACUCCUGGCCGGCCGCUAACAGUUAUUGUAACGGGCGUGUUGGGCGGCGUGGGCGCCACAAGCUUUGUUGUGCAAAAGCAAACGCAAGCUGUUGGCCUGGUUUUUCGUUGCUGUCAAAUUUAAAAAAUGUGAAAAAUAUCAUUAAAAGAAAAAAAAUAAAUAAAUAAAUAAAGGAAAAACAGGGGGGUUUACGUGCUGGGGUCAGUUUUGUCGGGAUUGUGUGGCCUGCGGGAGGACUUGUUGUCUCAAUCUUUUGCAUAUGUUUUGUCCGUUUGAUUAGUGUUUCCUUCCAUAUAUCUACGUGGGUUUCCCCUCAGCUUUUGUGAAAUUGCAAAACUUCCCCUUGUUUUUACGUAAUGCCACAUUGGAUGGACGGUGUGAUUUUUAUUUUUCCAAUAAAUUUAAGAAUUGAAUGAAUUGAGAAAAUGCUUCCUCAAAAGCUUAUAAUAGAAUUAUAGUUAUUACCACAAUGCUGGUCCUUAGAGUAAAUUUUUUUGGGUAUCUAUUAAGAAAACAUUAUUAAUUAAGAAAACAUUAUUAGUUAUAUAAUAUUACAUAUAUAAUUUAAAUUUUAUUAUUUUUGUGAUAUUUCACGUUGAAUAAGUGAGAAAAUUUUUAACAUUAUAUAUGUAUAAGUUUCUUUUAAUCUUAUAAACUUAUUUAAAAGCUGUAAGGAUCCCUUUGUGUCUAUAACAAAUAAUAUUUAUAUGGUUAAAUGUGAAUUAUUACAAAUGGUAUUAGUAUUGAUUUCUGAUCUUAGUGUUGGGAUUUAUUUGGUCUAACCUUAUAAUACAAGUUUUUCAUUAUCUUUACAUGAAAAGAUGUAAUUAUAUCACACGUGAUUUUUACUACUAUUUAUAUGUUACUUUUAUUUUAUGAUAUCAUUUAUUUACCUUUUAAUUUUUUAUUUUAUUUUAUAUGGUCAUAUAUUUUUAGUGGCUCAAAUUCAAAGUUUGAUAAGCACUAGUAAAGGAAUUUUAUUUAAAUAGUUGUAAAGUUGCUAGUGGAUUUGGAUAAGACUUUUUGUAAACCCAUGUGACAUUUGCAACUCACCAAACAUUAUUUUAAUAAUAAUAUUAGUAUUAAUCAUGUGGCUAUUUCAUAUUUUUGGAUAUAUUUACUUAAAAAUGGUCUUUUCAAAACAAAUUUUCUUCAAUUUAAAUCUAAAGUCGUCCACAUUUAGGAACUAUGAUAUCAUACGUCAUUCCAUUAUAUAUAUUAAAAUAUUGGAAUUUAUUUUUAAAAUUUAUUGUUGAAAUUUUUUUGUUGAAAAUCGUGUAGUUACGAAACUUUAUUGGUGAAAUUUAUUAGGAAAAUUUAUUUCAUGAUAUAGAAGUUUGUUGAUGAAAUUUAUUAUAGUAAUUUAUUUAUUUAUUUAUACAAUUAUUUUAUUUGAGAAAGAUUUAAAUGAAAAUUUCAUAAUUUUUUUAGAAUAUAUAUAUAUUUUUUUAUUUGCUAUUAUAUUAUAGAUAGCAAAGAAAGAACUUUCCUUUCCCAAAAGUAAUUUCUGUCUAUUUAUAAAAGGAUUCCAUGUACUAGGGAGUAGGUGUUUUUAAUUCUCAAUAAAAGGAUUUUACAAAAAUAGUUGUGUUCCAAAAUAUUGUUGUUCACUAAAAAGUUUUAAUUUUAAUUAUUUUCCUCUAAACUUUAAAUACAACAUCUUAUUCUUAAUUUUGAUUUAUUUGUUUGAGUAUUUAUGUCAAAAUGAUCAUAUUUAACCUUUAUUAAGACAAAUAAGUAGAAAAAUAACUCAUUUGACCUCAAUGGAGCUUUAAUAACUAUCUAAUGGGGUUUAAUUAUUAUUAUCAUGAUAAUGAUUUUUAUUGAAGAUGAAAACAUAAUGAUAAUGUUCUUUGAAGAAACACUCGAUACAUGAUUUUUCUAAAAACAUUUAUAAAGAAAUUACUUUCACUAAAAUUACUUUAAAUAAAAGUACUUUAAAAUGCACUCUAAAACAUUUUACGUAAAAAUGCAUUAUUACUUAACUAUAACUUUUGUGCACCUUGUGUUGUAGGUUUUUUUUUUUUUUCAAAUAUUUUAAAAUUGUGGUCUAUCUUUAUUAAAAUGUAUAGAGUGGGCUACUAAUAAAUACAAAUAUAUGGGAAAUAAUAUAACUAAGUAUAAUAGGAAAGAAUAUAAUUAUAUACAAUGAUGAUAUAAAUUAUUAUAAUAUAAACAAUUCCAAUAAAUAGUACAAGCUUGAUUUCCUUUGUUAAUAAUUCUACUUAAUUGACAUGCCAUCAUGGGACAAAUGAUGCAUUCCAUAAGGAUAAAACAUCAUCUAAUUCUCUUGCGUAUUAGAUAAUUAGAGAUAAUUAUAGGGUAAUAAUAGAUGCGUCUUCAUAUGGUUAGGCAAAGGAGAUGAUCUUUUAAUUACUAAAGGUUUCAUCCUUGUUUGGAUCCUUAGAAGGUUAGUGUUUUGUAACUAAAUAUAGCAUUUGAGGAAAUUUAGCAUAUGACAAGCUAAGAAUAGGAUCAAUGUUGCAAAUCUUGGUUUCAUUCUUGUGUUUCAUUGUUUAAUCUUUGAACCCAUGAAUAACACUAAAAGAUGCUAGGGCUUUAUUACUAUUUUCUCGAGGGAUUUGACCUAUCCUCUUGCUAAUUUUCUCAUGGUCACUCUCCACUAAAUGUUAAACUAUUUAAAAUGAGUAGAAAGGGUAACUUGUUUAACAACUUGUGAGAGAAAAUUUUUUCUAUCUUGUAUAUUAUUUUUAUCAUUUUUCCUCUCCCUCAUGCAUGGUCUUGAAUUUUCAUGCAAGCUUUUUUUCUUACUCCUUUCUAAGUAUUUUCUUUCCUUUCUUUAGUAGUGUGGUUCAUUUAGCUCUAGGUGUUAUUAUUUUUUGAAAGAAAUUUUCAUAAAGUACUCCUCUAGACAAAUAUGUUAGCUUUUGCAAAAACCACUUUUAUGUUAGAUAGAUAUUGGAAAAGCAUAAAGAAUGUAGGUAGACCCAUUUCAAAUUUGUCAUAGCCACAUAAUCAAUGUGACCUACUUUUGUAAGAGAUAGAAGCUAAACUAUUUAUCAUACUAGUAAAGGGACUUUUUAUUGAGCUUGAUCAUGCUAAACAAGGAAUUUAACAUUUAGCUUUCCUCAUAAAACACCUACUUAGACUCUGAAUUAAGUACACAUUUAAUGAAACCCCAUAUAGAUCAAACAAGGAGGUAAUAAAGCUAGGUUUAGAGUUGAUUUAUGUUGACUAGACUAGAUUGAAAGACCUCACCUAAUAGUUAGUCAUUUUUCAAUUGAAAAAUUAUAAUGAAAAUGCAUCAGGUGAUUGAGAGGAUCCCAUUCUUUUAUAGAGAUUGAGCAUUAACAUAAUGAGAGUUCUAUUCUUUAAUAACUUUUAUGCCAUUUGUGUGGUAGGUUUUUUUUUUUUUUUUUUUUUUGUGCAAUCAAUAAUUUCACUAAGCACCAACUUGUUAUUGCAUUAUUUAUUUUUUCAAGAGGUGUGUUUACUUAAUUCAUGUUUAUCCUUUUAGGGUUUUUUUUUUCCUAUUGAAUUUAGCCUUUUAUGUCUCUGACACAUUUAUAUCUAAUUAUUUUGCAUUCCCUUAAUAAGGUUUCCAACAAGGAAUAUGAGUUCGAGAAUGGACCAUUGGGACCUAUAAGAACAUGUUGGCUCCCUUAAAAUCUGUUAUGAAGUUGACUCAACAUUUGUACUAUCCACUAUAUGCAAGCUCCAAAUGAACAUCAGUUCAUAAUUUAAUAAGGCUAAUGCUAUGAACCUCUCGAGAUUGCCUCUAUAAUAUUUGAGUCUCAAGUCCCUUUGUUAUGUGAUCAACUGAUAUACACUAACUCUUUAAGAGUAUAUUUCAAAUUUCAAUUAAGGAAUUUCUAUGACCAUAUAUUUUAUGAUCAAAUGUCCUUAAUAUCACCCAAUGGGACAUGUUGUCUCAAACUUAGGAGAUAUCAUGGUGCUUAGCUUGAAUAUACCUAUUACCAUUAACCUCAAUAUAUAGUGACUUGAUCUAUAGAGAAUAUAGGGAAUAUAUGACCACAUUAGGGUCUCAGUUGUAGGUAAAAGCCAUUGAGAACUUUAACACUAACUCAAAAUUCUUUCAAGGUUGAAUGCUCAUAUAGUACUUGGUGAGAUCAUGGUUAUCUUGAUAGCCAAUAUCAUAACUCACCAUAGAUGUUGUCCAAUGUGUAACCAUACAUACUAAUGCAUUCAAUAUGGGAAAACCAUCCUAAUGAUCAACACAAGUAUUAGGAUAGAGUCCUUAAAAACAAUACAUGAUGUAACAAAGUUAGACAUGAGCUUUAACUUUCGCAUUGAUAUUAAGUUGAACAUUCAAUCCUAUAUCACUUGCAUUGUAUAUGACUUGAGUGCAUUAGGAGUUGCAUAGAAGAUACAAGUCAUAGGUUAUUUGCAAGAUGAUAAAUAGUUCAUAGUCCGUUCAUGAAUUUAAGUAAUCCAAUAAAGGUUAUAGUGCAUUACCUCCUAAUUAGAGAGACGACUUGUCUUGACCAUCAAGAUGAGUUUCCCAUUGUGAGUGCACUAGUAUAUAUAUUUAUAUAUUGAACAAAACCUAUAGUGAAUCAUGAUGUAAAGCUAUCAUAUUGUCAUGAUUCACCAAGCUAUUAUAUUGCAUGGACUCUCAACUUUGAAAGGUUAUUAAGUUUGUGCUAAAAUCAACAGAAGACUUUGAACCUAUGGGUAAGACCCUAAAGUAGUCAUAUAUUCCCUAUGAAUUGGAUUACAAUUGAUGGAAGAUGGUGACAAUAGGUAUUCUCAAAGAGACACCAUAAUAUCCAUAAGAUUGAGAUAGUGUGUCUCCUUGAGAAAUCUAAAGGACAUGUGAUUAUUAAAUUUGUGACUAUGGUAAUUCCUUUAAUAAAAUUUGACAUAUGCUUCUUGGAGCUAGAAUAUAUCAGUUGAUCACAUAAUAGGAGGAUAUAUAACUCAAGGGUUGAAGACGUAAUCUUGACGGGUUGAUAACACUACCUUAUUGGAUUAUGGACACCAAUUCAUGAAUAGUCUACAUGUAAUGCAUGGUAGGUCAUGGACCUAAGCUUUAGCUCAUUGUAAUUUCAUAGGAUAUUGUAAUGUAGUUGACUCUCUUUAAUAGAGUGUAGACUCAAUUUUAUAAUUAAAUUCUAAGGGAGCCAAUAUUUUUAUAUGGGUCCCAAUGGUCCCUACUUGAGUUCAUAGUGACACAUUUUAUUUGAGGGAUUUGGGUUUUAGAUUCAUAAGUAUGCAUAAGAGCAAUUUGGCAAAGCACAAGGUUGCACUAGAUCUUAGGAAUUGCCUUUUUGGAUUAGGCUAAUUAAUUAAUUAGAGCCCAAUAAGACUAAUUAAUUAGUUAAGACCUAGUUUUGUUCGAUUAGGUGACCUAAGUCUACAAAGAGCUCUGUAAAUAUGCCCUUAUGGUUAUGGUUUCAGACUUUUUCUUGUUAUUUUUUAAAGAGCUUUCAAAGAGAAACUUUAGCCAUUCUCUAGAGAGAAAAGCCCACUUUUUUCUUGUGUCUAGAUCUGUGUGGCAAGUGAUAAGGUGGAAUAACAUCAGGUAGCCAAGUUAUAUAGUGUUCUAUAUGGUUUUAGAAUCUUCAUUGAUAACUUCAUCGGCUUGGAAUAAUCUGGGAACAUCCCGAUUGUAGGUUUGAGUUUCUAUCUCUAGAUCUAUGUUCAUUAUUAGUUUUUGACGCAAUAUAUUUAUGUUACGAUAGAUCUAGAGAAAACUAAGAUAGAAUGCAUGCACCCCAUGAGAUCCAAGACUAGGGAAUAAAGCAAUUUGGGUUUUUUUGCAAAGUCAUCCCUCCAAUUAUAAGGUAGUGUACUACGACCUCAAAUGGUUUACCUUGAACUAGCUCUGAACAACUCAUCUACUUACAAUGAAUCCAUGACUUGGAUCUUAUGUGAAACUUCUAAUAUACCCACGUUUUGUAAAAUGCAAGAGAUGCUAAGCAUAAAUUCUUAGAAAGUAUAAUGCAUGAAUACGAUAGCUAAAUCAAAAAAUAAGAAUCAUAUUAUAAAUAAUAAAUUAGUUUAUUAUUACUUCAUGUCAUAUUUUUAAAGAUUCUAUCUUAAUAAUAGAAUGUGAUAAAAAUGAAUUGACGUAAUUCAUAUAUGAUAUUAAUAACAAAUAGUUUACUAUUAAAAAUUUUAAUAUCUUGAAAUAUUUUUUAAAGAUUGACAUUGUAUAUUAUCAAAAGGAAUUAUUGAUAAACAAAAGAAAAAUAUGUUUUAUAUUUUAAAAAAGAAUAAAAAAAAUGGUAUGAAGCUUAUCAUGACAUCGGCUAAAAAUAAUAAAACAUAGUUCUAUUGCUAACCAUGGUAGAAAAUUAAUAUAAUACAAGAAGAGGCUUUAGCUUAUGUGUAGAAAAUGGAUAAAGGAAAGAAAGAAAAGAAAAAAAUAAUAAUACUCUAGCUUUUUUAUGAUUCUAGUAGUUUAUAUAGUUUGCUACUUAGUUACUUAUAUGGUAUCAUUGUUUCUAAAAUCUAUUAUAGUUAGCUAGACUUGUUAGAGAGUUGGAUUUGUUAGUUGGUUGCUAGAUAGUUGUAUGAUUGUUAGAAUUGGUCACAAAUAUAGAUAUUGAUAAAUCUAUGCUAUAAGUUCUAAUUUCUUCUAUUAGGAACUUCUAAUAUAAGAAAGAUUUUAAAUGUAAUAUUCAUAUUAGUUUUGAUAAAUCUAUGCUAUAAGUUCAAAUUUCUUCUAUUAGGAACUUCUAGUAUAAGAGAUAUUUUAAAUGUAAUAUUCAUAAUAGUUUUUACUAGAAUUAUCAUGAAAAUAUUCUUAAUAUAAAGAAACACUCAUCUAAGGAUAUCUUUCUCAACCCUAUUCUUUCUCCCAUGGUUUUGUCAUGUUUUAGAGCUCCACUUGUUGGCUUAGAACAUUAAAUUGCUUUGAUAAUUUUUUUAUUUUUUUUGCAUAAUAUCAAUAGCUUCUCAACAUCAAAGUUCAAUAUUAGAGCAUGAGGAUUCAAAGCUCAUCAUAGUGAUGCCAAAUCUACAACUAAGAACUAGAGGAAAAGGUAGUGAAUGAUGAGCUAUGACUACUCUAAUUGCUAAACAAGAUUAAAACUAGUUGGCUAUUUUAACUAAAAAAAAAAUGAGAAAUGUUGUUAAACUAGGAAAUAAAAUCUCAAUAAUCCCAUAAAAUAUGUCAAUAUUUGCAGUAUACAAUGCAACACUUAUUGAUGGUUCUUUUAGCAUAUGGAAUGAAGAACUCAUUGUUUACUCCAUACAUCCAAAAAACAAAGGAAAUAUUAGUUAGAUUGACAAUAAGAGUCUUCUAUCAAAAUUUACAUUCUAGAAAUUUUCAGAUGCCUUAAAUUUGAUGUGUUUGUGGAUUGGUUGGAUUGAUAAUGAAUCAUUGAUUAUAUGAAGUUCCAAAGAAAAAGAAAGUUAAGUUGGUAACAAUUCACUUCAAAGGAAGGGUUUUAGUUUACUAAGAACAAUUGUAAGUUUCUUAAUAAAGGAGUGGUAAAAAUAAAGCCAUCAAUUGGAGCAAAAUGAAAAGAAGCAUGAAAGAAAUAUCUUGCUUUUUCAUUAUAUUCAUAUAAUAUAUUAAAGGUCACAUAACCUUAAACCAGGUUCUAUGACUAUGGAUGAGUUACCCAAAGAAAAAACAAAGUAUAUUAAUGAAUUCAGAACAAACUUUCAAAAUGUAUUUUUUGCAUAUUUAUGAAUGUUUUGAAGGCUCUUCAAAGAUCAUAAUAAAAAAAAAUUACAAAAAAUAAACAAUAAUUAGAGAUUUCAAGUUACUACUAAAGGUGAAAACUGUUGUUUUUAGACUCUAACUAAUUAAUCAAAAUGACAUAGCCUAAAAUCAAACAAAUGAGGAACAAAACAAAUAAGAAAGGGAAAUCCACUAGUGGAUUUUAUCUCAUUUGAACCUCUUCUAAGUGAAAAAAACAUAUCCACUAGGAUUUUAUCUCAUUUGAACCUUUUCUAAGUGAAAAAAAAACAUAUCGACUAAUGAAUUUAAUCUCAUUUGAACUAGAGAUCUAGUUGGUAUCACUAAAUCCUUUAAGGACAUUUGGAAAUCCAUUAUAGCAUAGACCAAGUCAAUGGUGCCUCUUAAGUACUUAAGUACUCUAUGAAUAACAAUUCAAUGAUCCUAAUUAGGACUUUGUGUGUAUCGACUCAAUCUUCUUAUUACAUAAGUAAUGUUGGGUCUGAUACAGUUUGUUAAGUAUAUUAAACUUCAAAUGGUCUAGACAUAUUUAGUUUGGGCAACACUAUGCUCUCUAUUUUUCCUCAAUUGUGAUCUAGGAUCAUAUGGAGUUGACACUGGUUUACAACCAAAGUGUUCAAACUUCCUUAAGAUAUUCUCAACAUAGCGUACUUGAGAAAGUUUUAGGCUAUUUAUGUGUUCUAGUUAUCUUGGUUCCAAGAAUACCUCUAUUUCUCCUAGGUAUUUCAUUUCAAACUUAGAUCUUAGGAAUUUCUUGGUCUCACUAACGACUUUUAAACUAGUUCCAAAGAUUAGCAUGUCAUUGACAUAUAAGCAAAUGAUACUACAUGUGUUAUUCUCAAACCUAUUGUAAAUACAUUUAUCAACAUCACUAAUGGAAAAUCCAUUAGAUAUAUACCAACACAUGAUCAAAUUUGUUAUUCCAUUGUUUGGGUCCUUAUUUUAACCCAUGGAGUGAUUUAACUAGCCCACAAACCUUUUUUUCCUUUCCUAGAACUAUACAACCCUCAAGUUGGUCCUUAUAAAUUUCCACUUCAAAUACCCUAUUCUAAAACAUAGUCUUGAUAUCCAUUUAGUCUCAUCAUAAGGUUGUGAAUUAAAGCUAGAGUGAUGAACACUCUAAUUGAGGAAAUUCUUGCAUAGGGGCAAAAGUGUCGAAGUAAUCAACACCAUUCCUUUAUUUAAAGCCUUUGGCAACUAGACGUGCCUUAUACUUUUCUGUGGACUCAUUUGACUUUAACUUUCUUUUAAAGAUCCAUUUAUAGCCUAUUCUCUUUACACCAAGAGGUAAAUCCACUAUCUUCCAUGUGUAGUUAUACAAAAUUGAUUUGAUUUCACUUUUAAUGGCCACCUUCUAGAAUGGUGCAUCAAGAGAAGUUAUAGCCUCUUUGUAGGAUCUAAGUUCCUCAUCUUCUAAAAAGGUGUAGAAAUCAUCUCCAAGAUUUGCUUCUUUCCUAUGUCUUUCACUUCUUAAUUCAAGUUCAGAAGGUUCAUUAGACUCAUCUCUAAUUGUUCUUUAAAUUUGUUACUUAUCACUUGGUUUUAAAGAAAAUAUAUUUUCAAAGAAGUUGGUAUUCUUUGUUUCUAUUAUGGUGUUCACUUCUACAAGGUUGCUUUUUAAUUUAAUAACCAAAAAUCUAUAUGUUACAACAUAACCUAUGAACACUGCAUCAAAGGUUUUAAGACCUAGUUUUCAUUUCUUAGGUUUAAGGAAAAAUACUUUUGUUGAACUCCCCUAUAUUUUCAAGUAUUUAAUGUUAGAAAUAUAACCCUUCCAUAACUCAUAGGGUGUUUUACUAGUCUUCUUGUAUAAUAUAUUUUUUUGAAUAUGACAAGCAAAGAUGAUAGCUUCCCUUCACAAGUUCAAAAGUGCUCUUGAACUUACCAACAUUGCAUUCAUCAUAUCUUUUAGGGUUUUAUUUUUUCUCUCAGCUACUCCAUUAGAUUCAAGGUAAUAAGGAGGAGUAGUCUUGUGAACGAUCCUGUGUUCUUCACAAAAAGAGUUAAAGGGUUGGACUCAUGCUCUCCUGUUAGCGUACUUAUUGGUUAUUUAUUUAUUUAUUUGUUUAUUGUUUAGACAGGUGAGAGAAUAAAGGGUGCUUUUUUAUUUUUUAGGAAGUUAGUAUUUAUUUAUAUCUGCCAAGUUAGUAGAAUUAAAAGAGCAGAUCAUUGCAGAUUUUUUUAAAUGGUUUUGAUGAAUAAAAUGUUGUGCUUGAGAUUGUUUUUAUCAUUUUAUUAGUUUUUAUUCAUCUCCUCCCCUAUAAGUUCUAAUUCUCUUUAUUUUUUUUAUUUAGUUGAUUUUCUACUUCAUUUUUUGUAUUUGUUGAAUGCAUUUUUUGCUUUAUCUCUAUACGUUGAGUUAGUCAAUUCAUGUAUGCUCCAACUGAGGAACACAUGGAGUUAGUUUAUAGGAUUUUAAAAUACUUGCAAAUAAUACUUAGCCAAGGUUUUUUCUUUAGGAAAUAUAGUGAAAGAAGAAUAGAAGCUUAUAUGGAUGCUGACUAGGUAGAAACUAUUGAUGAUAGGAGAUCUACUUUCGGAUUUUGUACUUUAUUUAGGGAAAUUUGGUCACAUGGAGAAACAAGAAGUAAAGAGUUGUAACUAGAAGUACUACUGAAGUGGAAUUGAGAUCAAUAGCUCAUGGGAUUUGUGAAGCAUUGUGGCUAAAAUUCCUUUAAGAAGAGUUGGAGGUAAUGGUGAAACUAAUUUUAAGAAUUUACUGUGAUAAUAAGGCUACCAUCAACAUCUCACACAAUCUAGUUCAUCAUGAUAGGAUGAAGUAUGUUGAAGUUGAUAGACAUUUCAUCAAGGAAACAAAUUGAGGAUGAUACUAUUUGCAUACUUAUGUACCUACUACAAAACAAGCUGCAAAUUUUCUCAACAAGUUGGGCAUAUUUAAUUUGUAUAGUCUAGCUUGAGGGGAAGUAUUAGCGUACUUACUCUUUUUUUAUUUUUUUUAUUUUAUUGUUUAAAUAAGUGAGAGAACAAAGGAUGCUUCCUAUUUUUUAGGAAGUUAGUAUCUAUUCCUAUAUGCCAAGUUAGUAGAAUUAAAAGGGCAAAUCAUUGCAGAUUGUUUUUUUAAACGGUUUUGAUGAAUAAAAUGCAGUGCUUGAGAUUGUUUCUCUUCUUUUAUUAGUUUUGUUUUCAUCUCCUCCCCUAUAAGUUCUAACUCUCUUUAUGUUUUUUUAUUUAAUUGAUUUUCUGCUUCAUUUUUGUAUUUGAUGAAUGCGUCUUUUGCUUCAUCUUUGUUUUUCAAAAGAUUUACCUGUGUAUAUCUUGAGUAGUCAUCCAUGAAAGUUAUGUAGAAUCUUUUACUACAUCUAGUCAUUGCAUUUUUUAAAUCUCCUAAGCAAUUAUGAAUUAAACUUAUUAGUUUUGAUUCUCUUUUUAUUAUUUACAAGACUUCUUUAUGGUUUUAGAUUCCACUCAAGAUUCACAUUUUUCAUGGUUUUCUAAGGAAAAUUUAGGAAUUAAAUUUAGAUAAUCCAUUUUCAUUAUAUAUUCACAUGCCUUAGCCUACCAUGCCAUAAACCAUAAGAGUCAACUAAGCAAGUAGAAAAAGAUGCAUUAUUAUUAAUGAUUUCCAAAACAUUUAACAUAAAGAGACCUUAAUUAAAAUAACCUUUCCCAACAAAUACAUCGUUCUUGGUUAAGACUAUUUUAGCAGACUUGAACAAAAUCCUUACUCUUGCCUUUCCAAGUAGUGAUAUAGACACCAAGUUUCAAUGGAUAUCUAACACAUGUAGGACAUCAUUGAGAGCGAGUACUUGUCCUAAGGUUAGCUUGAGGAAAACUUUCCAUUUUCCAAUCAAUGGGGAAGAUUUAGAGUCACCUAUGAAUACUUGUUUCUCUCAUUCUUUUAUCGCAAUAUAGGAAGUGAAUGCAUUUCUGUUGCCACAAAUGUGCCUCAUAGCCCUAGAGUCUACCACCAAAUCCUUUAAAUUGGUGACCAUGCUCACCUCAAAAGAGAUUAUCGCAAUGAUCACUUCUAUCUUUGCCACGUUUGUUCUUCGGUUGGACUUCUCAAUUCUUUUUUUUUAUGGCGGUACUGAGCUACAUGAUGUCCAUGUUUGCCAUAGAUAAAACAAUUACCCAUUUUCUUAAUAGUUGGGUUCUAGACGUUGUUUGUUAUGUUAAGCUUGGUCAUAUAGUUUUGUUUUAUGAACUUAUUGUUUUUGGGCUCUGGUAUUUCUUCUCCCACAUUUUCCUUGGAGGACAGUUCUUGAGCUUUCUCCUUCGUGUCCCUAUUGUGGUUAUGUUCCUCAAUUCUAAUAUGGAUUAUGACAUCUUUUAGAGACAUUUGUUUUUUUUUUUUUUUUGUGCUUCAUACUAUUUUUAUAGUAUUUCCAAGAAUUUAGAAGAGUCUCUAUUAAGUACCUAACCACAAAAGGUUGAGGUAAUUUUAUGUCUUUGCUAACCAAAUCAUUAAUAAGCAGCUAGUAGUCGUGGAUUUUAGAUGAUAAUCUUUAUCCUUAGUCAUUUGGAAUUUCCUAAAAAUUCCCUAUGAUAUAUUUCUAGGUUCCUACAUCUUUCAAAGUAUAUUUUUUAUUCAUGACAUCCCAAAUAUCUUUUUCAAUUUUGUUUUGACAAUAAACAUCAAACUAUUCAUUUGUGAGGAUGCUAAGAAUGACAUGCCUAACUUGUUUAUUUUCAAUUUCCCAAGUAGGCAAAAAUAAAGAAUCAUCUUCAAGUUUUGGGUCAUUCAAAAUAUGUUUCAAGUUCACAACAUCUAUAGUAGAAAAUACUAUUUCCAGUCAUCUCUUAAGGAAUUUCCAUUGAUGGAAUUUAUUUUAGAGGUGUCAAGAUGGAUGUGAACUAAGGAAGUCUUCAUUUAUGACAUACUUUAAGAUUUUUGUUUCUAUAGUAUAAAAUAGUUAAUCAAAAUGGCCUAGCCCAAAACUGAACAAACAAGUAACAAAACAAAUAAGAAUGGAUACUUAUUGGAUAAUCAUACUAAGGCAUGACAAGGCACCCUCUUCAAAUAUGAACUUGGUGCAAGAGGGUACUCGACGCCUUACCUCUAGAAUAUAAUAGUUAACACCUUGCCUUAGGUGCACUCCUUUGGCGAGGUGUACAAUAUAAUUCAAAAUCUUCUAAAUAUAAUUCCUCUAAUUAAUGAAAGGAUAAGAGAGUUGCAGUUAGAGAUGAAUGCAAUAAAUUAGGAGGUUGCAAUUGGUUUGCAGUAGUGACUUGGUGUAGUAUGAUUGAAUGUAGCACUUAUGGGUACAACAUCGGGUAGAUAGUUGUACUAGUGUGGGUGUUGCAAUGGUGGAUGCAGCAAUAUGGUUGCUACAAUGGAAAAUGCAACAUGUGAUUGUUGCAAUAGAAGCAAGUUGUAACAUGCACUAGUGCUUCAAGUAAUGGCUAUGUCUUUAAUAGAUAUAAUGAGCAAAUAGAGAAAAAGUUGGAGACCACAAUAUUUAGAGAGAGAAAACUUGAAAGAAUGAGAUAAAAAAAAAAAUCUUUGAAGGGACUACCUUUUAUAAGUAAAGGACUUAAAGGAACUCUCCAAAAAAAAUUGUCGAAUGACCAUAACAAAUAUUUUUUUAAAACAAAAAUCAUGUUGGUACAUGGCUUAUUCUUUCUUCUAAUAGGGAAGACUUAGUCACCCAUUGAAGAGUUAAGUCAAAACUAGGAGAUGACACCACCUAGAACUCAUGCACUCUUCCUAUAAAAACUACUAUAUUAGAGAAAAGGCAAAACCAUAUAACUAUAUAACAACAACAAAAUGUUAGUAAAAUAAAGAGCCCAAUUCUUUUUAGAAAUAAUUUAUGGAAUGGUAAUCAAAUAAUAACUCUUAGUGAUAGAGGUUAAUAACUAGUUAGGAAAAUAAAUGAAAAAUACGAAGAAAUAAAUGAACUACUAACUUUUGGUAAAGCCUUUGAUUAUGAUGUUGAGGAGAUUCAGAUGACAAGGAAUAUCUUGCACUAAUGCUAAGAAAAACCCUCUUAUUACCUGAGAGUGAAAAUGAGGAAAACUAGUUAAAGUCAUUUUUCACAAAACACACAUCAAUGAAGUUGAAAAUGUAAGAUGAUUAUAAAUAGUGUUAGCUCUAAUAAUUUUCUCACAAAACAAUUGACAAGUUUCAUCUCAAUAUCAAGAACCAUCAUUUCUUAAGAAAUUCUAAUAUUGUUUAGUCCUAUUUUCCAUAAUAUAAACACACUAUGACAAUGUUUGGUGUGAUAUGUUUCCCAUGGAUAUAUGCCGUACUUCCUUGGAAAGACCAUGUUAGUAAGACCAUUAAAUGCUAAUGAUGGAAAAAAAUGCAUAUACUUUUUGAAAAGGAAAAUGUAAAAUCACUAUGCAUUUUUAAGAAAUUCAAUCAUUGUUUAGUUCUAUUUUCUGUAAUAUAAACAAACUAUGAAAAAAAAUUGGUGUGAUAUGUUUCCCAUGGAUGCAUGUCAUACUUUUGGGGAAAGACCAUGUUAGUAUGAUCAUUCAACACUAAUGAUAGAAAAAAAAAAUACUAAUACUUUUUGAAAAGAACAUGAAAUCAACACACAUGAGAAGUCAGAGACAAAUGGAUAAGAGGAGGUUAAGGAAAAUUCUCUUACAAUUAAGGAGUUAAUUAAAGAAUCUAAAUCAACAUGUAUGAAAAAAAAUACUUAUACUUUUUGAAAAGGAAAAUGUGAAAUCACCAUGCAAUUUUUAAGGAAUUCAAACAUUGUUUAGUUCUAUUUUUUAUAAUAUAAACAAAUUAUGGAAAAAUUUGGUGUGAUAUGUUUCCCAUGGAUGCAUGCCAUUCUCCCGUGGAAAGACCAUGUUAGUAUGAUCAUUGAACACUAAUGAUAGAAAACAAAAUACUUAUGCUUUUUUAAAAGAAGAACAUGAAAUCACCACACAUGAGAAGUCAACGCAAACAAAAAAGGUUGGAGGUGGUUAAGGAAAAUUCUCUUAUCUUUAAGGAGUUAGUUAAAGAAUCUAAAGCAACAAGUAUUGGUAGCUAAAGAAAAGGUUGUGACUUUCUCAUUUUCUUAAGGGGUUAAAGCGUUGAUCUAAAUACCUAUUGAUGUGAUUCCUAGUGAUUAUUCUUUGAGUUAUCUUUUAAAUGCAAUUUAGUGUCGAUACCAAACAAGGCAUCCUAUAAAAUAACAUCUAAAAAGUAUAAGGAAUUUCAAAGACAAAAUAUAAUGAUGUUGGAAAUGAGCUAUAUUAUAGAAAAUAUUAGCUUAUGUGUAAUUUUGGCCUUAGUUACACCUAAAAAGAAUAGAUCUUAAACAAUGUUCAUUGAUAGUGGAGUUAUCAAAUAUAGAUUUCAAAUAUAUAUUUAGGCUUGAUGAUAUGUACAUGAAGAAUAGGAGCUUGAGGUUU
rnacentral:lncRNA from 1 species